UUGGAAAUAUUUGUUCGAUAAUACAGCUUUUUGUUGUAGUGUGUUGGAAAUGUUAUGAAGAAAAUCUAGACUUGAAUGAUAGUUGGCUAUCUUUGUUUGGUGAGUUUGCACGUUACAAGAUUGUGUGAGAUGAUUCUAUUGUAAGCCUUUGGCAAGAGCGAUACAGAUUGGCAUAUUUGUUUCCAAAGGUUUGUUACUUGCCAUGUUGAUGUUGGAUUGUGUUGGUGUGUUGAUCUUUUCCAUGUUGGUACGUGAUUCGUGUGGCUGCAUAUGGUUCAUGCACUGUGACUAUUUGAAUUCCGUGAAUUCCACAUGUGGUGGGCAAUGUAUGUUAACAGCCCCCUUGAGAUCAGUUGGGUUAUAGAGUGAAUGCCAAGCUUGUGCUGAAAGAGGAAGAAAAGAUCUUUACCCAGUGGUUUGGUAAGCAGAUCUAUAGUUUGCAACAAGAAGGGAACAUGCUUGGCUUCAAGAAGUCCUUGAAUGACUUCUUCACGAACGAAAUGGACAUCGAUUUCGACGUGUUUGCUAUGAGCAUGAAGAAGUGGAUUAUGUGUCAUGUUGAUGGCGCUCUUAUUGUUGUUGAGGAGGUGAGGAACAUGUAAAGUUGAGACCCCGAUGUCCUAAAAUAAAGUAAGAAUCCAAGUUAAUUAAGCCAUUUUGGGAGACAAAUUAAGCCCGAUAUUCUACUUGUACAAUGGAUCAUGCAACAAUUUUUUGUUUCUUGCUACACCAUGAGAUUAAAUUUGUCCCAAGGUAAACACAAAAGCCUGUUGUGCAACAUUCUAUUUCAAGGUAGGGUUGCCAAAAAAGUCCAAGUCGAGCUGCAUGGAUUGGGCCUGGAUAUGGGCUGAAAAAUAUGAAGCCCGUAGAAAAAGCCCGGGCUUUUUAAUUUAUAACUAAAAAAUAUAUCAAAUUAAAAUACUAUAUUAACAUUUUUUAUACUAGUAUUUACAGGUGGGCAUGUAUUGGUUUUGAUUGGGUUUUAAGUAAACCCAAAUCAAACCAUAAAAGUUUGGGUUCGAUCCAAACCAACUCAAAUAAUUUCAACCCAACCCAUUUGGAUUUGGUUUGGGUUUGGUUUGAAUUUUAUUAUCAAAAUAUUUUUUAUUUUGAUAAAUUUAAUUAUAUAAAAAUUAUAAAAAUUAUAAAUUGUUAUUAAUUAUUAAAUUGAUACUAAAAAAUGAAAAAAUAUAGUGGAUAAAAAUUAUAAAUAAUGAAUUUUACAAUAACUGAAUCCUUAAAUUAAAGAAUACUAGAAAAUUAAAAUAAAGUUUAAUCACAAAAAUCAUUAAUUCUCAAUAAAUAAGAACAUAAACACUAAUAAUAAACUUCCACAAACAUGACAUCAACAGGUAAAUUCAAAGAAAGCAAAUAAAAAAAAUUAUGUGAGUGCCAUUUAGUUAAAAUAAUAAAAUUUCUUUAAGUAAAAAAAUGUAUCCUUUGACUUAUAAUUAUUGAGAUGAUAAUUUUCUAUCAAAUGGUGUUUUUUGUUUUUCAAUAGGUUGAUUGCUCAUUAAUUUCAAGAUGGAGGAUCAAUGUCAAUAAAUCCCAUCAAAAUAAAAAAACGGAGUAUUAUUUAUGCUACAAUAUCAAUAUAGCACACAAAAUGUUAAUUUUAUUUAUAACAAGGAUUUAUAAUUUCUGUCACAAUAAUAUUUUAUCAGUGGCGAAAUAUUAUUUUUCAUAAUUAUUAAUUAUUUCCUUCCAAUGGGCUAGGUAACUAUGCCCUCAAAAACCAUCCUAACAUUAUUACUAUAAUUUUCCUUAAUUUAAAUACAAAAACAACAAUAUGGAUUUGGUGUUUUUCUUAUUACAGUUAGAAACAUAAAAGCGGUAAUUAUGUAAGUAUAAUAUGAGUUCAUAAAUUAAAAAAAAAAUGAUUUCAUUUCAUCAAACACUAAUUUCAUCUCAUUUAAUUAUUUACAGUAGCAUUUAUUUAAUUCAGAUUUGUUUUUACAUGUUGUUUUCUUUUUCUAACUGUUAACAAUUGAUCACGCCGUGAACAAUUUAAUAAUAACCUUUCACUUAUUUUUUUUUUCAUUUAUUUCAUUUGACAAGUUUGAGUUUUGGGGUUUUGUUCAUGACUCAUGGGUAAACCAUACCCAACUCAUAAUGAAAUGGUUUUUUUUAUAUAUAAAACCCACAUUUAACCCAUUUUCAUAAUUUACCCAACUCAAACCAUUUAAUUUGGUUUGGAUUUGGUAAACCCAUGAAUUGUGGGUUUAUGCCCACCCGUAUUAGUAUUUGUGAUUUAUUAUGUUGUGUUACUAAUAUCAAGCCUGGACUUUUUAAUUUAUAAGUAAAAAAAUAUCAAAUUAAAAACUCAAAUAUUAUAUUAAUAUAUUUUUUUAUUUAAGCAUAUAUUAUCUAUUUUGUUGGGUUACUAAUAUUUUAAAUAUUUGACUAUUAUUCUAUUAUGUAUAGAAUAAUUAUCUUUAAUUUAAUUUUUUUUACUUCAUUAAAAAUUUAUUUAAAAAAUAAUGAAGGCCCAAGCCUGCCCAGUCUAAGUUUGGAUGGGCUUUUGAAUGGCAUGGGCUUAUUCUCAACAAGUUGGGCCUUGGCCUAGGCUUUAAAAGGCUCAGUUCAAGCCUAUAGAAUGGCAGCAAGACAGCCUUUGUAGAUUUUUAGGGGCUUUUUGCUGUGUUCUAAAGUCAAAACAGCUCCUAGCAAAUUUUUGGACUAUUUUGUUUUGAAAACAUUUUUUAGGAUUGUUGAGAAAAGAGGAGAAUAACAUUAGUAUUUUUUUAGGAGGCUUGAUGAUGAGUUUGAUAAAUUUGGCAAGUUUUACUAGACUAAAGUGAAAAAAGUUUAUGUUGAGGCUGAAAGUUUAAGUGUGCAAAUGCACAUUUUGGUUGCUCUCGGGAUAAAAACCAAGAAAUUGGAAGGAGUUCUGCAGGAUUCUGUACAAUUCAAGCCUGAAGAACAAAAGCAUGAAAGCAGGAUGAUUUUGAAAAUUCUUGAAUAGUAAAUAUCUCAACUUGCUUUUAUACUAUAUCUGUGGCAUUAUUUUUGAAGUUUAACAAUAUUAAUCUUGCGAUUAACACUUUAAUGCAAACAACGAAUACACUCAGGAUGAACUUAAUGAGGUUCUUUUGGAGUGGGCUAACCAUUUUUUCCACAUCCUUAUCACAUUUGCAAAAUAGUUAGUAUGAGUAUGAAACUGUAGAUGGACCUUGUUAUUAGUUGUUACAAUUUGUUGAAAUUAAAGUUGUAGUGUUAAACUAUAAUGGUUGUUGUUAAGGAUUGCGGUAUAGAUGUUAUGCAUUUGAUAAUAUUAGGUAUUUUGAUUGAUUUUGGUGUAGAUUGGGUUGCUAGGUAUAGGUCAGAGUGCUGUUGUGCAUAUCGCUAAAAUUAGAACGCUGUUGGAAGAUGGUGGGUUGUUACGUAUGAUUUGGAGUAUUAGUUGGAGUGUUGCUGGGUAUGCGGCUGGAAUUAUGAUCAAGAUGCAUGAGCCUUAAGUGGGUGAAUUUGAGGUUGGAUUUUAAAGUUCACUGAAGCACUCAACUACUUACAACAACUCCUAAAUGCAAAUGAAGUAAUUACUGCCAUAAUAAUGGAUGUAUCGUUCAAAUUUUUAUUCUGGGACAAAGUCAUCUGGGUUUCAACUAUAAAUAAAAUCUGCAUUUGCAUAUAGUCUCAAUGUCUCCAAUGGCUGAUAUUUAGAAACUAUGUCCAGCUCAGUUUCGGUGUUGAUGCAUUGACCAAUUAAAUCAACGAUAAAUAGAUUACUAGCAAGAUUAACAUUAUGAUAACCUUGAAAAUAAUCGUCUGAUGAUUAUUAAUCCAUUAGAGGUAUCAUUUCUACUGAUAGAGAUGUUUCCAAGAAAACCAAGUUCAGUUUUUUUUGGUGAAAAUAAGUCCUGAAAAAUAACUUAGUACCUUCGCUUUAGAAUUGACAUUUGUGGAUCAGGAAUUGGCUUGGAACACAAGAGAAGGGUUUAGAUAAUUAGCACUCGCAAAUAAUACAACUCGUAUUAUUGAAAAAAUAAUAAUAAUAACUCGUAUUCUGACUUUGAUUGUUUACUAAGUGUGAAUUUACAAAAGUUAUGUACAUAAUGAAAUAGCUAGCUAUAAGAGAUUUAAUUACAUAACUACAGAAAUACAGCUGGAGUACAUAAUCUGCUUUCCUAAACUAUAAAAUAGGUAAUGAAAUACUUCAUUUUUAAUGAUACAUGAUAUUCUAAAUUCUUGAUACUGAAAUUCAAUGACAGCCUUGACUUGUGCAAGCUAUGCUGUGUGUUUUAACCGUUGGCGAAUUUUCUUUUAUUGAUCAUUUACAGCUUGCUUAUUAGUCCCCCUCAAGUUGGCAAGUGACAUAUGAUCUGGAUUCUACGGGUUUGUCAGAAAUUGCGAAACAUGACUUUCGAGAGAGCUUUGGUGAAUACAUCGACAAUUUCCAAGGAAGAAGGAACUAGUUUUGUCACCAUCGAAGGGACUAAUUUUUUCACCAUCAGACCUUCUGCAACCUUUCCUCGAAGAAAGUGAUAAUCAACCUCUAUAUGCUUAGAGCGAGAAUGGAAGAUAAUAUUAAUAGUCAUAUAUAAAGCACUUAAAUUAUCACUAAGCAAUUGAGGAGCUUGAGCAAGAGAAAUCCUUAUUUCACGAAAGAGAUAUGUGAUCCAUGUUAGCUCAGUUGCUGUCAAAGCAAGUGCCUCUUAUUCAACCUCUCCAUUGGGUCUAGAUACUGUAGGUUGCUUUUCAGAGGACCAAGAGAUACAUUUAAGACUUCGGGGUAACUUACUUUCAAUUCUCUGUCUAUGGUGUUAUCCCAUCACAAUCAAGUGGGAGAUAUUGGAAUUGGUGCCCAUGAUGGGCUAGAUAGGCCCAAGAAAGGAAACAUCUAGAAGCUUAUUUUAUAUAGAGUUUAAUAUGACUAUUGCAAGUCUAAUUAGACUUUGAGAGUUAUAAAGUCUUUUGAUUGACUUCAAUCACUCUUAUUAGCUCCCAUAUAAACAUACCUAUUGUAUCUAGAAUAGAUGUGUAUGAUUCCACACACAUGCAAUGUUUUAGAAUGAGCCAACUAUAUGCUUGAUUUCUUCAAGCUAUGCUUAUAUAUAUUUAAAAAUUGAGAGCUGCUUGCUUACAUUCGAUGGUCGUUCGGUGGCUAUAUAAAAUGCAAAAAAUUUUAACAGUUGCUUCAUUUACCAAAUUUGAGAACCGAGAGCAAACACAGGAAAAUGGAACAGAAAUAAGAAAGUGGAAAAGGGAAAAGAGAAGAAAAAGAAAAUAAGAAAAAUAAGAAAGAAGACGAAUAUGGGAAAAGAGAAAAAGAAAGGAAAAGGAGAAAAAAUAUUAGGGGAAAUAGAAUUAGAUAGUUAGAUCUACAUUAAGUGAGUUAGUGGGUAAUAGAUUUAUGAAAUUUAAGUAGUUAUGAUUUAAUUUGUCUUAUACGUAUAAGUUUUUAUAUUAGUUCUAAUAGUUAAUUUUGAAUCAUGUAUUUUAGGAGAAAUCCAAGAAUCUAAGAACCCACAGCAGCCCCAACGAACCCGGAGUGAAACAAGCUCUGUAGGGAUACUAUUAUUACUAUUAUGUAUUCCAUGAAGCAUUUAUGUUUAGUAGUAUGAUUUAAUAUAAUGUUAUGAUUACACGUACAAAUAUUAUAUGUUUGAUUAAGUUAUAAAAUGUGAUUGCCAAUCGCCAUAUAUGUGCCCUUCCUUAUAAACUUCGUGCAUGCAUAUUCAGAGUUAGACUACUCUGCCCGUGCGAUGUAGUUAAAUUCCAUUGGGUAUUGAGAGGUUUUUGCCCGGCUCUACUCAUGCGAUGAUGAUCCCAGUAAGUAUUGAGAGUUAUUUCCUUGGGUAUUAUUUGGUGCAGUUUUGUCAUGUAUGUAUUAUUUCCUAUGUUUACAGAUGCAUUACUUAUUAUUAUUAUUAUUAUUAUUAUUAUAUAUAUAUAUAUAUAUGGUUGCAAGCUCAUUAUUUUCGUAUUUAUCCCUUUUCCGCCAGGAUUUCGCAAGAUUUCGUGCUAAUCAAUUCUAGUCAAUUAAAGUUGGGCCACGAGACGUAUUGCCUCAUGACUUGCAUUUUGAGCACGUUUAUGUUACUUAUGUUUUUAUGUAUAUAUAUGUGUAGGGUAAGUAUAUAUAGUGAGAUAUGAAUUGUGUAAGUUUUUAAUAUAUAUUUUUGGAUGAGGUAUAGAGGUUGUUAUGUGUUUAUAGUGGAGACCAUUUUUAUAUAUUCAUGAAUUAAAUUUGUGCCGCGAGUUAUAGUUAUUAGAUCGUAUGAUUCACCUUGGAUCUGACAUAUAGGUGAGGCAAGCUGAGUCAUGUGAUAAGGGUGUGACAGAUAUGAAAACAUGAAGAAGAUAUUAGAAAACACAGGGAUUGAAAACAAGAGAAAAUGGCAGUGGGCUCUGGCAAUGUGAUACGAGGGGAUUUUCUUUUAUUAUAAUUAUCCUCCAACUAUAAACAUACAGUAGCGUGAUGGUUUUCUUUGAGAUUAUCCUUUGUCUCUAAUCAACUUGACAUGAUAUAACUUAUUGUGAUCUACUUCCGCAUUCAAGGAUCAAAAUGUAUGUUUUUGGAUAUCCUAUUAACUGUAUGUUGAAUAUGUACGAAUAUCAACACUUAUCGUUUUGAAGCUAUCAAAAGAUAGACUAUAGUUUGCAAUAAGAACAAUGUAGGUUGAGAUUUGUCAGUAGAAAGAACUUAGACAUAAAUUUUAAUGAAGAUGCCUAACUUUGAAAAUUUCAUAUACGUUUAGUGAACGAAAAAGUCUGCAUGUAUUUAAAAUAGCACAAAAUUUAAUGAAAAAAUUCUUCGUGUUCAGUAUUAACUCCAAUUGCAGAAAUGCAGGGUUGAGCAAUUACUAAUAUUCUGGUAGUUGCGACUUCUAGAGAAAUAUAAAUGUGGCGUAAACAAAUGCAAAGAAAAUAUGACACAAUAAUUUACGUGGUUUGGAGUAAGGCCUACGUCCAUGAGCAAACACUGGAAGAUAAUUCUACUAAUAAUGAAAAUUUACAAAAGUGGGAGAAACUCUCAACACCCAAAACUCCAAUACACUCAAAUGGAACCUCACUAGAACACUCAAGUGGAAGCUCUCUUAAAUCUCUUAAAUCGCUUCACUUGCAAUUGCUCUCUACUUCUCUCAAAUUGGGAUGCUUACAAUUGCAAAAUACUUCUCUAUUUAUAGAGAGCAUUUUGCAAAACGUUGAGUCGAAACUUGCAUUGCAUGUAUUAAAGUUAUGCAUAUUUGUCAACAAUUGCACGUGUAAUUUGUUGCCAUCUUCAAUUUUCAGCAUCAUUGUUGGUUGAUUUAUAUAAUCAAUUACUAUCAAUGCCAAUGUGCAAGUAUACACAACAAGUAAUAAAGUGAUAAGUAUUCAAGAUCGUCUCCACAGGGAUUGAUGUUGUUCAAAAUGCUUAAGCAAUCGCAAUAGUGCAAAUCAACUAAAGAUCGAAACAAGCAAUUGUCAAAUAAUUCUAUCGCAAUUAUUAAUUUCGAUAGAUGGAAAUAACACAAUACUGUAAUGAAAUAAACUAAGUUAAAUGUGUCUAAGGUUCAAUUGAGAAUAUAGUAGUUGAAUGAUCAAACUAUCCUAAUGGGGUGACUGUUGAUUACCGAAUUAGUACCAGUUGUUACAAUAAGUGCUACAGCACUGGACAGAAUAAAUUUGCAUUCGCAACUAUCGCAUGUUAGAAAUCUCGUACCUUUAAAUCUACUAACAAUGACCAGUUGCUCAUAUAUUUAAGGUAUGGCUUUAUAAUCCUUAAUCUCGCUGCCCUACAAGGUGAACACCUAUGUCUAGGAUAUCACAAAUCUUAAUUUCAAGUAUUGCCCUUAUGGGAUUUAAGUUAACCUAAUCCAGGAAACUUGAUUUAAGAACAAGUAAUACUCUAAUAAUGUUCUCUAAGACAUGCCCUUUUGCUGCUCUAUCUUAACUGAAACUAUUAAAUGAGUGGUCAACUGAAAUAACAGUUAUGCUCAUAAAAACUAUUAGAGUAUAAUGCUACAGCAAUACCAUAACAACCUAUAAGAACAGUCAAGAACCCAUUGGAUUAUUUGUCACUCAACUACAUAUAAAUUUAGUUCAUAUUCUAAAUGAGAAAAGUAAACUUAAAUAUACUGAUCACAGGAUACAUCCAAACAAUUUCAAAGAAGAAAGAUAAUAUGAGUUGAGCACGGUGAAAGACUAGAGAAUCUCCUCGGCUCUUCAAUGAUGUUGAACAGUCCUCCUCAAUCUUGAUCUUCUUCUUCUUCUUGCCUUUGUAAUUAUUUGGAUGGUAAUCUCUCUGCCACUUUCUAUGUGGUCCAUACCUCCUUUAUAUAGUGUAAAUUAGGUUAAAACCAAAACCCAUGAGCGUGCAUGUGUUUAAAUUAGGAAACAUGCAUAUCGUGAUUUCAUUGCUGACCCGUGCUUAAUUUUCUCCCGCAUUGCUCCCAGAUUGCUGCAGCACUGGUUGCUCUAACAUCCGCAACAACACUGUAUUAUUCCCGAUUGUACUUUUCUUCUUUUGUGGCCAUCUUCUUUCCUCCUCUUUCUCAUCUAAUGUCUUCACAUCCCCUCAUGAAUUUAAAACCUACAAUUUAAAACCUGUUUUUAGCACAAAUUACUAUGAUUCAAGCAAAACUUGUUAAAACUCAACUAAAAUGAAUGUUUAUGCAAAAGGUCACCAAAAUGUAAUCAAAACACAUUAUUUGCUCUCUAAAUGGCCUUUAUUCAAGUCUAGAAUUGAUGUAAUAACUCUCAUUUCCUAGAGUUAUCACACCUCCAAACUUAAACUAUUGCUUGUCCUCAAGUAAUGACACAUACUAACAUUUCCCACAAACAAACAUGCACACAACUUUAGCCCAUAGUAAAUCGGUUAUAGACUUAAGCUUCUUUCUGUCCAUAGUGUGUGUGUGCUUCCUUUUUUAUUGAAUUCCAGAUAUGCUGUAACAUCACUAAAGGACUGCAGAAAUUUCAACAGUGAUAUACUUUAUUCAUAAAAGGGGUAGCAUAAAUUUCACAUAUUCAAAUUGUGAUUGCUUUAACAUUGAUAAUCUGGGGGAUAAUCAACCUCCUCACUGUAACAUUUAUUUUUCAUGUGAAUGUCAAUCACUUGUAAUGAUGAUACCCAAUUACUCAAGCCAUGCCCAUAUCAGGGUUGCUGCAGCAAUAUCUGUGGUAUAAUCUUAUCUCAAGGUAUCUUUGACUCAAGGCUGAACAUGGGGCUCAUGAACAGACCUGGCUAUUCAAUGCCUUAAAUAUAUGACUUUUUUUUUAAUUAUAUGCUACCGGACUACUCAUAACUCUCGCUACCUUUUACACAUUUCUGCAUAUGAGGUGCAUACUCAGAUCUGGUUACUCAGCAACUUAAGCCAUUGGAGCAGAGUUUUAUUUCAUGAAUAUCACAGUAAAUCAACAUGCUUCUCCCUUCAAACUUAAGAUAUUUUCUAUUAUUUUGGCUUUGCUCUAGCAGUCUUAUACAACUCAAUCAAAGGCUAAGUGUUGGGAUAAAAUUUCACUUCUAUCUAUAACUAUCUCUACUUGGCAUUCUCAUAACUACUGUAUAGCACUCAAUUUAUCUUCAUUAGGUUUUGAAAUCCAUACACAAAUAACAGAUAAAAGAGCUUCACACAACACAAACAUAAACACAUACAUAAAACACAUGCAUUCGGAAACAACCCCCCCAAACUUGAGAGAUGUUGUGUCCUCACAAGCAAACAAAAUAAAGGCACACAAAUGGACAAAAAUUUUUUUUUUAGAACAAGAAAGAAACUAGUGAGAUAAGAGUACUCCCCUGUGGUGGGGACUGCAGCCCAUGACGGGAUGCUAUCAGCGCUUUUUAGAUGCACUGCGCAGCUUAUCCUUUGGUGAAGCCUUUGGGGAGGUGGCUGGCAACGUCUUUGUCUUUUUCGCUGCAGGGCUGGUGAGAGGAGUUGUGGCUGGGGUUGCUGUAGCAGUUCCUGUAGACGUACUGCCUUUUCGUUUGCUGGGUUGUCUUGGACUGGUGCGGAUAGGCUGGCUAGGAGUUUGCUGUGGAGGCUUUUGAGUCAAUGCGUCAGCUGCUUGGCCCUCGGCUAUGAUGGCAGCAAUUACCUCAAGUAGUUGUGUGGCUUGCUCAGAUGUAGGCAUAGCUCUGGCUGCUGCAGAAGCCAGCUCAACAUCGACUUGAUCCAUCUCAUCUUCAGAGGCUAGAGGUGUUGCCAUUUUUGCUUUACCCUUGUCAUUUCCUUUGCCUACAAAGACUGGAAUAGAAGGUUCCACAUCAAGGUCUUUAUUCUCCUCUUCUUGAAUAAUGUGCUGCUUCCUAGUUUUGGACUGGGUUGGGAUGGGUGGUUCCUCACGUUCUUGCUCCGAAUUAGCCUCUGCCUCUGAGGGUGAGCUAUCAGUCUCAGACUUGUCACCUUCUUCCUCAGGUGGAUCAGAUGGCUCAGCAUCUUCUGAGUCAACUUCUGCUGGUGGUUCAGUGGCAGCUUGUUCUGCUGGUUCAUUUGAAGCAAUAGCUUCUUCACUGGUUUCUGCUGAAGCACCUGUAGUGCUGGUGUCAAAAUUAUACUGCUGGAGCAGGGAAACAGGGAAGUUUUGGUGAGUACAUUUCAUAUACAAAGCAAAUUGGUGUAGUUGGCCAUCCAGGUGUUGUAGAUAACUCCAAAACCGAUCAGACUUGUCACAUUCUUCCUCAGGUGGAUCAGAUGGCUCAGCAUCUUCUGAGUCAACUUCUGCUGGUGGUUUAGUGGCAGCUUGUUCUGCUGGUUCAUCUGAAGCAAUAGCUUUUUCACUGGCUUCUGCUGAAGCACCUGUGGUGCUGGUGUCAAAAUUAUACUGCUGGAGCAGGGAAGCAGGGAAGUUCCGGUGAGUACAUUUCAUAUACAAAGCAAAUUGGUGUAGUUGACCAUCCAGGUGUUGUAGAUAACUUCAAAACCGAUCAUUUUCCCUCUACUGAGCUUCCACACAUUGAUUGAUAUUGGUGCUGAGUGACUGGAUGGUCUGUUCUAAGCUAAGAGUUCGUCGUGCUCCUGUGACAGCAGCUGGUUCAGUGGUUGUUGCAACACUCUCGCCAGCAACUCUCUCAAUUGUACGUGCCAUAAAGGCAUCCUCAUUCUUGACAUGAUAAUCGCUGGCUUCAAGACAAACACCUGAAACUACACAAAUGCUGGUGACAAGGGAAGGAAAUAAUAAGACAGCAGUUCGGUGAGUUUUGACUGCACACUCUCGGAUUUCUUUUAGAAAUGAUGCUACUCACAUCUAUGGAAAGCCCUAUAACAAGGACAUAUAGCAAAACCAAUCUUUCUUAUGAAACCGUAGUAGUGUGAGUGGUGGGCAUAAGCCUCGAUUUCAAAAAUUUCACCCACACCUUAGCAAUAGGUUUCAAAUCUAUCCUAUUAACUACACGCCCUUCCUCGUUAGCCCAUGAUGCCCUUCGAUGGUAAGAGUUGUAAAAAUGGUGGUCCACUUUUUCGGGGUUAACUUCUCACACAAUUUAGCAUACUCACAAGUAAUUUCAGCAGGUAAAUUAUAAAAAGCAUUGAUAACACGAGAGUCUAAUGGAACAAGUGUGUUUCUUACCCAGAUGUUACACUGAUCAGGUCUUACAGAAUUGGCAUAAAAUUCUUUUACUACCGACAGUACAGGAUUGCGAGGGUGUUUGCAAAACUCUAGCCAUCCUCGCUUUGCUGCAGCAUUAUGAAUUGUGUACACAAUUCCCGUGAGUUGGUCUGGAAAUUGAAACCCUUUUUCUUCUAGAAUCCUACGCGGCUUUAUGAAUUCUUCGUAUUUUUCUUCGGCGUGGUAACUCUGGAACCGUGAUGGAUCUUUGAGGCAGCUUGUUGUUUUCUUAUAUCUCGGCAUUGCUAUAGCAGUAACAAAUUAAGGCUACUGUUCCUGAGAGUAAAAAGAGAAGAAGAGGUUAAGAAUUAGGAGAGUUAGAUUUGUGGAGGAGAUGGUGAAUAGUGGCGUAGAGCACUAAGCACAGUGACUCCUUUUUAUAGUGGACUUGCAAUUGAAGAUAAAUACGAUAACUAAAGAUAAAUGAGGGAAGAAAAUAUUUUUAAAUUGAUGCACAAAUCCCAAAAAUAUCGGCUAGUAAAAUUUGGCAUUAAUUUCAAAAAUUUAUUAGUAAUUGCUAUCCAUAUCCAAGCGUCCAUCUGUCACGAUUUCAUCUCCAACGGUAAGUGAAAGGCUCCAGCUUUUAAUUUUUUGUAACGGUAAAAUUAGUUGCUGCAGCACCCAUUUGCUUAUUCCAACAACGGAUACAGACUCCAUACCAAAGCGUCUGACACGUGGUUUUGCCUCUGAAUUCUGCCACCAUACACUUUCAAUUGUCACAAUGGAAGUCAAUUGUCACACAUACUUUCCAUAAAUUCAAAUUAGUUCGAGCAUCUAAAAACAAAGAAAUCAAAUAAUAGCAAAAGUAAAUAAAAUGCAAUAAUUUGAAAAAAGAUAAUAAAUAGCUAGAAUGAAAUAACAAAAAUUUAAAUAAUAUGGUAAAAAGGGAGAGCUGUCAACUAAACCAAUGGAGGUCAAAAUUGGUUUGAAAUGGUUGUCUCCCCAAAGGGCUGCCUCCCAUAGAGCGCUUGAUUUAAGGUCUUUCAGCCUGACCUUCCUUCAUUGUUUAAUAGCUGGGUUCUUUAAGGAGUAACACCUCCUUUAAACCUUCUGCUGCUGGAUGUAUGUAAUGCUUAACCCUGUGUCCAUUAACCUUGAAUUCGUGGCCUGUUUGUUCAUCUACAAGAUCAACAGCUCCAUGAGGGUAAGAUUUUAACAGUUUAAACGGGCCAGACCAAUGUGACUUGAGCUUUCCCGAAAACAAUCUUAGUCUUGUAUUGUGGAGCUACACUAAUUGACCAAGGGUGAAUUUCCUGUGUUGAAUAUGCUUGUCGUGCCAGUGUUUUGUUCUCUCUUUGUAGAUUCUUACAUUUUCAUUUGAAAAUAGCCGUAAUUCAUCAAGCUCACAAAGUUGAAGCUUCUUUUGCUCUGCUGUAGCAUGCUUGUCCUAAUUUAGUUUCUACAGUGCCCAUUGUGCUUUAUGCUCUAGCUCUAGGGGCAAAUGACAAGCCUUGCCAUAAACAAUUCGGUAAGGAGACAUACCGAGUGGAGUUUUGUAUGCUGUUCUGUAGGCCCAUAAAGAGUCAUGCAAAUGUAAAGACCAAUCCUUCCUUGUUGGGUUCACCACUUUUUCUAAGAUCUUUUUAAUUUCUUUGUCGGACACUUCAGCCUGACCAUUGGAUUGUGGGUGAUAUGUUGUUGCUAUCUUGUGUCUGACUCCAUAUUUCAUCAUUGCUGCAGCAAAGAUUUUGUUGCAAAACUAUGUGCCUUCAUCACUAAUAAUUGCUCUAGAAGUACCAAACCUGGAGAAAACAUUUUUUUGAAGAAAAGUCACCACGAUUUUAGCAUCAUUGGUAGGUAAUGCUGUAGCUUCCACCCACUUGGAGACAUAAUCUACAGCAACAAGGAUAUAUAAGUUCCCAAAGGAUAGGGGAAAAGGUCCCAUGAAAUCUAUUCCCCAAACAUAAAAAACUUCAACUUCCAAUAUGUUGGUCAAUGGCAUCUCAUGUCUGCUGGUUAUGUUCCCUGUCCUUUGACACCUGUCACAACAUUUAACAAAUUCAUCAGCAUCUGUAAAAAUAGUGGGCCAAUAAUAACCUGAUUGCAUAACUUUGGUAGCUGUUCUGUGACCACUAAAAUGUCCUCCAUAUGCUGUAACAUGACAUGACUCCAGUAUAUGAGGUAUUUCUUCUGCUGCAACACAUCUUCUUAUUACUUGAUCUGAGCAUAGCUUAUGUAAAUGUGGGUCAUCCCACUGGUAGCUUCUAACAUCAUUAAGAAAUUUAUUUUUCUCUUGGAACUUCAGCUCAGGUGGUAGCAACCCACUUACUAGAUAGUUAGCAAAGUCUGCAUACCAUGGAGAUUCUGACUGCUGCAGCAUCUAUGCUUGCUGUACUACCAAUAGUUGUUCAUCAGGAAAAGUUUCAGUGAUGUCCUUCCUUGUCAAUGUACUAGUGUCUGCUUCCAACCGUGACAAGUGGUCUGCCACUUGAUUUUCAAUUCCCUUUCUAUCUUUAAUUUCCAGAUCAAAUUCUUGAAGCAAUAAGAUCCAUCUGAUUAAUCUUGGUUUGGCAUUCUUCUUUGAAAUUAAAUAUUUAAUGGCUACAUGAUAUGUGUAAACAGUUACUUUAGUGCCCACCAGGUAAGCUCAGAAUUUGUCAAAAGCAAAAACUACUGCCAGCAACUCUUUCUCUGUAGUGGUGUAAUUGAUCUGAGUUAGAGUGAAAGUUUUGCUUGCAUAGUAUAUGGAAUGAAAAACCUUAUCCUUUCUUUGCCCUAAUACUACUCCCACAGAAUGAUCACUAGCAUCACACAUCAAUUCAAAUGGUAAAUUCCAAUCUAGGGAUAUAACUACUGGAGCAGUGAUCAAGGCUUUCUUUAAUUCUCCAAAUGCUUGAAGGCACUCUUUGUCAAAGUGAAAUGGUUUGUCAUGCUCUAGCAAUGAACACAGAGGCUUGGCUACUUUGGAAAAACCUUAAUGAAUCUUCUGUAGAAUCCAGCAUGACCCAAAAAACUCCUAAUACCCUUUACUGAAGUUGGGGGUGGCAGUUUAUCUAUUACCUCUAUUUUGGCUUUGUCUACCUCAAUACCAUCCUUGGAUAUCUUGUGACCCAGUACUAUGUCUUCUUGCACCAUGAAAUGGCACUUUUCCCAAUUGAGUACUAAGUUGGUCAUCUCACAUCUUUUAAGAACUUCUUCCAAGUUGUGUAAACAAUUACUGUAUGUUUCUCCAAAAACUGAGAAAUCAUCCAUGAAAACUUCCAAAGUCUGCUCUACCAUAUCAGAAAAUAUAGACAUCAUGCAUCUUUGAAAAGUUGCUGGAGCAUUGCAUAACCCAAAUGGCAUUCUUCUGAAGGAAAAUGUUCCAUAAGGACAGGUAAAUGUAGUAUUCUCUUGAUCCUCUUGUGCUAUAGCAAUUUGGUUGUAGCCUGAAUACCCACCUAAAAAACAUUAGUAUUUUUUUCCAGCGAGUCUGUCCAACAUCUGAUCUAUGAAUGGAAGUGGGAAAUGGUCUUUCCUUGUGGCUUUGUUGAGCUUCCUGUAAUCCAUACACACUCUCCAUCCAGUCACUGUCCUUAUAGGAAUAAGUUCAUUCUUCUCAUUAGCCAUUACUGUUAUCCCUCCUUUUUUUGGAAGACACUGAACUGAGCUUACCCAUGAACUGUCUGAUAUUGGGUAUAUGACUCCAGUAUCUAACCAUUUAAUGAUUUCCUUCUUCACCACUUCUUUCAUAAUAAGAUUCAACCUUCUCUGGUGCUCCACCGAAUUGCUGGAACAGUCUUCUAACAGGAUUUUAUGCAUCUAUAUUGAUGGGCUGAUCCCCUUUAUAUCUGCCAUGGUCCAUCCAGUUGCUUUUUUGUAUUUUCCCAGCAAAUCUACUGGGCUUUGUUCUUGACCUGCAUCCAAAGUAGAAGAAAUGAUUACAGGGAGUGUGUUGUUUUGACCAAGAUAAGCAUACUUAAAAUGUGAAGGUAACAAUUUUAAUUCAAAACUAAGAGGUGAUUCAAUAGAUGGUAAAGUUAUUUUUACUUCCCUGUCUGAAAGAUUCAGGUGUUCAAUAACCCUGUUGUGCCUACUAAAUUGCUGUUUGUCCAUCCAAUCUGUUUGAAUUGCUGCAAUAUCUUCCUCUUCAACCUCUUCAAAGGUGGUGACUUUGUUAAGUACAUUACUGCAGCAUCUGUCUAUUCUUUCUGCUACAACAAGAUCCACUACACUUAGGAAAUUGCAAUCUUCUAUUUCAUCAGGGUUUCUUAUAGCCUCUAGUACAUUAAAUGUGACUUACUGAUCAUUCACUCGCAUGGUCAGCUCUCAUUUCUGCACAUCUAUCAAAGUCUUCCCAGUUGCUAGAAAAGGUCUGUCAAGUAUAAUGGGUACCUCUUUGUUAGCUUCAAAGUCCAGCACAAUGAAAUCCACUGGAAAAAUGAAUUUGUCAAUCUUCACCAGUACAUCCUCUAUCUUUCCCUCACGAUAUGCAUGAGAUCUGUCAGCUAAUUGCAGAGUGACAGUUGUUGGUCUGCACUCCUCUACUCCAAGCUACUUAAAUAUAGAUAAUAGUAUCAAGUUAAUACUAGCUCCCAAAUCACAAAGCGCUCUGCCAGCAUACCUAGUCCCUAUAGAGUAGGGUAUUGUAAAACUCCCUGGAUCUUUCAAUUUUUAGGGAAUUUUAUUAUGGAGCAUAUGGCUGCUUUCCUGUAUUAAAGCAACACUUUUAAACUCUCCCAGCCUUUUUUUUCGUGCCAAUAUAUCUUUUAGAAAUUUCACAUAAUUUGGCAUUUGCUCCAAAGCUUCACCAGUACAUCCUCUAUCUUUCCCUCAGGAUAUGCAUGAGAUCUGUUAGCUAAUUGCAGAGUGACAGUUGUUGGUCUGCACUCCCCUACUCCAAGCUGCUUAAAUACAGAUAAUGGCAUCAAGUUAAUACUAGCUCCCAAAUCACAAAGUGCUCUGCCAGCAUACCUAGUCCCUAUAGAGCAGGAUAUUGUAAGACUCCCUAGAUCUUUCAAUUUUGUGGGAAUUUUACUCUAGAGCAUAUGGCUGCUUUCCUAUGUUAAAGCAACAGUUUCAAACUCUCCCAGCAUUCUUUUUCGUGCCAAUAUAUCUUUUAGAAAUUUCAUAUAAUUUGGCAUUUGCUCCAAAGCUUCCACAAAAAGUAUGUUUAUGUGCAGUUGCUUCAGCACUUCCAGGAAUUUACUGAACUGCUUGUCUUGUUUUUGCUUCUGGAACCUUUGAGGGAAGGGUGGUGGAUGUCUAAACUACUGGUUAGAUUCAGUAGGUAUCAACUCUGUUUGUUUAAAUUGGUGCAGGUUGUGGCUACUGGUGUUGCAACUUCUUUUUCAGCAGGAUCUGGUUGAAUUUAUUUUACAGUUGCUGUAGCUUGGUCCCUUACAUCAGUGUCUUGAUGGGGAGUCUGCUAUAACAUGCUUCCAUUUUGAGUUGGUUUUUGAGCUGAAUUGCAUUCCAUCCCAUUUUUUGUCACCUCAAUUGGGAUAUCAACAUUCUUUCCAGAUCUCAAACUGAUUACUUUGCAGUGUUCUUUGCUCUCUCUCCUAGGGUCUUCUGUAUUGCUAGGUAAGCUUCCUUGAGUUCUGCUGCUCAUUGCUGUAGCUAAUUGUCCCAUUUGGUUCUCAAGGUUUCUUAAGGACACAGCUUGACUCUGCACAAUUGCUUUAUUCUUUGCAAUGUACUCCUUGAUUAGUACUUCUAAUGAAGUGAUUGGAUCCUGACUGACAUGCUUUUGCCCUUGACUUUGUUGAUGAAAACCAGGUGGUUGCGGUUGUGUGCUUCUACUUAGUCCAUUCAAUGCUGGAGUAUUUCGAUUCUGAUUGCUCCAUGAGAAAUUUGGGUGUUGUUUCUAGCCUGGGUUGUAAGUAUUUGAAUAUGGGUUGUUAUGAGGUUGUCGAUUGAAGUUACCCACAUAAUUUACUGAGCCUGGAUUUCCAAGACAAUUAUCAAAAUCAUGUUCUUCACCAUAGUAGACAUAAGAAAGUUCAGCAACUUGCUUUACUGUUGCUGGAGCAGAUAUCAUGGCUUUUACCAUGUUAGUCAAUGAGGUUACUUGAGCUGAUAAGGCUGUAAUUGCAUCAAUGCUAUGUACCCCUGCGGAUCCUUUUGCUAUUGGUUGCCUGGCUGAAGGCCACUGGUAAUUAUUAUUGGCAAUUCUUUCCAAAAUUUCAUAAGCUUCAGUGUAGGAUUUGGAUAACAGAGCUCUAUUUGCUGAAGUAUCCACCAUUAACCUUGUACUCGGAUUCAACCCAUUGUAGAAAGUUUCCAAUUGAAUGCAACAAGGAAUACCAUGAUGAGGAUACCUUCUGAGCAAGUCCUUGAACCUUUCCUAAGCCUCGUACAAACUCUCAUGUUCAAGUUGAUGGAAUGAGGUAAUCUCAUUUCGUAAUUUUGCAUUCUUUGUCGGUGGAAAAUAUUUCAUUAGGAAUUUAUCAGCCAAUUCAUUUCAUGUAGUGAUGGAAUCAGAUGGUAAUGAAUUUAACCAUGCCCUUACUCGAUCUAUUAAAGAAUAAGAAAAUAGCAUUAGUCUUAAGGCAUCUUGUGUUGCUCCAGCAAUCUUUAAAGCAUCACUUACUUCCAAGAACAAUUUAAGAUGGAGAUGAGGAUCUUCAUUAGGCAGUCCAUUGAACUGUCCCACUGUUCGUAACAUUUGAAACAUCAUUGGUUUUAACUCAAAAUUUACAGCGUCUACUUCAGGUCUGAUGAUGCUAGGUUGUACCACUUGUGAAGUUAGCACAACACUAAUGCACCGGAUCCCAUCAGAACUCCACAGUUAAGCGUGCUUGGGCGAGAGCGGUACUCAGAUGGGUGACCACUUGGGAAGUCCCCAUGUUGCACCCCUCAUUUUGCUUUUCGGUUGGUUAAUUAUCUUUUCGCGGCCGACUCCUUCACUUUUGCGUGCGUUCGCGGGUUUCGAUCGCCGGCACGGGGUCUCCGGGGCACCUCCGACCCGCCGGAGAGCGUGAAAAGUGCCCCGGAUGGGUGAAUCGUGCGGCCGCGUCAGGGCAGGCGAGGGGGGUACGGGUUCAGUAGAUUUUCAGUGCACAUGCUAAUGGGUGCAACCAUACUAGCACUAAUGCACCAAAUCCCAUCAGAACUUCGCAGUCAGGCGUGCUUAGGCGAGAGCAGCACUAAGAUCGGUGACCUCUUGGGAAGUAAACGUAUUGCACCCCUCAUUUUGUCUUUUCGGCUGGUUAAUCCUCUUUUCGCGGCCGACUCCUUCACUUUUGCGUGCGGUCGCGGGUUUCGAUCGUUGACGCAGGGUCUCCAGGGCACCUCCGACCCGCCAGGGAGCGCGAAAAGGCCCCCGGAGGGGUGCAUCGUGCGACGGCCGAGUCAAAGCAGGCGAGGGGGGCAUGGGUUAAGUAGAUUUGUAGUGCACAUGUUGAUGGGUGCGACCACUAGCACUAAUGCACCGAAUCCCAUCAGAACUUCGCUGUGAAACGUGCUCGGGCGAGAGCAGGACUAAGAUGGGUGACCUCUUGGGAAGUAAACGUGCUGCACCCCUCAUUUUGUCUUUUCAGCCGGUUAAUCCUCUUUUCGCGGCCGACUCUUUCACUUUUGCGUGCGGUCGCGGGUUUCUAUCGCCGGUGCGAGGUCUCCGUUGCACCUCCGACCCGCCGGGGAGCGUAAAAAGUGCCCCAGAGGGGUGAAUCUUGCGGCAGCCAAGUCGGGGUAGGUGAGGGGGGCACGAGUUAAGUAGAUUUGCCGUGCACAUCCUGAUGGGUGUGACCACUAGCACUAAUGCAAUGAAUCCCAUCAGAACGUCGCUGUCAAGCAUGCUUGUGCGAGAGCAGUACUAAGAUGGGUGACCUCUUGGGAAGUAAACGUGUUGCACCCCUCAUUUUGUAUUUUCGGCCGGUUAAUCCUCUUUCGCGGCCGACUUCUUCAAUUUUGCAUGCAGUCGCGGGUUUCAAUCUUCGGUGCGGGGUCUCCAGAGCACCUCUUAAUGCCGGGGAGCGUAAAAAUCACCUCGGAGGGGUAAAUAGUGCAGCGGCCGAGUCGGGGCAGGCGAGGGGGGCACGGGUUAAGUAGAUAUGCAGUGCACAUGCUGAUGGUUGCUACCACUAGCACUAAUGCACCGAAUCCCAUCAAAACUCCGCAGUCAAGCGUGCUCGGGCGAGCGCAAUACGAACAUGGGUGACCUCUUGGGAUGUCCUCGUGUUGCACCCCUCAUUUUGUCUUUUCGACCCGUUAAUCCUCUUUUUGCGGCCGACUCCUUCACUUUUGCGUGCAAUCGCGGGUUUCUAUCGCCGGUGCGAGAUCUCUGUUGCACCUCCGACCCGCCGGGGAGCGUAAAAAGUGCCCCUGAGGGGUGAAUCGUGCGGCGUCCGAGUGGGGCCAGGCGAGGGGGGCACGGGUUAAGUUAAUUUGUAGUGCACAUGCUGAUGGGUGCAACCACUAGCACUAAUGCACUGAAUCCCAUCAGAACUUCGCUGUCAAGCGUGCUCGGGCGAGAUCAGUACUAAGAUGGGUGACCUCUUGGGAAGUAAACGUGUUGCACCCCUCAUUUUGUCUUUUCAGCCGGUUAAUCCUCUUUUCGCGGCCGACUCCUUCACUUUUGCGUGCGGUCGCGGGUUUCUAUCGCCGGUGCGAGGUCUCUGUUGCACCUCUAACCCGCCGGGGAGCGUAAAAAGUGCCCCGGAGGGGUGAAUCUUGCGGCAGCCAAGUCGGGGUAGGUGAGGGGGGCACGAGUUAAGUAGAUUUACCGUGCACAUUCUGAUGGGUGCGACCACUAGCACUAAUGCAAUGAAUCCCAUCAGAACUUCGCUGUCAAGCGUGCUUGUGCGAGAGCAAUACUAAGAUGGGUGACCUCUUGGGCAGUAAACGUGUUGCACCCCUCAUUUUGUCUUUUCGAUCGGUUAAUCCUCUUUUCGCUGCCGGCUACUUCAAUUUUGCAUGCAGUCGCGGGUUUCGAUCGUCGAUGCGGGGUCUCCAGGGCACCUCUUAAUGCCGGGGAGCGUAAAAAUAGCCCCGGAGGGGUACAUAGUGCAGCGGCCCAGUCGGGGCAGGCGAGGGGGGCACGGGUUAAGCAGAUUUGCAGUGCACAUGCUGAUGGUUGCUACCACUAGCACUAAUGCACCGAAUCCCAUCAAAACUCCGCAGUCAAGCGUGCUCGGGCGAGCGCAAUACGAACAUGGGUGACCUCUUGGGAUGUCCUCGUGUUGCACCCCUCAUUUUGUCUUUUCGACCCGUUAAUCCUCUUUUUGCGGCCGACUCCUUCACUUUUGCGUGCAAUCGCGGGUUUCUAUCGCCGGUGCGAGAUCUCUGUUGCACCUCCGACCCGCCGGGGAGCGUAAAAAGUGCCCCUGAGGGGUGAAUCGUGCGGCGUCCGAGUGGGGCCAGGCGAGGGGGGCACGGGUUAAGUUAAUUUGUAGUGCACAUGCUGAUGGGUGCAACCACUAGCACUAAUGCACUGAAUCCCAUCAGAACUUCGCUGUCAAGCGUGCUCGGGCGAGAGCAGUACUAAGAUGGGUGACCUCUUGGGAGGUAAACGUGUUGCACCCCUCAUUUUGUCUUUUCGGUCGGUUAAUCGUCUUUUCGCAGCCGACUCCUUCACUUUUGCGUGCGGUCGUGGGUUUUCAUUGUUAGCGCGGGGGGCAACUCUGACCCGCCGGGGAGUGAGAAAACCGCCCCGGAGGGAGGAAUCGUGCGGCGGCCGAGUCGGGGGAAACGAGGGGGGCACGGGUUAAGAAGAUUUGCAGUUCACAUGCUGAUGGGUGCGACCAUACCAGCACUAAUGCACCGAAUCCCAUCAGAACUCCGCAGUCAAGCGUGCUCGGGCGAGAGCAGUACUAACAUGGGUGAACUCUUGGGAUGUCCUCGUGUUGCACCCCUUAUUUUGUCUUUUCGGCCAGUUAAUCAUCUUUUCGCGGCCAACUCCUUUAGUUUUGCGUGCAUUCGCGGGUUUCGAUCACCGGCGCGGGGUCUUCGUGGCACCUCUGACUCGCCGGGGAGAGCGAAAAGCGCUCCGGACAGGUGAAUCGUGCGGCAGCCGGGACAGGGCAGGCGACGAGGGCACAUAUUAAGUAGAUUUGUAGUGCACAUGUUGAUGGGUGCGACUAUACCAGCACUAAUGCACCAAAUCCCAUCAGAACUUCACAGUCAGGCGUGCUUAGGCGAGAGCAGUACUAAGAUCGGUGACCUCUUGGGAAGUAAACGUAUUGCACCCCUUAUUUUGUCUUUUCAGCCGGUUAAUCCUCUUUUCACGGCCGACUCCUUCACUUUAGAGUGCGGUCGCGGGUUUCGAUCGCCGGUGCGAGGUCCUUGUUGCACCUCCGACCCGCCGGGGAGCGUAAAAAGUGCCCCGGAGGGGUGAAUCUUGCGGCAGCCAAGUCGGGGUAGGUGAGGGGGGCACGAGUUAAGUAGAUUUGCAGUGCACAUCCUGAUGGGUGCGACCACUAGCACUAAUGCAAUGAAUCCCAUCAGAACUUCGCUGUCAAGCGUGCUUGUGCAAGAGCAGUACUAAGAUGGGUGACCUCUUGGGAAGUAAACGUGUUGCACCCCUCAUUUUGUCUUUUCGGCCGGUUAAUCCUCUUUUCGCGGCCGACUCCUUCACUUUUACGUGCGGUCGCGGGUUUCGAUUGUCGGCGCGGGGGGCACCUCUGACCCGCCGGGGAGUGAGAAAACCGCCCCGGAGGGAUGAAUCGUGCGGCGGCCGAGUCGAGGGAAACGAGGGGGGCACGGGUUAAGAAGAUUUGCAGUUCACAUGCUGAUGGGUGCGACCAUACCAUCACUAAUGCACCGAAUCCCAUCAGAACUCCGCAGUCAAGUGUGCUCGGGCGAGAGCAGUUGUAACACCCCAAAUCUAACACGUGCGGAGCACGUGAAGAAGGAGGUUACUCACAAAUCAUAAUCUUUACUCAUAAGUUUCAAACUGAAAUUCCUCCAAUUCUUAUUCAAAUAAAUCCAUAAAUCCAAACGUCAAAUACUAAAUAAUCUCUCUCGAGGACAUAUAAAAAUAAUAACAAAAGUCUCAAACUCCAAAUUACACGUUCAUAAUAAAAGUAACUAAAUAGAAACACAAGUUUAUUCCUCCUUUUAUUCAAUAGCAAACGGAAACUGGAAAUCACUAACUUCAAAGCUCAGUGCACCUCUCAAAAGAAACUUAAUCUGCAAAAAGUAAUGACGAGGGGUGAGCCGUCAACUCGGUAAGUAAAACCAUUCAUAACACACUAGGCCUAUCGAUACCAUAAAUAUUGCAAGCCUUCUUUUGUUUAAAGCAUAUAUCAUAAUCCAUAAUUUUCAUAAAACGAUAUAUCACAAUAACAUAAGAUAAUUUCUUAAUAAUUCAGAAUAUUCAAAAGCAUAUUUACUUACGAAUCAAAUCAUGUAAUACGUAUACAGAAAACAAACAGGUUAGCUCAUGUCACAUAGUGUCACCUAUAGUCCCGGUGACCCGGCCAGAAACAUAAUCAGAAUAUCGUGUGCACACUCAGAACAGAAACCCAGUACUGGUCCAGACGGAUAUAUCGUAUAUUACGAUCAGAAUCAGAAUCAGACUAACUAUGGACAAUGAGCCAAAGCAAUAAGAAUCUCAUACAAUCAUCAAUAAUUGAAAUCAAACAUAGGUACAAAACAUUCGUAUCAGUUUCAUAAAAGUUCAUAUCAAUAAUAUAGGCUUGCAUAACAUUUUAAAGAUAACAUCCUAAAAGGUUGUCAUGUCAUAAAAAUAACUUACAUAUUCAAAAGCAUUUAUAAAAUACUUUGUUAAAAAGAAUGGUUUGAAAACAUUUACAUAAAGCUAAUUUUGUUAUCAAAAUUAGUAAUCCUUUAAGUAGUAUCAAAACAUUUAUACUUAUAAUAAUAAUAUCAAAAUACUUAUACAUAUCUAGUACAUUAGGAAUGAAGUUACUUACCUCGACAAAUGAACUUGGAUUAACACAGCUCUAAGCUUAGGCCACCCAUAAUUCUCAAUGAAAGCCCAAUUUCCAUAAUUUAAUAUGUAUGGGAAUUUGUGGCGUUACAAUUUCUCCCCUCCUAACAAAAAUUUCGUCCUCGAAAUUAAAAGGUUACCUUAUGCAUGGAAGAGUUGAGGAUACUUCUCCAACAUUUCUGCUUCUCUCUCCCAAGUGGCUUCCUCAAUAGAAUGAUUCAUCCAUCGUACCUUCACUAGGGGAAUAACUCUAUUCCUUAAUACUUGUUCGUCUCGAUCGACAAUCUCAAUAGGCUGUUCCUCAUACGACAUGUCUUCAUUUAUCUGAAUCGGUUGAUAGUCUAGCACAUGUAAAGGGUCUGCAAUGUACUUUCUUAACACAGACACAUGAAAUACAUUGUGAAGCCUAGACAGACUUGGUGGUAAAGCUAUGCGAUAGGCCACCGGACCAAUUCUCUCUAAAAUCUCAAAUGGUCCAAUAAAUCUAGGGCUAAGCUUUCCUGUCUUCCCGAACCGAAACACCCCUUUCCAUGGCGAUACUUUCAAGAAAACAAAAUCUCCUUUUUCGAAUUCCAACUCAUGUCUACGACGAACUGCAUAACUCUUCUGUCUGCUCUGAGCUGUUUGAAGACGUCCUCUAAUCAACUUGAUUUUAUCAACAGUAAUCUGUAUUAAUUCUGGACCCAAAAGUUUUCUUUCACCAACUUCAUCCCAGCAGAUUGGGGACCUACACUUUCUUCCAUAUAAUGCCUCAAAUGGUGCCAUGCCAAUACUCGAAUGGAAGCUAUUGUUAUAAGCAAAUUCGAUCAACAUUAGGUGCUCUUCCCAACCACCACUCAAGUCUAGGACGCAAGCUCGAAGCAUAUCCUCAAGGGUUUGAAUAGUCCUUUCGGAUUGCCCAUCUGUCUGUGGAUGAAAAGCAGUGCUAAAUCUCAAUUUCGUCCCCAACUCUUUAUGUAAGCUAGCCCAAAAUCUUGCAGUGAACAGUGGAUCUCUAUCAGACACUAUUGACACUGGAACCCCAUGAAGCCUCACUAUCUCCUUAAUGAACAACUUAGCUAGUUGCCCUACAUUGUCUGUACUCUUCCUUGCCAAGAAAUGAGCUGAUUUCGUCAAUCGAUCAACAAUUACCCAAAUGCAAUCACAUCCCCUCCUAGAACGAGGUAAUCCAGAAACGAAAUCCAUUGUUAUGUGUUCCCAUUUCCACUGAGGAGUAGGAAGCGUUUGUAAAGUUCCUGCUGGUCUUUGAUGCUCAAUCUUUACUUGUUGGCAGACUAAACACCGAGACACAAAAGCAGCAAUAUCUCUCUUCAUAUUCCUCCACCAAAAACUUUGCUUUAGAUCACGAUACAUCUUAGUACUACCAGGAUGCAUACUGUAAGAUGAUUCAUGAGCUUCUCUUAAGAUCUCUGCCUUCAACUCUUCGUCUGCUGGCACGCAUAACCUUUGUCCCAACCAUAAUCCAUCCCCAUUAUCAAGUCUAAAUCCGGGCUUAUGUCCUUUGCUCACAUCUUCACGGAUUUUAUUGAGUUCUAUGUCGUUCUUCUGAGCUACCUUAACUCUAUCAAUUAGAGUGGGUUGGACUGUCAAAUGUGCUAACACGUCUGCUUGCCCAUGAGUAACUACCUCAAUCCCACAUCUCCUCAAGUCUUUUACCACAUGAGAUUGCAUGGUGAUAAGAUGAGCCAUGCACCCAGAUGAUUUCCUACUCAAGGCAUCUGCUACCACGUUUGCCUUACCUGGAUGGUAAUUAAUAGAACAAUCAAAAUCCUUUACCAACUCCAACCAUCUUCUUUGCCUCAAAUUCAAUUCCUUUUGAGUAAACAAGUACUUCAAACUCUUAUGAUCGGUGAAGAUCUCACAAGUCUCCCCAUACAAAUAGUGUCUCCAGAUUUUUAGAGCAAACACUAUAGCAGCCAAUUCCAAAUCGUGUGUUGGGUAGUUUUGUUCAUGAUUCUUUAGCUGCCUAGAAGCAUAUGCUAUAACCUUACCAUGUUGCAUUAAAACGCAACCCAAACCUUUUCUGGAAGCAUCACUGUAAAUCACAAAACCUCCACCUUCAGAAGGGAGAGUUAAAACAGGGGCAGUCACCAAAUAACUCUUGAGCUCUUGAAAGCUCUUUUCACAUGCCUCAUCCCAAUUGAACUUCACAUUCUUCUUAGUCAAAUUAGUCAAUGGUGCUGCUAUGCUAGAAAAUCCUUUGACAAAGCGCCUAUAAUAACCUGCCAAUCCUAAGAAACUCCUUACUUCAGUCACACUAGCAGGCCUUUCCCAAUUCACAAUUACCUCCACUUUGGCUGGAUCUGCUGAAAUACCAUCCUUCGUCACUAUAUGUCCCAAAAACAUCACACGAUCAAGCCAAAACUCACAUUUCUUAAAUUUUCCAUACAACUUCUUCUCCCGCAAUGUUUCUAAUACAAUCCUCAGGUGCGUCUCAUGCUCCUUCUUACUCUUAGAGUAAAUUAAUACGUCAUCAAUAAAGACGAUGACAAACUGGUCAAGAUAAGGUUGGAAGAUCCUAUUCAUCAAAUCCAUGAACGCUGCAGGAGCAUUAGUUAAUCCAAAAGGCAUAACUAAGAACUCAUAGUGUCCAUAACGAGUUCGAAAAGCUGUCUUCGAUACAUCCUCACUUCUUAUUUUCAAUUGAUGGUAGCCAGAUCGUAAAUCAAUUUUAGAGAAUACCGCUGCACCUCGUAAUUGAUCAAAGAGGUCAUCAAUUCGGGGAAGAGGGUAUUUAUUCUUGACGGUAACCACAUUCAACUGCCGGUAGUCUAUACACAACCUCAUUGAACCAUCUUUCUUCUUUACGAACAAAACGGGAGCACCCCAAGGUGACACACUAGGACGAAUGAAACCCUUAUCUAGUAAUUCUUGUAGCUGGAUCUUUAGUUCUUUUAAUUCAAUGGGUGCCAUCCGAUAUGGUGCCUUGGAUAUAGGUGUAGUACCAGGAACUAAUUCUAUAGUAAACUCAACCUCUCGAUCUGGGGGUAGUCCCGGAAGAUCUUCAGGAAAUACAUCAAUAAACUCCCUUACAAUAGGUAUGUCUUCAAGGCACGCCCCAUCGGGAUGGUCAGCAACUAUAUACGCUAAAAAUCCUUCACACCCAUUCUUUAGCAUUUUCAUUGCCUUAACCAUAGAAAUCAAAGCUUUAUGACUCUUAUGAUUCCCUUGAAAAUGAAAUUCUUCCUCGCCAGGUAGGCGAAAAAUAAUUUCCUUAGCAAAACAAUCUAUUGAAACAUGGUAAGGUCCUAACCAAUCCAUCCCCAAAAUAAAAUCAAAAUCGUGCAUCUAUAAAGGUAGGAGAUCCACAAGGAAUUCUCUAUCACACAAUCUGAUCACACAUGACUUAUAGACAUGAUCUAUAAACUGGCAAUCCCCCACAGGGGUACUAAUUGUCACGUGAACAUCCAGUGGUGUGAUAGGCACAUUAGCAUAACGGGCAAACACACAAGAUACAAAUGAAUGUGUAGCACCAGGAUCAAAAAGAACUUUGGCUUAUCUAGAGAAUAAGGACAAUGUACCUGAUACUACAUCAUUGGACACCUCAGCAUCUUUUUCUGUUAGUGCAAAAACACGCCCUUGCACCCUCGGUUUCUUCCUCUGCCCUUCGUUAGUCGGAGUAUUUGUAGUCUCGCUACGUCUCUUUGGGCAAUCCAUAAUCCUAUGCCCAGAUUCUCCACAAGCAAAACAAGCUCCAGUUUUCCAAUGGCAUUCACCAGGGUGCCUCCUUUCACAAUGUCGACAAAUGGGGUAGUUCCUCCGAGUGGUGUCACCAGUAACACCCUUGUUAUCCCAUUUGUUACCUCCACCAUUAUACUUCUGGGAGUGAGUGCCCUGCCUAAAGGAACUUCCAUUUCGCGGUCCACCUUAUUGAUUCUUCUUAUUUCUCUGAUCCCUUGUAACUUGGGCUUCAAGAAUAUCCUUCUCCGCAAGAAUUGCUCGGUCCACCAAAUCGGCAUAAUUGUUAAUCUUAAGGAUGGUCAAUCGCCCUUUAAUGUUAGGACGUAACCCUUCCAGAAACUUCCUACACUUACUACCUUCAUUAGCAACCAAGGUAUGAGCAAAACGAGAGAGGGCAGUAAAUUGUUCCUCAUACUCCGCAACAGACUUUGUUCCUUGAGUCAACCUCAAGAAAUCAGCCUCCAUCUGAUGUCGAGCUCGUUCAGGAAAAUACUUUUCAUGAAAAGCCUCCAAAAAUAACUCCCAAGUAAUGGGUGCAUCUUGCAAGCCAGCCCUUAUGAGACGAGAUUUGGCAUCCCACCAGUGGUCUGCCUCACCCUGAAGGACAAAUGAGGCUAAUAUUACCCUUUGAUCAUCAUUACAACCCAUAGCCACAAAUAUCUUCUCCAUCUGUUUUAGCCAUGCCUCUGCAACCAUGGGAUCGGCAGUCCCCUGAAAGGUAGGUGGUCCCAAUUUCUUAAAUCGUUCUAAGUUCACCAUAGCCCUAUGAUCUCUUGCGCCACCUUGCCUUUCAACUGGCACAUUCUCUUGUGCCCCAACUCUGCCUCUAGCCAUAUCUUGAAUUAACUUACUUUGUUGUUCCAUCAAUCUAAACAUUGCGCGCAUCAUAGGAUUUCCUUCGUUAGCCAUCUCGUGCAAGGUUGGGUCAGCAUCGUCAGCGAUACCUAAAACAUCUCUCGAGCUAGAGGCAUGCCUAGCACCUCCCCUACGUGACAUCUCUUGACUAUAACACGGAGAAUAAAUAAAUAAUUAAAAAGGGUAAAUAAUUCAUAGCUAAAGGUCGUGCAAGCGCGCAGAGUACUGAAUAAGUAGUGUAACUAAGAAAAUUUGAUAUUGUAAACAAGAGCAAUAAAUAUUUCAUUCUACGUUAAUACCAAAGAUCAUAUAACAAGAGUUAUUACAAAGUCGCAAGCAACAUAGAAAGCCAAAAAGACCAAAAUAGAAUUACUAGUCAUAAAUGAUUACUCCUUGCCUUAAAAUAUUUAAUCACUCUAUUAACCUCAAUAAAGUCUACAGAGUUUCAUGUCCUACAGCCACAAAGUUCAUAGGUGUACUCAACCGGAUAGGAAAAGGAUCUAUUUUUACUUUCCUUUCCUUAGUCGUGACUCCAUCUGUCUCGAUUUCCUUAGGAAUUCUAUAAGGUAGUUUAUUUAGACCUGGAGAUACCCAUCCUUUGCUAUAGUAAGGCUUAAAUCGAGGUCCUGUCCAAAAUAGGCGACGUAUUACAAGCUUAUUCUUGUUAGCUCCCUUGCCAUAAACACGUAGUCCACGUAUAGCCUCAUUGAGCUUCUUUCUUGAAGCUCCAGGUCCUGGAGGAGUAUCGAUGUAGACCUCUAUAGUCCGUCUUAGUCUAUCAUCCAUUCGCUGCUUAUGAAGUCUCCUAAGAUCUUUGACAAGAACUCCUCCUAAGAUAAAUUGUUCGGUCCUAUCAAUUUCUGUCCAUCCCUUAUUCUUGACACUUUUCAUACCCAUAUUGUCCUUCUUCAUGUCUACAAAACAAAUGUAAUCGAUUUAAUUAGACAAUCUAAUUAAACCGUAAAAGAAAGUCUACAGAAUCCUAACCUAGUUGCUCUGAUACCACAAUUGUAACACCCUAAAUUUAACACGUGCGGAGCACGUGAAGAAGGAGGUUACUCACAAAUCAUAAUCUUUACUCAUAAGUUUCAAACUGAAAUUCCUCCAAUUCUUAUUCAAAUAAAUCCAUAAAUCCAAACGUCAAAUACUAAAUAAUCUCUCUCGAGGACAUAUAAAAAUAAUAACAAAAGUCUCAAACUCCAAAUUACACGUUCAUAAUAAAAGUAACUAAAUAGAAACACAAGUUUAUUCCUCCUCUUAUUCAAUAGCAAACGGAAACUGGAAAUCACUAACUCCAAAGCUCAGUGCACCUCUCAAAAGAAACUUAAUCUGCAAAAAGUAAUGACGAGGGGUGAGCCGUCAACUCGGUAAGUAAAACCAUUCCUAACACACUAGGCCUAUCGAUACCAUAAAUAUUGUAAGCCUUCUUUUGUUUAAAGCAUAUAUCAUAAUCCAUAAUUUUCAUAAAACGAUAUAUCACAAUAACAUAAGAUAAUUUCUUAAUAAUUCAGAAUAUUCAAAAGCAUAUUUACUUACGAAUCAAAUCAUGUAAUACGUAUACAGAAAACAAACAGGUUAGCUCAUGUCACAUAGUGUCACCUAUAGUCCCGGUGACCCGGCCAGAAACAUAAUCAGAAUAUCGUGUGCACACUCAGAACAGAAACCCAGUACUGGUCCAAACGGAUAUAUCGUAUAUUACGAUCAGAAUCAGAAUCAGACUAACUAUGGACAAUGAGCCAAAGCAUUAAGAAUCUCAUACAAUCAUCAAUAAUUGAAAUCAAACAUAGGUACAAAACAUUCGUAUCAGUUUCAUAAAAGUUCAUAUCAAUAAUAUAGGCUUGCAUAACAUUUUAAAGAUAACAUCCUAAAAGGUUGUCAUGUCAUAAAAAUAACUUACAUAUUCAAAAGCAUUUAUAAAAUACUUUGUUAAAAAGAAUGGUUUGAAAACAUUUACAUAAAGCUAAUUUUGUUAUCAAAAUUAGUAAUCCUUUAAGUAGUAUCAAAACAUUUAUACUUAUAAUAAUAAUAUCAAAAUACUUAUACAUAUCUAGUACAUUAGGAAUGAAGUUACUUACCUCGACAAAUGAACUUGGAUUAACACAGCUCUAAGCUUAGGCCACCCAUAAUUCUCAAUGAAAGCCCAAUUUCCAUAAUUUAAUAUGUAUGGGAAUUUGUGGCGUUACAGCAGUACUAACAUGGGUGAACUCUUGGGAUGUCCUCGUGUUGCACCCCUCAUUUUGUCUUUUCGGCCGGUUAAUCCUCUUUUCGCGGCCGACUCCUUUGCUUUCGCGGGUUUCGAUCGCCGACGCGGGGUCUCCGGGGCACCUCCGACUCGCCAGGGAGAGCGAAAAGCGCUUCAGAGGGGUGAAUCAUGCGGCGGCCAAGUCGGGGCAGGCGACGGGGGCACAGAUUACGUAGAUUUGUAGUGCACAUGCUGAUGGCUGCGACGAUACCAGCACUGAUGCACCGAAUCCCAUCUGAACUCCGCAGUCAAGUGUGCUCGGGCGGGAGUAGUACUAACAUGGGUGACCUCGUGGGAUGUCCUCGUGUUGCACCCCUUAUUUUGUCUUUCGGCCAGUUAAUCCUCUUUUCGCGGCUGAAUCCUUCACUUUGCUAGCGUUCGCGGGUUUCGAUCGCCGGCGAGGGGUCUCCGGGGCACCUCCGACUCGCCGGGGAGAGUGAAAAGCGCUCCGGAGGGGUGAAUCGUGCGGGGGCCGAGUCGGGGCAGGCGAGGGGGCACAGAUUAAGUAGAUUUGUAGUGCACAUGCUGAUGGGUGCGACCAUACCGGCACUAAGGCACCGAAUCCCAUCAGAACUCCGCAGUCAAGCGUGCUCGGGCGGGAGUAGUACUAAUAUGGGUGACCUCGUGGGAUGUCCUCGUGUUGCACCCCUCAUUUUGUCUUUUUGGCCGGGUAAUCCUCUUUUCGCGGCCGACUCCUUCACUUUUACGUGCGUUCGCGGGGUUCGAUUGUCGGCGCGGGGCCUCCGGGGCACCUCCGACCCGCCGGGGAGCGUGAAAAGCGCUCCGGAGGGGUGAAUCGUGCAGGGGCCGAGUCGGGGAAGGCGAGGGAGGCACGGAUUAAGUAGAUUUGUAGUGCACAUGUUGAUGGGUGCGACUAUACCAGCACUAUUGCACUGAAUCCCAUCAGAACUCCGCAGUGAAACGUGCUCGGGCGGGAGCAAUACUAACAUGGGUGACCUCUUGGGAAGUCCUCGUGUUGUACCCUUCAUUUUGUCUUUUCGGCCGGUUAAUACUAUUUUAGCGGCCGACUCCUUCACUUUUGCGUGCAUUCGCAGGUUUUGAUCGCCGGCGCGGUCUUUGGGGCACGGGUUAAGUAGAUUUGCAGUGCACAUGCUAAAAGGUGCGACCAUACCAGUAGUAAUGCAUCGGAUUCUAUCAGAACUCUGCAGUUAAGCGUGCUUGGGCGAGAGCAGUAAUAAGAUGGGUGACCUCUUGGGACGUCCUCGUGAUGCAACCCUCCUUUUGUCUUUUCGGCCGGUUAAUCCUCUUUUCGCGCCCGACUCCUUCACUGUUACGUUUGUUCGAGGGUUUCGAUCGCCGGCGCGGGGUCUUUGGGGCACCUCCGAUCCGCCGGGGAGCGUGAAAAGCGCCCCGGAGGGGUGAAUCGUGCGGUUCCCGAGUCGGUGCAGGCGAGGGGGGCACGAGUUAAGUAGAUUUAUAGUGCACAUGUUGGUGGAUGCGACCAUACCAGAACUAAUGCACCGGAUCCCAUCAGAACUCUGCAGUCAAGCGUGCUUGGGCAAGAGCAGUACUAAGAUGGGUGACCUCCUGGGAGGUCCUCGUGUUGCACCCCUCCUUUUGUCUUUUGGGCCGGUUAAUCCUAUUUUCGCGGCCAACUCCUUCACUUUUGCAUGCGUUCGCGGGUUCGAUCGCCGGCGCGGGGUCUCUGGUGCACCUCCGACCUACCGGGGAGCGUGAAAAGCCCCCCGGAGGGGUGAAUCGUGCGGCGGCCGAGUCGAGGCCGGUGAGGGGGGCACGAGUUAAGUAAAUUUGCAGUGCACAUGCUGAUGGGUACGACCAUACUAGCACUAAUGCACCGGAUCCCAUCAGAACUCCGCAGUUAAGCGUACUUGGGCGAGAGCAAUACUAAGAUAGGUGAUCUCUUGGAAAGUGCUCGUGUUGCUAUUAAUUUCUUAUCUUUUCUUAUCUUUUUGAAGUUGUGAAAAGAUAAACUAUAGUUUGCAAUAAGAACAGUGUUGGCUAAGUGUUGACGGUAGAAAGAAUUUAGAGAUAAUUUUUAAUAAAGAUGGUUAAUUUGGAAAUUUUAUAUGCGUUUAGUGAAUGAAUAGUGUUGCAUGUAUUUAAAAUAGCACAAAAUUUAAUACAAAAGUAUAAAAAAUUCAAAAAAAAUCUUGUGCUGUGGUGGAUUCUUUUCUUGUAAUGAAACGUUUUAUUUAUUUUUAGUGAUGGCAUACUAUUUUUUAUAUUAUUUUUUUUUCUUAUAUAUUGGUAUUGUCAGCCAACAGAUGAAUAAAUGGUAAACUAUUGAUGUGAAAAAUCUCUGCCACCUUUUCGAUUUUUUUUUUAAAAGAUAGAGAGAUAAAUGAUUUCAAAUUAAUCUUUUAACUCUCUUAACUUUUGUCAAAUUUAAAUUUGAAUAGCCAACAAAAUAAAAUUAAUUGAAAACUCUACCUCCGUACUCCGAGUGCAAUUAUUUUGACUCAAAUGAAUGUCUUAAAAAUUUGAAAAAACAGACCAGCACAUUGAAUAUAUAAAAUGUGCCUGUAUAUAUAUCACACCCUGCCAAUCACGGUGUUAUAAUAAUGGAAUCAUUGAUCAGUAAAUAUAUCUUACUGUCCUUUUCUCAUGCGCAUGCGUCAUUACGAAAUCAAAGUUAACAGUGUUAUAACUAAUCACAUUUGAAAAUAUUCAUAUGAGGAGUCAAAGAUGCUUGCAAACAGUUAGUCCACAUUUGCGAGCAAGCGUGAUUAUAUAUAAUGUGCUUCUCUAUUAUAGUGUGUGAUCAAUCAGGCAAGCUUAAUUUAGCUGAUCAUCAGUAUCUAUGGAUGCGAAUCAAGAUCAAGGAGCAAAAGAGUUGUUCCAAGGCCAAGCUCAACUGUAUAAGCUCAUGUUUAGUCAUUUAAGCUCGAUGUCACUCAAGUGCGCGAUUGAGCUAGCUAGGCAUAGCGGAUAUAAUUCACAGCCACGGACGGGCCAUCACUCUUUCUGUGUUGGUCUCGGCACUUGAUAUUCAGCCUACAAAAACGACUGGCCUAUUCAGGCCAUGCGCUUGUUAGUUCACUCGGGCUGCUUUAAAAAAACCAAAGUCAAUGGGCAAGAAGAAGCAUACGGGCUCACAGCUGCUUCUACUCUGCUCAUAAAAGAUAAGCCCUACUGUUUGUCACCAACUGUUUCAGUAUUUGUUGACCCAUUUUUUGUCGCUCCAUAUCAGUCUUUAAGUAGUUGGUUCAAAGGGGCUGAGCUCACGUUGUGGGAAACUGUUCAUGGAAUCAAGUUCUGGGAAUUUAUGAAUCAAAACCCUGGAAUAAACCAGCGGUUCAAUGAAGCAAUGGCCAGUGACACUGAAAUAAUGACAAGCUUUGUUGUCAAAGCCGAGUGCAAGCAAAUCUUUGAAGGGUUGGGCACAUUGGUUGACGUAGGAGGUGGCAACGGAUCGUUUUCCAGAAUCAUCUCUGAAGCAUUCCCUGGAAUCAAAUGCACUGUACUCGACCUUCCGCAUGUUGUUGCUAACCUGCCUGAGGCCGACAACUUGAAAUACAUAGCAGGUGACAUGUUUCAGUUUAUCCCUCCGGCAGAUGCCUUUCUCUUCAAGGUAACAUCCAAUUUUAAAAAUUUAAAACGACUUCUUAACCGUUUUCGUGAAUACCAGAUGAUUUAUUUCAAUUGUUCUGUGCGCAGCACAUAUAUCCGGACGUUUGAAUCUUACAAAAUCAGGAUUUGAAUGAUUCAAAUCAGAUUUAAAGCAACUGCAAAAUGCUAUACAACUCUAAAUUUAAUUAACAUUUGGAUUUUACAGAAUCUAGAAGUUUAGGCUUGAGCAUGACCAUUUACGUAGUCAUUCUCUAGUGCGCUUACCCGCAUUUUUUCAAGUGUAUAUAACUAUUCAUUUCACAUAUGACAAUUCAUGAUAAUUUGUAUUCUGAAAGAGUGUAUAUAAUAUAAUAUAUUUUUGUAAACGAAGGAAACAGCAGCUUUGUGGCAUUGGAUUUAUACGGUCCCCCGGUAAUUAAACAAAAACAAUUAACUUUUUAUGCAAUUAUUGUUACCGAACACAUUUUUAAAUAAUAUAUCCAACAGUGCAUAGCAGUAGGUCUUUCGAAAACUCACUAAAUUUAACAUUAAAAUAUCAAUAUAUUAAUAAAAAAAGUUUAUUCUUUUAUCACAUACUGAGUUGGUGGAAUAAUCCCAAGCAAUUUUUUUCGGCCUGUACGUCAGUUUAGUUGCAAACAAAUUUUAAAAUUACAAUAAAAUAAAGAAAUUGUGAGAAUGGAACAGCUCCCCCUGAAGCUUACAUUUAAUUUAAUUACAAAGCCCCACGAGCAGGCAGAUGUUUAUUUCAAAACCAAAAAUGGACGAGGAAAAGGUUACCCAAUUGAGAAUCAGAGCAUGCAUCAGACGAGCUCAAUAUCAUCAGACAAUUUUUUUUUCUUUUUCUGCAUAUAAAUUAAUUAUGUAUAACAUUGAAACUUAUUUUUCCAUAACUUAUAUGUAUAUGUACAAAUGUGUGUGUUUAUAGGCAGAGUAAUAAAACGCUUUAUCUACAACACUAUAAAAUUAUUUUACAAUAUUUAAAACAACGAAUCUGCAUUCUAAAAAGUGUGAUUUCUGUAUGCAUAUAGAUAGAUCAAGGGGUGGGCAAAAUCGGGUUCGGAUCAACCCAAUCGGAUUUCGGAUUGAUCGGGUUGGAGAGAAAUUCAUCCGAACUCAACCCGAAUUUCAGAUCGGAUCGGAUCGGAUCGGGUUGUAUUCGGUUCGGGUCGGAUCAAAUCUAAAAUUCGGAUCAAUUUCCGGUCAAUUCGGGUUAAGGACAAAAAAGAGUUAUUUUGUUAAUUUUGGGGUUGUUUAAUAAUUAUUUAAUAAUUACAAUAUCACUUUUAUACAAUUAGUUCAUUUUAGUCCAUUUCCACUUUCGACUUUCCAAUGAUUGUCAUAAAAAAAAUAUAUAAACUAAAAUAGAAAUGAAAAAGUUGUGAGCUUGAGGACUUGGUGCCGUGAAUCUCGGUCUCGGUCUCGGUCUCGUUGGAAGAACAACCAUGGAUCACUUCGCGCGGGUCAAGCAGCAGCCGAUGGAUCAAGCGGUAAUGGGUUUCAUCGAUGGCUCAUGGCUUCACGGGUUUCGUCGGUGGCUACCGGAAAAGCAAAUCCGAUUGAAGUGAAGUGAAGCAACCGUCGAUGCAGCAGCAAGCAGAUCCUGUCGUCAAUGCAGCAGAUCUGGUCAAGUGGUGUGCUGCCUCUAGCCUGCUGCUGUGCUAACCGUUUGUGGUUAUGUUGUUGCUUGUAGUUGUUUGAGUGAGUUGUGAGGAAAAAGAGGAAGAAGAUAAAGAAGAUAAAGAAGAGAUUGAAGAGAAAGAACAUGGAGAGUGUUGGUGUGAGGCUGUGAGGCUGUGAGCCAUGGUGUUCGUAUCUGCUGUGUAGCCAUUUAGAUUUUGUUGGUUUUUUUUUUUGUUUAAGCAACCCGAUCGGGUUUUCGGAUCGGAUCGGGUCAAAGAUACAACUCGAUCGGGUUUCAAAGAUUUAAUCCGAUCGGGUUUUAUUCACGACCCGAUCCGAUCCGAACCUAAAAAUUUUCGGAUCAGAUCGGGUCGGAUCGGGUAUUUUGCCCACCCCGACGCACAAACUGUUGGGAUUUUAUUAAAAAGAAAAAGUAUUCUAUAUUUUAACUAAAAUGUUAGAUCAAACAACUGAACUGCACUAUAAGUAGUGGAUAGUAAUUAAAUGAGUGAUUGGCAUGGUUGCAGUUGGUUUUUCAUGGAUUAGGUGAUGAGGAUGGGUUGAAGAUACUGAAGAAACGCAGAGCAGCAAUUGCAAGCAAUGGUGAGAGAGGAAAGGUAAUAAUAAUAGAUAUUGUUAUCAAUGCAGAGGAAGAGGAACACGAAUUAACCGAAACAAAGUUCUUGUUUGACAUUGUGAUGAGCGUUAACGCCACUGGAAAAGAGAGAACUGAAAGUGAAUGGGCAAAGCUAUUCUUCGAUGCUUGUUUCAGUCACUACAAAAUAACACCUAUAUUUGGCAUGAGGUUCCUCAUUGAAAUCUAUCCAUAAAGAAUUGAGCAACCGUAUUCCCGCAAGUCUCAUGUACAGCUUGAUGGAAUAGCAAAAUAUCGUUCAAGAUUUAAGUGUACGUGGUAGUUGAAAUGUCUCGAAAUGACUAGAAAAUGAGGUGACACGCGGGUUUAAAUAGAGGAUGAGUCACUCAAAACAAGUAACUGCAAAAUAAUUUAUAUUGGUACUUUGGAUAUUUACAAUUAGGUUGUACAUUAAUGACAAAUGAUUCAAAAUUUAUCUUUGCAAUGUCAGUAAAAAAAAUAAUUAGUAAAAAAUUAAAAAAGUAAAAAUAACCUAUUCAUAUUAAUGAGUAAUAUUACUAUUAAAAAUUAAUAUUUCAAAAGUAUAACAUCCCCACGAUUCUUCUAAGCCAAUCAGAAACAUCAUCAGCUAAGAUUGUUUGAUGUAAGACAAAAUUGAAGUUUACUUAUUUUAUUUAGUAUUUUAAUUUUUUCAAGCUGAAUUUAUAAUUGGACUUAUAUUUGGGGGUGCAUGGAUUCUCUUUUCCGGUUUACUAUUAGAAAGAUUAUGUCACGGGUUUAAUAAUUUUUUAUCAUUAAAAUCCUUAUUUUAUGCGAGGGUUUAAUCUAUCUUGAUCACAUUUCCACUGUGUUAUUAAGAAAAUCUUCAAUUAACAUGCAGUAUAAUAUCCAAGUCAACUCAAUCAAGAGGCUAAUUAAAACUGAGGAUCAAAAAGCACAAUCAACCUUACAUAACAAGCAAGAAUAAUGAAAGCCUUGAAUUAAUCACUAGCCGUUAGUCCUCUAUCCGUUUCUUUUAAUUUAACUAGGUGGAAGCCAAGAAUCUUGAGCAAAACGCUAUGCCCCAUAUUGUAUAUGUAUCCAACAAUUCGUCAAUGAAACUUUUUUUUAUGGUAUCACAGCCAAUCUUGAGAAUCACAGACAUGCAUGGUUAUUAUGUUUCAAUGAAAAAAAGUUUGCCACUAGUGAACCUCUUAAGAAAGUUGGCUUGCUUGAUUGUAGAUCAGUAUACAAAAGAAAUUCAAAUCUAUUUGUGAUUAUUUGGCUGCCAUCAAGAAACCAGUGGAAGAUGUUGAUAAACAGUGGCAAUUGGCACGUGGACUUGGACCAGACCUGAGACCUCUCAAGGUAGCGAUGCUGGGAAAUCCUCCAUACCGUCAAUUUGGUCCUUUUAUAUUACAAGGUUCAAAAAGUUGAAUUAAUUUUCUAUUAAUGCAAGCUAGUAUCCAAGGUGGUCAAUGGAUCUAGAGAUGGGGGAAAGAAAAAAAACACUUAAAGAAAGAUGUAAUUGAUUGAUUAUGUUAAAUGCUAGCUCAUUUGUAAAUUUGAAGGAUAACAAAGACUUUAUUAAAAGUGCAGUGUGAUUAUACAAAGAGUAGUGUUAGGCAUCUUGAGAUUUUAUCUCAAAUGAUACGAUAUACAUUAAGUGAAUGAUGGCAUAGUUUAAUUAACUCACGUAAUAUUUAUGAAAAAUUGUGAAUCACUUCAUGAAAAACAUGUUACAUACCAUGCAUAUCACAUAAUAUUUUAGUGUGUAUUAUCUUUUCUUUAAUGAUAAAUUGUAUUGUGGGCAUUUAAAUAUAUAAUAUUGUAAAAUUUAACUAAAGAGUUGGUGUAACAAAAUAUUUUGAUAAGGAUAUCUGAUGAAAUUUCAAAUAAAUUUCAUUUUCACCUUAAAUUUCAAGCGACCUGAAUAUAUGCACUAUGAUUUAUUCAGAGCAAUCCGAAACCGAAAUAAUAUGAGCUUUCAGAUUGAUUAAAUGUUUUUCCCAAUACAUUCAGAUUUCAGAAAGUUUCAAAAGAAAGCUGAAAAAAUAUAUCAAUAAUUAAAAUGAAAAAAGUUGGAAGGAGGUAUCUAAAAGUCAAUUUCAACGCCAAUGAUGUGUAAUUCCACAUGAGCAAACUAGUUGAUUGCCAUGAGAAAACGAAAAGAAAAGAGAGGUGCAUAAAAUUUAAUUUGACAAUAACAGCCACGUUCUCCCCCCCCCCCCCCCCCCAAAAAAAAGCAAAAAAAAGCAUAAAUUUCAUUUGACAAUGAUAUCCUGAUAUCCAUGAACUCAACUUGGGAAAGGAAAAACAAAAAAAAAAACCUCCAUCAUAUAGAAAUUUCAUUUGACAUAUUAUCAUUUAUCUUGCUUCGCUUCGUAUCAUUUGUGUAUUUUAUUGUCUUUGAAGCAUAUGAUUUUUUUUGUUUGGUACUAUGUUGGUGUUGUUUUAAUUUUCUAUAUAAGAAACGUGAUUGUUAUAUGGAAGACAUAUUUUGCAGAAAUAAUGGGAUUCAUUCUAAACUUAGACAUUGACAAGCUAGCCGAACACUACAAGAAAAUGGAACAUUUCUAAGGGCAACUACCCUUGGAAAUAGACGAAGACUCUCAGAAAAACUCAUUUUCAAGUAAGACAUGCCGUCGAUCGUCGUCGUAUUAAGUCUUAUCGGAAAUGUAAAAUUUCUGAUGAGUCGUUGGAGAAAAAAAAAAUUUCCGAGGAUGUUGCCGUCGGAUAUGGAAUUAAAUGCCCUCCGAAAUAAGAUAAGAUAAACCUAGUUAUUUCAGCUGCAACAUGCCCUCAAAAAUAAAAGAUACACUGUCGGAAAUAGACUUAUUUCAUUAAUUUUUUAUUGUUGAAAUAUCCAUAUUAGGGAAGUAAUGUAACAAACAUAAUAAUAAUAUACGAAAUAUACUAAAUGUAACUUCAUUAAUUUCAAAAAUUCAUAAAAUCACAUUCAUCAUGCAAAAAUGCAACAAAAAUAUCAAUUUUAUACUAUCUUUUACAGAAAAAAAAAUAUACCCAAGUAUAGACAAAAUGAUAUCACCAUAUCUUAAAUAUGUUCAAUCAUCCUCUAAAACAACUUCAGUUUCUGAAUCAUUUACCUCAACUUCAUCAUCCUCAUACCCAUCAUCAUCUUCUCCCGUCAAAACAAUGUCCUAGGUGAAAGAAGGAAUUUUAAUCAUUAGUAUUACCAAAACAAGAACUUGUAUGAAAUAUAAUCAAGAAACUGAGACUAAUGAGAAAAAUAUUGUAAUAAAAACAACUUUAUAUCGAUGCAUAGUCUCCAUUUCAAAAAAUCUAAUAAUUAUUCCAUCAUUCACCUAUAUUAGAAGCUUGUCCAUAAUUACUUAAGUUCAUCAACUAAUAGAGCAAUGACAAGUCACCAAUCAUUUUUCAUGAGAACUCAAAAUAUAGAACACUUCAUUCACUUAAUCUAUUAAUAAAAUGAAAUAAACAACUUAUAGCUUCUGAGAUGAUUCUUGUGCAGACUUUCCAAGAACAAGUUUUAUCAUUCUUUUCAACUUCUUGAUUUCUUUCUCUAAGUCUUUUACUUUUACUUCCAAAUUACUACAUUGAUGCUUGUUACCUCCUUAAAUUGGCGAACCAUACACAUCCUUGCCUUUGAUGCCUGCUCCCUAACCAACAACACGACCAUGUGCUGCUUCUCUUGUCACUUCUCGAGAUAUUUUCCAUUCAUCCACUGGCAAGCCUUGAUCUAUAACAGUGGAUCUCAUUGAUUCCAUUGUUUCCUAUAAUAAAUACAAACAUUUGUGUUAGUGCAUAUAGUAAUGAAAUCAUGCAAAUAAAUCAGGAAUAUUAUGAAAAUUUAAUAUCAAAUACACACAUGCAUUUCCUUUGCCUUGUUACUUGCCCAUGUCCCCUUACAUGAAACAUCUUGAAUAAAUCAAGUGGACUAAGUUAAGUACCUAUUUGUUACUGCAAUAAAGAAUUGAAAUUCAAUAAGAUCAUAAUAAAUAAACACACUUCUUUUAUGAUCAAAGUCAAACAUGUUCUCUUCCCAUUUAUGCUCUAUGCUUGGCCAUUGGGACGAACUUGUAGUAUGAAUAAGUUUGGACUUGGUUCAAUUCCUCUUGAUCGUUCUGCCUGUUUUCUAUAUAUAAUUUUAAAAAAAGCAUAAAAUCAAUUUGGUUAUUCUGAACCCAUUGUUGAGUACUAGAGAAUUCAUAUUUAUAGAGGGUAAAAUUAUCAUUUUAUGCUUCAAGUCUCACUAACAUUUUCACUUUUACAUGUUUAAAUCCUCUAAGCUUUUAUUAUGUGUGUUUUAUUAUAAUUUAAGUAUUUUAUAUAUUUCAGAGAUAUUUUGGCCAUUUUAUGACUAACGAGAAGUCAGACAGCAAAACUAAUGGCAUUUUUGAACUCAUAAUGGUUGAAAAUCUUAGGAGGAGCAUAAAUGGAUAUUUGGCAUAUGGUAUUGUUCACAUAUUAGGUAAUAUUCACAAGUACAACACUGUUUCACAUAUACAGUAUGAUGAAGUGGCAUUGACCGAUGAUGUGGCAGGAUGUUAUUGGACCAAAAUACUGAUGUGGCAUUUACUGAUGAUGUGGCAGCAUCUUAUGGGACCGAAAUGUUGAUGUGGUGUUGACUAAUAAUGUGUACCAACCAAUCAAAGCUUGCCAUGUGGCGCAAUCCUGAGCGUACGAAUUAUUUUCAUCUGAUGGCCAUGAUUUAUCUAUUGUAUUUAUAAAUAGAGGGCUCCUCCACCUAAUUUGACACCUUUGAAUCCAUUUUCGAGCUCCAUUUUCUAUAAUUCUCUCUCCAUCUUGUAUUUUCUACAUAUUUUAUAAAAUUAUCAUUUUACUCAUUGUUCAAUUAUAAGUGGCUAGUUUAUUUCAAGCUUGGGUUGAAGGUGAAGGCUAAACAUGAUCCAUGGGCUUAGGUAAGUUUAUUUUCUUUUUCUCUCGACAAACAAUGUAUCCUAUCUAGAUGUUGCACAGUAUACCUGCUCCCUAGUGAAGGAUCGUUACUGUCUGGCACAAUGAGCACUUAACAUCAGAUUAAUUAGAGAGAAAAUUUCCCUAUAGUAUUUUGUGGGUUGUCUUGACUCAGUAUUGACAGAGAGUAUAUAUAAGCUAUUUAGUGGAUGGUCUUGCCAUGUUGUUGAUUAUUAUCAUCUGGCACAGCAUGUUCUCGACACCACACUUAGUGGAAGAUCAUUACCCCUUGCACACUGAGCGCUUGAUGUCAUAUUUAUUAGAGUGAGAAUUAUGAGGAGUUGAAAUACCCCCUUCAUGAAUUAAUUGGAACUAAAAAAGAAAUAUUAAGCCUAUGGUGAAAUGUUGAGUAUGAAUUUAGAGACUCAAGCUUUUCAUUUGCAUUAUUUUCAUCUUUAAUUCAUUCCCGUCAUUUUAUUUUAAAUCUUAAGAUAAAAAAAUUCACUCCCAGCCAACUCACAUAUACACCUAGAAAAUUAACCCUAUGCAUAAUUAAAUCUACAUUCUCGUGGGACCGAACACAAAAUCUAUUUACAAUAGAAUCGUGCCCUUGCGAGUACAAUAAAAUGUGGACAACACCCAUCAAGAACAACUCAGGUAUAAAGUACAUUGGCAAUAUUUAUAACUUUCUUAUUCCUAUAAUGAUUCUAGCAACUAUAAUUCACUGAUGAAUUAAAAGAAAAACGAAGCUUAAGAAAGAAAAUGGCAGAAAAGUAUUAUGCUAAUAGUCAUUAUUAGUACUUUCCACCCCUCAUCCAUCCAUUUGUCAACCAUUUUACCUACCAGCAGCCACAGUAGCACUCAAGAGAUAUACUACAUCAUUUAAAGAAACAAAACCCUUUGCAGACUUUAGAGAACAAAUUCUAACCUACAGAAUAUAAUUAGAAAAGCAGCCACCACAAAGCAUAGAAGCUUCUUUGUAUAGUGGUACAAUAAUCAAAACCUGAAACAUGUCCAUUAGUAUUAAAAUUGUUGACAUCAAACAAAAAUGAAACUAAAUAUCAUUUUUGCUAAGCUCUAAAUAUGACUAUCACUACUUUAAUUUUAUUUUAUUUUUGCUGAGCACUAACACUCUUGGAUUUCCUUUGAAUGUUCCUAAAUCUCAUCUUUAAUAACUAAUCAAAGUUGACUUUCUAAAAUAGUGUUUUUCAAUCCUAUAAAACAAAGCAAAUAAAUGCAAACUCGAUUAACCAAACAAGAAAUGGUUGUGCACUUUGUGCUCCUAAAUUAUGCAAACUAUGUAGUUAAUUACACAUUAACUACACCAUCGAGAAUUAUCACAAAACAACUUUAUUACAAAUUCAUGUUAAUGGAUCAAGAAAUUGCCAAUUAAGUUUUAAGGAACUUGGUGAAAUUCAAGUCACUAAGACCUAGAAAGUAAAACUUUAAUAAGAUUGAAAAGCAAGAAAUGAAAAUAAACAACUGAAAGAAGAAUAAAAAUUACAAGUAUCAAAACUAGAUCAAGAGAUGCCUACAAAGAGUUGAUGAGUUGACUCGGAGAGACACAGAAGAUGCACAAAGUUGUGAAUCUACAACUCUAAAACCCUAGAAAAUUUAUGAUAUUAAAGAAAUAUCAUGAAGAGGGAUACGGAUUGGAGAAACUGUAGGAAAAGCUAAAAAGAGUUAAAAAUUACAAACUAAAAAAUUUUAAGUAAAUUUACUUGGAGGUGCUUCUACAUGCGAACAAGAUACAAAGAGUGAGAGAGUAGCAGAUGGUAAGAUGAAAAUAGUGUCUCCAUUUGUUCGUUUGAAUUUUCUUUUAAUCAAUGUCUUAUUUUGUUGAAGGGCUUUAUUUACUACCAAAGGGUUGGACUUUAUUUAAUUGGCUUUGUUACUUUUGUAUGAACUGAUAAUAUCUUAUUUUUGUUUUAUUUAUAUAUUUUUUUAUAUUUAUAGGGUUUAUUUCUGUUUUAUCUUUUUUAUAGGAGGUUCAGAGAUUUAAUUUUAAUUUAGUAUUAUAUUUCCUACCACAAAUUCAUUAUUAGCAAGGGCAAAUUACCCUCUGAAAACUUUAUCACUUUUUUAAUGAUUUUCCAACAACUCCUUUAUGUCCUUGUAAAAAGUGCUUAUUAUCGAGGGUAAACAAUGCCCUUGGAAAUAUUUGUUCGUUAAUAUAGCUUUUUUUUGUAGUGCGUUGGCAAUGUUAUGAAGAAAAUCUAGACUUGAAUGAUAGUUGGCUAUCUUUGUUUGGUGAGUUUGCACGUUACAGGAUUGUGUGAGAUGAUUCUAUUGUAAACACCAUGAGAUUAUAUUUGUCCCAAGGUAAACACAAAAGCAUGUUGUGCAACAUUCUAUUUCAAGGUAGGGUUGCCAAAAAAGUCCAAGCCGAGCUGCAUGGAUUGGGCCUGGAUAUGGGCUGAAAAAUAUGAAGCCCGCAUAGACUGGGCCUAAAUAAGGGCCUAGAAAAUGCCCGAGCAUUUUAAUUUAUAAAUAAAAAAAAUAUCAAAUUAAAAAAUUAAAAUACUAUAUUAACUUUUUUUUAUAUUAGUAUUUACGGGUGGGUAUGUGUUGGUUUGGUUUGGGUUUACUUUAAACCCAAACCAAACCAACCCAAAUAAUUUCAACCCAACCCAAACCAACCCAUUUGGAUUUGGUUUGGGUUUGGUUUGAAUUUUAUUAUCAAAAUUUUUUUGAUAAAUUUAAUUAUAUACAAAUUAUAAUAAUUAUUAAUUGUUAUUAAUUAUUAAAUUGAUACUCAAAUAUGAAAAAAUUAUAGUGAAUAAAAAUAAAAAUAAUAAAUUUUACAAUAACUUAAUCCUUAAAUUAAAGAAUACUAGAAAAUUAAAAUAAAGUUUAAUAACAAAAAUCAUUAAUUCUCAAUAAAAAAGAACGUAAACUCUAAUAAUAAACUUUCACAAACAUGACAUCAACAGGUAAAUUCAAAGAAAGCAAAUAAAAAAAAUUAUGUGAGUGCCAUUUAGUUAAAAUAAUAAAAUUUCUUUAACUAAAAAAAUGUAUCCUUUGACUUAUAAUUAUUGAGAUGAUAAUUUUCUAUCAAAUGGUGUUUUUUUUUUUCAAUAGGUUGAUUGCUCAUGAAUUUCAAGAUGGAGGAUCAAUGCCAAUAAAUCCCAUCAAAAAAAAAAAAACGGAGUAUUAUUUAUGCUACAAUAUCAAUAUAGCAAACAAAUGUUAAUUUUAUUUAUAAUAAGGAUUUAUAAUUUCUGUCACAAUAAUAUUUUAUCAGUGGCGAAAGAUUAUUUGUCAUAAUUAUUAAUUAUUUCCUUCCAAUGGGCUAGGUAACUAUGCCCUCAAAAACCAUCUCAACAUUAUUACUAUAAUUUUCCUUAAUUUAAAUACGAAAACAACAAUAUAGAUUUGGUGUUUUUCUUAUUAUUGUUAGAAACAUUAAAGCGGUAAAUUUCAAAAAAAUGAUUUCAUUUCAUCAGACACUAAUUUCAUCUCAUUUAAUUAUUUACAGUAACUCAUGAGGCAUUUGCAUCUUAAUAAUCCUUUGUGGCAUUUUAUCUAUGAGAUAUGCGAUUGUUGAAACAACCUCGAUCAAAUGCUCAAAUGGUAAUAAAGAUUCAGAUAACAUUGUAAAGGUAGUCUUUAUUAUAUGUCUAUGCUUCCUUUCAGCAGCUCUAUUUUGUUAAGGAGUAUAAAGACAUGAAGUAUGUUUGAUGAUUCCAGAUUAUUAAAGGUCUUGUUGGAAAAUGAUAGAGAUUCUCUUUAUUUUCUACAACAAAGUCAAAAGAGUGAAAUUCCACUGAACAAUUUAUAUCAUCUAUAAGUUUGUUAACUAACAAGAGGUUCUCUUUAAGUUUGAAAGCAAGCAAAAAAAAUUUUGAAGUUUGAUUUCCUAUGCGUGGUAUCACCAAUAUGAGAACUAGGUAAGUUUUGGACAUUCCCUACAAAAAUCUUAUCAAAACAUUUGCAAGGAAUAAAUUUCCUAAACCUACUAGUGUUAUUUAUCAUGUGGGUAGUAGCUCCUAAAUCAGGAUAAAGUUGUGGGUCGUUCUCAUCAUGCAGAUUCAUGGCCACAAGGGCUUGUGGUACUGCCUUUUAAAGAGUAAAGUAGUAGUACCUUUGUUUAUAAGCAGUAGCAUUAUGGUUAGUCUUGCCAUAAAUUUUAUGUAUUAUACCUAAUUUAGAAUUAUGUUUCCACUUAUUGGUGUCUGUGUUGUAAUGUUUUGGUGUAGGUGGCAGAUUGGACCAUUAUUGUUGAACUUUAGCUACAGCAAAGAGUUGUUAGAGGGUAAUUGAUUCAUGUUGAAAGAUUGAUUCAUGUUGUUAUGCCCACUGUUAAAGGGAAAAUUUCCUCUUCCACGAAGGUUGUUGUUGAAGCAUCCUUUUUGUCCUUGUCCUAAAAAACAUUUCCCAUGUCCACGUUGGCCAAAGAAAGCUUGCUGUGGAUCCGCUUCUUUGCCAUCAUUUUACUGAGCGAUCACAGUAUGCUCAUGGCUUUUUAAGGAUGAUAGGAAUAAUUUUAAACUUGGAUAAGAUGGCUUGGUCAACACAACCAUUUUUAAGUCAACAGACUCGAUUCUCAGUGCUCAUGUUGUUGAAAAGACUUUGUCAUCAUCAGUCAAUGGCUUUCCAAUGGCAGCUAGAUUUUCGUACAGGCCUUUGAAUUUUUUAAGAAGUCGUCAAGCUUCAGGAAGCUUUCCUUAGGGAGAAUAGAUUAUCUUUAAGCCAAGACUCAUGCUCCUUCGUAGCGGGGGCUUGUACUCUUAAAUGAAGAGAUAAACUUCUCUUGUUGUUUGUCAUCCAACUAUUGGUAUAAGGAUGUCUUCCAUCAUCAUUCCAUGUAACCAAGUAAAAUAGCCUAUAAUUGUCUGCUAAAAUUGAAAAGGUAGGGUUAGUGACAAACUAUCCAUUAUUUGGAAAUUGUUUAGGGUAGUGCAUCAUUAGAGAUGUGAUUGGCGAGUCCUAGGUUGCUGAUCAAGAGAAGGAUUUAGGACCUCCAUAAGAGAUAAUUGUUGCUAGAGAGUCUGACAGAGAUUAGGUUGGCACAUUGAUGGACAAUUUACCGAGAGAGUUUGGCCUCAAUUUGAGUGUUACAUAAAGAAGCAUAAGCUCAGAUACUAUGGUAACUUUCAAGAGUAUUGUAUGUUGGAUCCAUCUCAUUUUGGUGGUCCAAGCCGAAAGCUUCCAUUAGAUUGGGUGUUUAAGUAAUUAAAGAAAGAUUGGUAGGCUAAGUGAAAUUAGCGUAUAUAAUUUAUAAAGGCAAAUAAAUGAAAGCAGUAGUAACAUGAGAAGAACACAAAAAUGUGAGAGAGAGAGAUGAAAAAAAAUGCAAUGGCCCACUAUAUCAAUUUGUGUUCAAGGGUUUCAAUAUUUGAUUAGGCGAUCAGAAGCAGAAUUUAACUCCAUUUUCUCCUGAAAUACCUACUUGUUAGAGAGACAUAUAUUAGAGUGUUGUUGUAAGUCAAGAUUAUUAAGAUUCUUGAUGUUGUUAAUCUCAAGUGUUAUCUAGAGAAGAAUUUGUGUUCUUGUCCCAUUAUUUAUAUAGUGGAAGGUUAUAUCAGACCGCAAUCCUAUAAUAUUUCCCGAUUUGGGUUUUCUUUGUAAAAAUAUGUGUCUUGUGGUUGAUUUAUUGCAUUAAAUUGUGUUGGUUUUUUUUUGUGUAUUAAUUCGUAGUACACAUCAACUUUUAAUCACACAAAGAGGAAAAUAGUUUGUUUUUACUUUAUUUGCAACUAUUUGUGUGGGUCCCUUUCCUAACAUUAUGAAUGACUGAAUGCUUUUGAUGUAUUUUCUUAAUGUACAAGAAGGAUUAUGUAUUUAUACAGGAGUUGAGGAAUUAUAUAUGGAAGAAAUAUAUUACAGAAAUAAUGAGAUUCAUUCUGAACUUAGACAUUAACUAGCCGUUGGUUAUGUUAUGAAGAAAAUCUAGACUUGAAUGGUAGUUGGCUAUCCAUUUUUUGGUAAGUCUGCAUGUCACGAGAUUAUGUGAGAUGAUUCCAUUGCAAGCCUUUGGUAAGAGCAAUACAAAUUGCCAUAUUUGUUUCCAAAGGUUUGUUACUUUCCUUGUUGAUGUUAGAUUGAGUUGAUGUGUUGAUCUUUUCCAUGUUGGUACAUUACGCGCGUGUCUGCAUAUAGUUCAUGUGUUGUGAUUGUUUGAAAUCCAUGAAUUCCACAUUUGGUGGGCAAAUUUUCCCACCACAUAAGAAGAGGAUAGAUGACUGACAAUUUGUGACGUAUUUUGGGCAAAUUGACUUAUAUCAUUAUAGUAUGAACGAAUCGUGAUAGAAUUUUGGUCUGUCAUAAAUCGAUGAUGGUUUUGUUAUAGAAUUAUUGUCUAUAAAGAAUUUAUGAUAGAAUAGUGAUAGAAAUUUUUUCUAUCAAGAAAUUGUGAUAGAAAUAUAAAUUUGACCAUGUUUGACCAAAAUUUUGAUUUAAUAUUUUAUUAAAAGAAAAAGAAAAAAAGGUGUAUUAUAAUUUCAUUGAUAAUUUAAAUUAUAUGAAAAAGUAAAUGAAGGAAUUGAACGGUGAGUUUUAUCAAAAUGCUACAAAAAGUACACCUCUCCAAACCUAAGAAAUUGAAACCUAGAAGCUCAAACCCUCACUCACGAUUAAAUAAUCUUCCUACAUUCACAGCCUAUUAACCUAAGUAAAAAAGUUGACUUUCAAAUCCCACCAAGAGGCCACACAGUAGAUGUCUUCCUAGCGGUUCUCUUCAAUUCACGAGAGUUUGAUCGAAAAUUAUGAAAGAGCUGGUGUUGAUUCUUGGCUUCAAUUCCAACAAAAGUGAAGCGGCGAGAAGAGAGAGGUAAGCAGAUAGAUACAGGUAAUGACAAGUAAUAUGUUGUUGGUGGUGGCUUGUGAGGUUUGGAUCAAGAUUCUAUCACAUCCUUCUACCACAGUGAUGUUACUUUCUAGAAAUCAUUAACUAAGGUAAUUUAACUAAUUAACUAAAUUUAAAUCUGUUAACUCUCAAUAUAAGGUUUACUUACAAAAAUGAACUCUAACUUGUCUUUUCAUUUGAUCACAUUAUGGCCAUUAUGUUUUUUUAGCCACCUAAAUUACGUUUGCCUGUGAUUUUCGGACACGAAGCCAUUAGGUAAUUCAAUUGAUCAACCUACUCUUUUUUUUCUUAAGUUCAUUUGCUUAAUUAUUCACUCUAUUGACUUAAUUAUCACUAGUGGCUUCCCUAAGAUUCUAGAGAUUGCAACUGUAUACACAUGGAUGACCCAACAAUCAAGUGAUCAACACAAUAAAUAAUAAUAUGAAUAAUCAUGAAAUAGGUAGGAGUUAGCUACUGAGAAAUAUUGUGCCAUAAUAUAAGAAACUUUGCAUCUUAUAACUUUUCCAGCCUUUUAUGAUGCAGAUUUUUCUGAAAGUUGAAUUGCAAUUCAAUGUUGCUUAUCCGAUUAUUUAUUGGACAAAAAGGAAUUUAAAAAUCAACUUUUAGUGAUUUAAAAAGAAUCGAACAUGCUACCAAGUCUCUUGUUAGAAGUUGUAAUUUCAUUGAUAGAUUCUAGGCUUCCAUGGACCUGUUAAGUAUUAAGUUAUCUCUUGCAAAAAAAAAAAAAAAAAUGUAUUCACUCUGCUAAGGGAACUAAUUAUUAUGGGAAAGGUAACGUUUCUAAUUCUGGAUAAUUUCUUUUUCUUUAAUGCAUAUAGCUAUUUUAGCCUACAUUUCUUUGUUAGUUAGAUAAUUCACAUAUAUGCAAAUGAAUUAUUUAUUUUAUUUACUUAUCUUUGAAAAAAAUAAAAAUAAAAGCAAUUUAAUAAACUGAUGUAAAUGCUAUUAUUAUUACUAAUUUGUUGGCUAUUUGCUAUGACUUCGACAAUGAUGUCUAUCAUAGAUAACAUUAUUUUCUUUUCUAAUUCUUCUAAAAGUAUCAAUUGAGAAUUUAGUGCAAACUUUAGCAAUUUCGCUAUAGAUUUAUUGUCAAAAUAGCUGAUGAAAGUUUAUAGGGGCUUUUUUUUUUUUUUUUUUUGCUUUUCUACAGUAAAAACAGCCCUUGCUAAAUGCAGGGGCUGUUUUCACUAUAGAACGACAGCAAGACAGCCUUUGUAGAUUUUUGAGGGGCNNNNNNNNNNNNNNNNNNNNNNNNNNNNNNNNNNNNNNNNNNNNNNNNNNNNNNNNNNNNNNNNNNNNNNNNNNNNNNNNNNNNNNNNNNNNNNNNNNNNUGGCAUUAUUUUUGAAGUUUGACAAUAUUAAUCUUGUGAUUAACACUUAAUGCAAAGAAAGGAAUACACUGAGGGUGAACUUAGUGAGGUUCUUUUGGAAUGGGCUAACCAUUUUUUCCACAUCCUUAUCGCAUUUGCAAAAUAGUUAGUAUGAGUAUGAAACUGUAGAUGGACCUUGUUAUUAGUUGUUACAAUUUGUUGAAAUUAAAGCUGUAGUGUUAAACUAUAAUGGUUGUUGUUAAGGAUUGCAGUAUAGAUGUUAUGCAUUUGAUAAUAUUAGGUAUUUUGAUUGAUUUUGGUGUAGAUUGGGUUGUUGGGUAUAGGUCAGAGUGUUGUUGUGUAUAUCGCUGGAUUUAGAGCGCUGUUGGAAGAUGGUGGGUUGUUACGUAUGAUUUGGAAUGUUGUUGGGUAUGCGGCUGGAAUUAUGAUCAAGAUGCAUGAGCCUUAAGUGGGUGAAUUUGAGGUUGGAUUUUAAAGUUCACUGAAGCACUCAACUACUUACAACAACUCCUAAAUGCAUAUGAAGUAAUUACUGCCACAAUAAUGGAGGUAUCGUUCAAAUUUGUAUUCUGAGACAAAGUCAUCUGGGUUUCAACCAUAAAUAAAAUAUGCAUUUGCAUAUAGUCUCAGUGUCUCCGAUGGCUGAUAUUUAGAAACUAUGACCAGCUCAGCUUAGGUGUUGAUGCAUUGACCAAUUAAAUCAACGAUAAAUAAAUUACUAGCAAGAUUAACAUUAUGAUAUCCCUGAAAAGUAUCGUCUGAUGAUUAUUAAUCCAUUAGAGGUAUCAUUUCUACUGAUAGAGAUGUUUCCAAGAAAACCGAGUUCAGGUUUUUUUGGUGAAAAUAAGUCCUGAAAAAGAACUUAGUACCUUCGCUUUAGAAUUGACAUUUGUGGAUCAGGAAUUGGCUUGGAACACAAGGGAAGGGUUUAGAUAAUUAGCACUCGCAAAUAAUACAACUCGUAUUAUUGAAAAAAUAAUAAUAAUAACUCAUAUUCUUACUUUGAUUGUUUACAAAGUGUGAAUUUACAAAAGUUAUGUACAUAAUGAAAUAGCUAGCUAUAAGAGAUUUAAUUACAUAACUACCUAAACUACAAAAUAUGUAAUGAAAUACUUCCUUUUUAAAGAUACAUGAUAUUCUAAAUUCUUGGUAGUGAAAUUCAAUGAUAGCCUUGACUUGUGCAAGCUCUGCUGUGUGUUUUAACCGUUGGUGAAUUUUCUUUUGUUGACCAUUUACAGCUUGCUUAUUAGUCCCCCUCAAGUUGGCAAGUGACAUACGAUCUAGAUUCUACGGUUUUGUCAAAAAUUGCCAAACAUGACUUUCGAGAGAGCGGUGAAUACAUCGACAAUUUCCAUGGAAGAAGGAACUAGUUUUGUCACCAUCGAAGGGACUGAUUUUUUUGCCAUCAGACCUUCUGCAUCCUUUUCUCGAAGAAAGUGAUAAUCAACCUCUAUAUGCUUGAAGCGAGAAUGGAAGACAAGAUUAAUAGUCAUGUAUAAAGCACUUAAAUUAUCACUAAGCAAUUGAGGACGUUGAGCGAGAGAAAUCCUUAUUUCAGGAAAGAGAUAUGUGAUCCAUGUUAGCUCAGUUGCUGUCAAAGCAAGUGCCUUAUAUUCAACCUCUUCAUUGGGUCUAGAUACUGUAGGUUGCUUUUCGGAGGACCAAGAGAUACAUUUAAGGCUUCGCGGUAACUUACUUUCAAUUCUCUGUCUAUGGUGUUAUCCCAUCACAUGCAAGUGGGAGAUAUUGGAAUUGGUGCCCAUAAUGGGCUAGAUAGGCCCAAGAAAAGAAACAUGUAAAAGCUUAUUUUAUACAGAGUUUAAUAUGACUAUUGCAAGUCUAAUUAGCUUUGAGAGUUAUGAAGUCUUUUGAUUGACUUCAAUCACUCUUAUUAGCUCCCAUAUAAACAUACCUAAUUACCUAUUGUAUCUAAAAUAGAUGACUAUGAUUCUGUACACGUGCAAUGAUUCCGAAGCAGCCAGCUAUAUGCUUGAUUUCUUCAAGCUAUGCUUAUAUAUAUUUAAAAAUUGAGAGCUACUUGCUUACAUUCGGUGGCUAUACAAAAUGAAUUUUUUUUUUUUUUACAGUUGCUUCAUUUACCAAAUUUGAGAAAUGAGAGCAAACAAAGGAAAAUGGAAGAGAAAUAAGAAAGUGGAAAAGAGAAAAGAGAAGAAAAGGAAAAUAAGAAAAAUAAGAAAGAAGCUGAAUGUGGGAAAAAAGAAAAAGAAAGGAAAAGGAGAAAAAAUAUUAGGGGAAAUAGAAUUAGAUAGUUAGAUCUACAUUAAGUGAGUUAGUGGGUAAUAGAUUUAUGAAAUUUAAGUAGUUGUGAUUUAAUUUGCCUUAUACGUACAAGUUUUUAUAUUAGUUCUAGCAAUUAAUUUUUAAUCCUAUAUUUUAGGAGAAAUCCAAAAAUCUAAGAACCCACACGAGCCCCCAACGAAUUCGGAGUGAAACAACCUCUGUGGGGAUACUAUUAUUACUAUUAUGUAUUCCAUGAAACAUUUAUGUUUAGUAGUAUGAUUUAAUAUAAUGUUAUGAUUACAUGUACAAAUAUUAUAUAUUUGAUUAAGUCAUAAAAUAUGACUUGCUUUUAUAAACUAUGUGCAUGCAUAUUGAGAGUUAUUUCCUUGGGUAUUAUUAGGUGCAGUUUUGUCAUGUAUGUAUUAUUUCCCAUGUUUACAGAUGCAUUACUUUAUUAUUAUUAUUAUUAUUAUAUAUAGUCGUUCUCUCAUACGGACACCCGCAACUUAAAAAAAAUGCGGGUGCUCACAUUUCGGCCGUUGGAUCCCAUCAACGGUUGGAUUAAAUUGUGAAAGUAAAAGCAACUUCGACAUUUUCUCUUGUGUGGGCAUGUCUUCAAAACUUUGGAAAAAAAAAUUAUUUCUUUUAUUUAAUGGGGAUCAGGCUACGGUGCAACUGUGGUACCGUGCCACAGUUGCAUUCAGCCGUUGAUGCACUUGAAUUGCUGGGGUCCACUGACAUUCAAUGGUUGGAUGCAACUGUGAUAUGGUACCACAGUUGCACCACAGGUUUCCCAUUUAAUUGGACCAUGAUAUACUAGUUUUUAAUUUCUCUCUCUUCUCCCAACUCCAUCUUCCCACACCAAAGAGCAAUCCGCAAUUAAUACCUAUAGCAAUUAGUUGUCUGCUAAUGAGAAGCGAAAUAUCAACGAUCUAGACCUGUUUGCUCCGAAACCAUGAACCAGAACUAGAGCAGGACCACCGCUUCUCGAAUAAUAUCCUCAGUGCUGUUAACUUAAAAUUUAGAUACUGCCCAUAGAAGCUGAGUUUAUGACCCCACUGGUGAAGUUUGAUUGGUAACUUAAUUUUUUUUUGUUUUUCUCUUCUCCUAUCUCCAUCUAAUGAGAUUUGGCAGUACUCUCACUCACGCACAUAUGAAAAUUGAAUGUAGAUUUUUUUAAUUCCUUUCCUUUUUUUCUCCCCCAAAACUAAAACUUGUUGAUUUUAAUUUUUUAAUUUUCAAAGAUAAAUAUACAGUUAUCAUCAUCACCAUUUUUGCUUCUCCAUCUUUCCAUCAUCAAAAUUAUCCUUCCGAUCGAAGAAGAUGAAGCAAAAGAAGAAAAACACACUUCAGUAAGUUACCCAAAAAAAAAAAAAUUAACGACCCAUCUAAAUAAUCAAGCUGAAAGGUAUCUAUAACAGAAGAUUUUCUCAAAAAAAAAAUUACGGAAAUUGAAGAAGAAAAAACACAGGCCAGGACAUUCUUAAGAAAUUUGAAAGUUCAUGAAAGAAGAGCAAAAUGAGGCAUUUAAGCCACAUCUAAGGAAUAUUAGAAGAGUAACAUGUUGGACAUGUCAUCUCCAGCCACGUCGCUGUUGAUGAUGAAGAUGAUCCAACGAUUUGGCUUCUUGGGUGUGGGAAGAUAGAGUUGGGAGAAGAGAGAGAAUCAGAGAAAUUAAAAACUAGUUAUCAUCGUCCCCAUUAAAUAAAAGAAAUAAUUUUUUUUCCAAAGUUUGAAGACAGGCCCACACAAGAGAAAAUGUCGGAGUUGCUUUUACUUUCACAAUUUAAUCCAGCCGUUGAUGGGAUCCAAUGGCCGAAACGUGAGCACCCGCAUUUUUUUGAAGUUGCGGGUGUCCGCGUGAGAGAACGACUGUACAUAUAUACAUAUAAAGUAGUUUUUUGGUCAGGGAUUUUAAAGUACGGAAAAGUCCGGAAAAGUUUUAAAACCACAUGGCUUUAAAGACCUACAGUUUUACGCUUUUAAAACCAUGCGUACUUUCCCGCACUUUAAAAUUCAUGACUGAAACAUUUCUAUAUAUAUAUAUAUAUGACCGCAAGCUCAUUAUUUUCCUAUUUAUCCCUUUUCAGCCAGGAUUUCGCAAGAUUUCGUGCUGAUCAAUUCUAGUCAAUUAAAGUUGGGCCACGAGACGUAUUGCCGCAUGACUUGCAUUUUGAACACGUUUAUGUUACUUAUGUUUUUAUGUAUAUAUAUUUGUAGGGUAAGUAUAUAUAGUGAGAUAUGAACUGUGUACGUUUUGAAUAUAUAUUUUCGGAUGAGGUAUAGAGGUUGUUAUGUGUUUAUAGUGGAGACCAUUUUUAUAUAUUCAUGAAUUAAAUUUGUGCCGUGAGUUUUAGUUAUUAGAUCGUAUGAUUCGCCUCGGAUUUGACAUAUAGGUCAGGGCAAGCCGUGUCAUGUGAUAAGGGUGUGACAGAAUGAAAAAUAUGAAGAAGAUAUUAGAAAACACAGGGAUUGAAAACAAGAGAAAAUGGCAGUGGGCUCUGGCAAUGUGAUACGAGGGGAUUUUCUUUUAUUAUAAUUAUCCUCCGACCAUAGACAUACAGUAGCAUGAUGGUUUUCUUUGAAAUUAUCCUUUGUCUCUAAUCAACUUGACAGUGAUAUAACUUAUUGUGAUCUGCUUCCGCAUUCAAGUAUCAAAAUGUAUGUUUUUGGAUAUCCUAUUAACUGUAUGUUGAAUAUGUACGGAUAUCAACACUUAUCAUUUUGAAGCUAUCAAAAGAUAGACUAUAGUUUGCAAUAAGAACAAUGUAGGUUGAGUUUUGUUGGUAGAAAGAACUUAGACAUAAAUUUUAAUGAAAAUGCCUAAUUUGGAAAAUUUGAUAUACGUUUAGUGAAUGAAAAAGGCUGCAUGUAUUUAAAAUAGCACAAAAUUUAAUGAAAAAAUUCUACGUGUUCAGUAUUAACUCAUGUUACGGAAAUGUGGGGUUGAGCAAUUACUAAUAUUCUAGUAGCUGCGACUUCUGGAGAAAUAUAAAUGUAGCGUAAACAAAUGCAAAGAAAAUAGGACACAAUAAUUUACAUGGUUCGGCGUAAAGCCUAUGUCCAUGGGCAAACACUGGAAAAUAAUUCUACUAAUAAUAGGAAUUUAUAAAAGUGGGAGAAACUCUCAACACCCCAAACCCCAAUACACUCAAAUGGAACCUCACUGGAACACUCAAGUUGAAGUUCUCUCAAAUCGCUUCACUUGCAAUUGCUCUCUACCACUACUACAAAAAUGACAUUUACUGACACUUCGUAAAAAGUGUCAGUAAUGGUAUACAUUUGGAUCAUUUUUUCCAUUUAACAAAUAUGUAUUAUAAAUCACUGGUACUAAGGUGUCAGUAGCAUAAAACUCAAUAAUUACUGAUACUUUAGUAUCAGUGAUAAAAACAAAUAUAAUUCUAAUUAUGUUUUUACUUGGACUCGAACUCAAUAUCUCCGAAGUUAAAAUUUUAAUUUCAAACUACAAACCACUUGUGUGCAUAUUUUCUUUGUUUGGUUAAACCGUAUAUAAUUAACUACAAACCCUUUGCUAUAAUUUAACACAAAAUUUUUGAUCUCCCUCCACCAAAAUUUGUUCCCUCUCAAACAAACUAAAAUCCAAAUCCCUAAAAUUCCAAGUGCCUAAAUCCCUAACUCUCCCUAAGCGCUAACCAGCGGCAGCCCCUCUUUAAGGCCUUACCAGCACGCACGAUGACAACGGCACACGCAACCCGCGCGGCGGCAGCCCAGCAGGUCUCACCACACACUACAGUAGCUCGCUCGCUUUCACUCUCUCUCUAAAGGCACACACAGCAGUGUCAACCCCUCUCUUUCACGCUCGUUUAGUCGCUCUCACUUUCUCCGUCUCUGGUCACCAUCUCACCCUCCAGUCUAAAUUAUUGCCGUUCCAGCCGCGUUCAGCCGUAGCUAUCGCGCCAGGUGCCUGAGACAGUGAGUUGAGAUUCCACUUUUUAAUUUUUCAUUAAUUUUUUGUCUGAAUUAGAUUAGUCAAAUACUUAAAUUAAUUGAGUUGUGAGUAAUACUGUAAUAAUAUAAUUUGCCCCGCAUCCCCUGAAGAAGGUAAGCAACUCCAUUUUUAGGGUUCGUGUAGUAGUUGUCUUGCCUGAAUCACCUUAGUAAUCAUAAGGUCGAUUUUCUCAAGAAGGGUAACUUCGAUCUUUUGGCAUUUUCAGUGCUUCUUCCGAAUCUCUCUUCACUGUAGCUUGCUUCUGCAUGUGAUUUGAGGGCCAAGAAUUUAUCUUAAGGGUGAAUCAUAUUAUGUUUCAAUUCUAUGUUUGACCCUUUUAACUUUUGAAUUUCAACAUUAUGUGUUUAGUGUUCCGUCAGUUGUUUUAUCAAAUACAUAGGCCUCUGGGCUUUAGACACUAGUGUUCAAAAUUGCCAUCUAGUUUUUAUGGUAUCUUUGAGCAGGGGUUCCGUUUCAUUUGCUUGAAUAUAUAAAAUAUCAGUUUUCAUUGUCAUGGAUAAAAAAAAAAACAAGGCUUUGGCCAAUGGUACCUCAGGAGGUCAAAGCCAAGGCUUCCAAAGACAAUGUUCCCACGAUCGAUGUGACUCAAUUUGGCUACUUUAAGGUUUUGGGUAAGGGCCUUUUGCUUGAGAACCAACUCGUUGUGGUGAAGCGUUUCCAAAACAGCCAAGAAGAAAAUUAAAAAAGCUGGUGGGUCUGUUGUGUUUACUGCUUAGGUUUAUUGUUAUUGCUUUUAUAAUUUUUUUUCUGAUAUUUUGGUUUCAGCUUUUGAGUAUUUGACUAUAUAGUUUUGGAUAUUAUCAUCGGAAACUUUUUGCUUUAUAUUAAGACCUGUUAUUGAUUAAUAAUAAUAAUAAUAAUAAAAAUAAAAAUAAUAUGUUACAGAAAAUGUUUUAAUUUCUUUCUUCCAUUCAGCACUCGUAGUAUUUAUUUGAUUCGAUUUCUGUCAUGGUGUGUUGAUUAUGCGGAUGAUAAGAUACUACCUUGCUCAUUUACUUAUGCUUGAUUCCUUAUACUAGAAACAUACCUCUAGUAGAGUUGCCAUUUAUCUACUUUAUUGUUGUAAAAUCUGUUAUAAAAUGUAUAAGCAAUCAUUCAUUUGAACUCUCUUUAUACGCUUAAAAUCUGAAUUCAUGUAUGAGGUGUUAGUGUCAAUGUUGUUGAUCAUUUCAGUAAGUAGUGCCAAUUUAUAAUGACCUUGGUGCAUUUCUAUUCAGUUAGUAAACUUUUGUCAUUUAAGUUGUUUAUUUGUUUAACAAAUGUAUAACUAGUUUCUACAAAUUUACUUUGUGUAUAAUAGAUGAUUCAAAAUCUUGGCAUAGAGGAAAGUGAAGUUUCUGAGGUAAAUAGGGUACUUUACAAAAACUAUACCACAUUAAUGGCUGGUCUAAGAUACAUUAUAUAUGUAAGUUUAAAUGCACUAUUAUUUAUAUACAUAUCCUUGCAAAAAAAAAACCAAUAAAAGCAGUUUCAUAAACUGAUGUAAAUGCUGUUAUUAUUGUUAAUUUACAGGCUAUCUGCUAUGACUUCAACAAUGAUGACUAUCAUAGGUAACAUUAUUUUCCUUUCUAAUUCAUCUGAAAGUGUUAAUUUGCAAGGGCUGUUUCUACUAUAGAACAGCAACAAGAGAGCCCCUGUAAAUUUCUAGUGGCUGUUUUCACUGCACAACAGCCCCUACAGAUUUCCCGGGGCUGUUGUUGCUAUUCUAAAGUCAAAACAACUCCUAUAAUUUUUUUGGGCUAUUUUGCAAUGAAAAUACUUUUGAGGAUUGUUGAGGAAGGAGGGGAAUGAGAGCGGUAGUUUUUUAGAAGGCUUGAUGAGAGUUUCAUAAAUUUGACAAGUUUUAUGAGAUUAAAGUCAAAGAAGUUUAUAUUAAGGCUGAAAGUUUGAGUGGGCAAAUGGAUGUUUUGAUUGCAGAUUUCUGUUGUUUGAUUAUAAAAAAUAGGAAGUUUUUAAUUAGAUUGACUUAGAUGUUUUGUUUUCUGUGACUUGUAGCAGGUUAUCCAACAUGGCUUCUUCAGACAACUUAAGCUAAGGUUCUUUAUUUCUAUAACUUUCAGUAUUAUUGUAAUCUUAUUUCUUAUUGUUUUAUUAGUUGUUGAAACAUCCUUCAAUUGCUUUGUUUAACUACUCACAAUCAAUUUGUUUUCCAUAAUCUAUUUCCAUACUAAUUGAUUUUAUGUUGUUGUAGGUGGGAAAAAAAUGAAGCUGCAGAUGGAUGUUGAGUGAUGUUCUUGUGCUUCUUUUUGGUGGAAACUAAAUUAGUACUUUGUGGUUGUUGAAAACUUAAUUUAGUACUUAUAUUUUUCUUUUCCAGAUAUUGGUGUAGUUGAAUCAUGUGAAUUUGAGUGAUGUAUUUGGGAUGUUUAUUAUGUGAAUUAUAUUGCGACAUUUUAUAUAUUUAAUAUAUUUUGAGCUUUCUUUUGGUUGUAAAACAUUCAGGAAAAAUAUAAUUAGAAUAAAAAAAAUUUAUUAAGCAAUCCUGCAUAACAUUAUUAAAUACUGACACUAAAUAUUUAAAUUGACAUGAAUAAUUUUUUAUAUUAUCGAGCUAGCUUGUUAUUGAUACUAUAGUCACAUAAAUCACUGACAUAUAAAUAGUAUCAUCAAAUAUUAACACUAUCGUAUCAUUAUUUUGGUGAUACUAUAGUGACAUGAAUUACUAAUACAAAAAUCACUGACACUAAAAAUUAGUGUCAGUGUGUUAUGGCUUGAGCAUUACUGACACAAUUAACAAGUGUCAGGAAAAGUACUUACUGACACUAAUUUAGUGUCAGGUCAGUAAAGCCCAUUUUUGUAGUAGUGUACUUCUCUCAAAUUGGGAUGUUUACAAUUGCAAAAUGCUUCUAUAUUUAUAGAGAGCAUUUUGCACUAAGUUGGGUUCAAUUGGCCAAAACAUUGAGCUGGAACUUGCAUUGCAUGCGUUAAAGUCAUGCAUAUUUGUCAACAAUUGCAUGUGUAAUUUGUUGCCAUCUUCAAUUUUCAACAUCACCCUUCAAUUUUCAACAUCACCGAAUUGCAUGAACAAAAUUUUCAAAACCUUUUUCAUGCUUUCAAAACCUAACUUUGUCUUUUCUACUCAAGUCAAAAUUUCAACAACUCCAUGGACUAAGAGAUUUUGGAGGGCACAAGCUAUAAAUUUCUUAUCUUUUCUUAUCUUUUUGAAGCUGUCAAAAGAUACGCUAUAGUUUGCAAUAAGAACAGUGCUGGCUAAGUGUUGGCGGUAGAAAGAAUUUAAAGAUAAAUUUUAAUAAAGAAGGUUAAUUUGGAAAUUUUAUAUGCGUUUAGUGAAUGAAUAAUGCUGCAUGUAUUUAAAAUAGCACAAAAUUUAAUACAAAAGCAUAAAAAAUUAAAAAAUUCUUGUGCUGUGGUGAAUUCUUUUCUUGUAACGAAACUUUUUAUUUUUUUUAGUGAUGGCAUACUAUUUUUUACUAUCUUUUUUUCUUAUACAUUGGUAUUGUCAGCCAACGGAUGAAUAAAUGGUAAAAUAUUGAUGUGAAAAAUCUCUGCUACCUUUUCGAAUUUUAUUUUUUAAAAGAUAGAGAUAAAUGAUUUCAAAUUAAUCUUUUAACUCUCUAACUUUUGUCAAAUUUAAAUUUGAAUAGCCAACAAAAUAAAAUUAAUUGAAAACUCUACCUCCGUGCUCUGAGUGCAAUUAUUUUGACUCAAAUUAAUGUCUUAAAAUUUUGAAAAACUGACCAGCACAUUGAAUACAUACAAUGUGCCUGUAUAUAGAUCACACCCUGCCAAUCAUGGUGUUAUAAUUAUUGAAUCAUUGAUUAGUAAAUGUAUCUUACUGUCCUUUUCUCAUGCACAUGCGUCAUUACGAAAUCAUUACAAAAUCAAAGUUAAUGUAUGUACCAUAAUUUAAAGGCACAAAAAUUACCCCAAGUGUCCAAAUAAAAAAGAAAGAAAGAAACUAUCUCGAAAAAUUAAAUAAGUAAAUAAAUUAUAUCCAAUCUAUUCCGGAUAAAGUAACACGGGAACAAAAUUCUCCUAGCACUUACGAUAAUAAGUAAGAGUAAAAAAUCAUUCUAAUUUUGGGAUUCCGGGGUCUGAGGGAACCACGACUAAUUCCGAGAUUUCGGGGUCUGAGGGAACCACGCCCAAGAUCAUAGGAGUAGGGAAGCACAUGGGCGGGUCCGGGAUAAAUAUAUUUAUUUCCCUAGGAACAAGUUCACGUCCACGUGUGCAAUAAUAGUUGGUGGUACGUGUCAUCAAGGAGAGAGACCAAGGCAAAACCCUAGACCCAUGUCAUCCAUCAACUAUAAAUAGGGACCAUCUCACCAAGAAAAGUGGAUCUCUCCCAAGCCAAAAAAACCCUAAUCUUGUUUAUUGUUCUUGCUUCCAUUAGACCUUAAAAUCGAACACUGACUUGGGCGUCGGAGUGCCUUUUUCAGGUACCCACCACACCAGAUUCGAGUUCAACACGUGUCACAAGUUCUCCACAAAUCAAAAGUACGUGUGAAGGUAAAUUCUUACUCCUUCAAUUAACAAUGUUGUUAGAUUGUAACUUGUUAGAUUAUAUCUAAUCGCAUUUGCAAAUAUUCAUAUGAGGAGUUAAAGAUGCUUGCAUACAGUUAGGUAGCAUUUGUUUUUUUAUCUGAAAUCUAAAUGGGUCUAAAUUUUUCUAAAGUCUGAAUGAGUUUGAUUAUGAAAAAAUGAAUGACAUGUUUUUUUCCGUUUUUAAAUAUAUAAAUAUAAGUGGUAUCUUAUUUAUUUUCACAAUAAAAAACAUCUUAAAUUUAGUUAUUUGACAUUUAUGUCCUUGUAAAUUAAAACAAAAAAAAAGGAUUAGAUUUUGUAGUUUAAAAAAUAAAUUAUUUUACAGAGAUAUUUUUAGAAUAUAAUAUUUACUUGUCAUUCAUACCUUUUUUCAUUUAGAUAAAAGUUACAAAAGUUUACUUUUUCUAUUCAGAUGUAAAUAUCUAAAAAUCAGACAUAAGUUUAAAAAAAAAACAAGUAUAUUUUAGAAAAAGUCUGAAAUUAAUAAAAUUUCAGACUUCAAAUAUUUAACAAACAACUUCUUAGUCCACAUUUGCGAGCAAGCGUGAUUAUAUAUAAUGUGCUUCUCCAUUAUAGUGUGUGAUCAAUCAGGCAAGCUUAAUUUAAAUGAUCAUCAGUAUCUAUGGAUGCGAAUCAAGAUCAAGGAGCAAAAGAGUUGUUUCAAGGCCAAGCUCAACUGUAUAAGCUCAUGUUUAGUCAUUUAAGCUCGACGUCACUCAAGUGCGCGAUUGAGCUGGGCAUAGCGGAUAUAAUUCACAGCCACGGACGGGCCAUCACUCUUUCUGAGUUGGUCUCGGCACUUGAUAUUCAGCCUACAAAAACGACUAGCCUAUUCAGGCUCAUGCGCUUGUUAGUGCACUCAGGCUGCUUUAACAAAACCAAAGUCAAUGGACAAGAAGAAGUAUACGGACUCACAGCUGCUUCUACUCUGCUCAUCAAAGACAAGCCCUACAGCAUGUCACCAACUGUUUCAGCAUUUGUUGACCCACUUUUUGUCGCUCCAUUUCAGUCUUUAAGUAGUUGGUUCAAAGGGACUGAGCUCACGUUGUGGGAAACUGUUCAUGGAAUCAAGUUCUGGGAAUUUAUGAAUCAAAACCCUGGAAUAAACCAGCGGUUCAAUGAAGCAAUGGCCGGUGACACUGAAAUAAUGACAAGCUUUGUUGUCAAAGUCGAGUGUAAGCAAAUCUUUGAAGGGUUGGGCACAUUGGUUGACGUAGGAGGUGGCAACGGAUCUUUUUCCAGAAUCAUCUCUGAAGCAUUCCCUGGCAUCAAAUGCACUGUACUCGACCUCCCGCAUGUUGUUGCUAACUUGCCUGAGGCCGACAACUUUAAAUACAUAGCAGGUGACAUGUUUCAGUUUAUCCCUCCGGCAGAUGCCUUUCUCUUCAAGGUAAGAUCCAAUUUUAAAAAUUUAAAACAACUUCUUAACCGUUUUCGUGAAUACCAGAAGAUUUAUUUCAAUUGUUCUGUGCGCAGCACAUAUAUCCGGACGUUCGAUCUUACAAAAUCAGGAUUUGAAUGAUUCAAAUCAGAUUUAAAGUAACUGCAAAAUGCUAUACAACUCUAAAUUUAAUUAACAUUUGGAUUUUACAGAAUCUAGAAGUUUAGGCUUGAGCAUGACCAUUUACGUAGUCAUUUUAUAGUGCGGUUGCCCGCAUUUUUUCAAGUGUAGAUUCGAAGUUUACAAUAUUGGUAAAGGCUUGUAUAACAUUGAAACUUAUUUUUUCAUAACUUAUAUGUAUAUGUAUAUAUGUGUGUGUGUUUAUAGGCGGAGUAAUAAAACGUUUUAUCUACAACACUAUAAAAUUAUUUUACAAUAUUUAAAACAACGAAUCUCCAUUCUAAAAAGUGUGAUUUGUGUAUGUAUAUAGAUAGAUGGAUAGAUAGACACACGCACGAACUGUUGGGAUUUUAUUAAAAAGAAAAAGUAUCCUAUAUUUUAACUAAAAUGUUAGAUCAAACAACGGAACUGGAACUGCACUAUAAGUGGUGGGUAUUGAUUAAAUGAGUGAUUGGCAUGCUUGCAGUUGGUUUUUCAUGGAUUAGGUGAUGAGGAUGGGUUGAAGAUACUGAAGAAACGCAGAGAAGCAAUUGCAAGCAAUGGUGAGAGAGGAAAGGUAAUAAUAAUAGAUAUCGUUAUCAAUGCAGAGGAAGAGGAACACGAAUUAACCGAAACAAAGUUCUUGUUUGACAUUGUGCUGAGCGUUAACUCUACUGGAAAAGAGAGAACUGAAAGUGAAUGGGCAAAGCUAUUCUUCGAUGCUGGUUUCAGUCACUACAAAAUAACACCUAUAUUUGGCAUGAGGUCCCUCAUUGAAGUCUAUCCAUAAAGAAUUGAGCAACCGUAUUCCCGCAAGUCUCUUGUACUGCUUGAUGGAAUAGCAAAAUAUCGUUCAAGAUUUAAGUGUACGUAGUAGUUGAAAUGUCCCGAAAUGACUAGAAAAUGAGGUGACACACGGGUUUAAAUAUAGGAUGAGUCACUCAAUUAAAAUGCUAUAGUCUUUUGGGAUGGAAACUUAAAUAUCCUAGACCACCCUUUAAUAUAUUAAGAAUAAAGGAUUUGUGUGUACUAUGUUAUAUUGCAUUUUGUUAUUGUUUCCAGCAUCUGCUCUUAUGUUUUAUCUUUACUAAUAAAGUUACGAUCUUGCUUAAGUUAUUGUGUUCUCAAAACAACUGCAAAAUAAUUUAUAUUGGUACUUUGGAUAUUUACAAUUAGGUUGUACAUUAAUGACAAAUGAUUCAAAAUUUAUCUUUGCAAUGUAAGUAAAAAAAAAUAAUUAGUAAAAAAUUAAAAAAGUAAAAAUAACCUAUUCAUAUUAAUGAGUAAUAUUACUAUUAAAAAUUAAUAUUUCAAAAGUAUAACAUCCCCACGAUUCUUCUAAGCCAAUCAGAAACAUCAUCAGCUAAGAUUGUUUGAUGGAAGACAAAAUUGAAGUUUACUUAUUUUAUUUAGUAUUUUAAUUUUUUCAAGCAGUAUUUAUAAUUGGACUUUUAUUUGGGGGUGCAUGGAUUCUCCUUUCCAGUUUACUAUUAGAAAGAUUAUGUCACGGGUUUAAUAAUUUUUUAUCAUUAAAAUCCUUAUUUUAUGCGAGGGUUUUAUCUAUCUUGAUCACAUUUCCACUAUGUUAUUAAGAAAAUCUUCAAAAAACAUGCAGUAUAAUAUCCAAGUCAACUCAAUCAAGGGAGGCUAAUUAAAACUGAGGAUCAAAUAGCACAAUCAACCUUACAUAACAAGCAGGAAUAAUGAAAGCCUUGAAUUAAUCACUAGCCGUUAGUCCUCUAUCCGUUUCGUUUAAUUUAACUAGGUGGAAGCCAAGAAUCUUGAGCAAAACUCUAUGCCCCAUAUUGUAUAUGUAUCCAACAAUUCGUCAAUGAAACUUUUUUUUAUGGUAUCACAGCCAAUCUUGAGAAUCACAGACAUGCAUAGUUAUUAUGUUUCAAUGAAAAAAAGUUUGCCACUAGUGAACCUCUUAAGAAAGUUGGCUUGCUUGACUGUAGAUCAGUAUACAAAAGAAAUUCAAAUCUAUUUGUGAUUAUUUGAUUGAUUAAAUGUUUUUCCCAAUACAUUCAGAUUUCAGAAAGUUUCAAAAGAAAGCUGAAAAAAUAUAUCAAUAAUUGAAAUGAAAAAAAGUUAGAAAUUUCAUUUGACAUAUUAUCAUUUAUCUUGCUUCGCUUCGUAUCAUUUGUGUAUUUUAUUGUCUUUGAAGCAUAUGAUUUUUUUUGUUUGGUACUAUGUUGGUGUUGUUUUAAUUUCUAUAUUAAGAAACGUGAUUGUUAUAUGGAAGACAUAUUUUGCAGAAAUAAUGGGAUUCAUUCUAAACCUAGACAUUGACUAGCUAGCCGUACACUACAAGAAAAUGGAACAUUUCCGAGGGCAAGUACCCUUGGAAAUAGACAAAGACUCUCGAAAAAACUCAUUUUCAAGCAGGACAUGCCGUCGAUCGUCGUCGUAUUAAGUCUUAUCGAAAAUGUUGAGUUUCUGAUGAGUCGUUGGAGAAAAAAAAAAUUUCCGAGGAUGUUGCCGUCGGAUAUGGAAUUAAAUGCCCCACGAAAUAAGAUAAGAUAAACCUAGUUAUUUUUAUAUUCAACUGCAACAUGCUCUCAUAAAUAAAAGAUACACUGUCGGAAAUAGACUUAUUUCAUUAAUUUUUUUAUUUUUAUUGUUGAAAUAUCUAUAUUAGGGAAGUAAUGUAACAAACAUAAUAAUAAUAUACGAAAUAUACUAAAUGUAACUUCAUUAAUUUCAAAAAUUCAUAAAAUCACAUUCAUCAUUCAAAAAUACAACAAAAAUAUCAAUUUUAUACUAUCUUUUACAGAAAAAAAAUAUACCCAAGUAUAUGCAAAAUGAUAUCACCAUAUCUUAAAUAUGUUCAAUCAUCCUCUAAAAUAACUUCAGUUUCUGAAUCAUUUACCUCAACUUCAUCAUCCUCAUACCCAUCAUCAUCUUCUCCCGUCAAAACAAUGUCCUAGGUGAAAGAAGGAAUUUUAAUCAUUAUUAUUACCAAAACAAGAACUUGUAUGAAAUAUAAUCAAGAAACUGAGACUAAUGAGAAAAAUAUUGUAAUAAAAACAACUUUAUAUCGAUGCAUAGUCUCCAUUUCAAAAAAUCUAAUAAUUAUUCCAUCAUUCACCUAUAUUAGAAGCUUGUCCAUAAUUACUUAAGUUCAUCAACUAAUAGAGCAAUGACAAGUCACCAAUCAUUUUUCAUGAGAACUCAAAAUAUAGAACACUUCAUUCACUUAAUCUAUUAAUAAAAUGAAAUAAACAACUUAUAGCUUCUGAGAUGAUUCUUGUGCAGACUUUCCAAGAACAAGUUUUAUCAUUCUUUUCAACUUCUUGAUUUCUUUCUCUAAGUCUUUUACUUUUACUUCCAAAUUACUACAUUGAUUCUUGUUACCUCCUUAAAUUGGCGAACCAUACACAUCCUUGCCUUUGAUGCCUGCUCCCUAACCAACAACACGACCAUGUGCUGCUUCUCUUGUCACUUCACGAGAUAUUUUCCAUUCAUCCACUGGCAAGCCUUGAUCUAUAACAGUGAAUCUCCUUGAUUCCAUUGUUUCCUAUAAUAAAUACAAACAUUUGUGUUAGUGCAUAUAGUAAUGAAAUCAUGCAAAUAAAUCCAGAAUAUUAUGAAAAUUUAAUAUCAAAUACACACAUGCAUUUCCUUUGCCUUGUUACUUGCCCAUGUCCCCUUACAUGAAACAUCUUGAAUAAAUCAAGUGGACUAAGUUAAGUACCUAUUUGUUACUGCAAUAAAGAAUUGAAAUUCAAUAAGAUCAUAAUAAAUAAACACACUUCUUUUAUGAUCAAAGUCAAACAUGUUCUCUUCCCAUUUUCUGUUCUAUGCUUGGCCAUUGGGACGAAUUUGUAGUAUGAAUAAGUUUGGACUUGGUUCAAUUCCUCUUGGUCGUUGUGCCUGUUUUCUAUAUAUAAUUUUUAAAAAAGCAUAAAAUCAACUUGGUUACUCUGAACCCAUUGUUGAGUGCUAGAGAAUUCAUAUUUAUAGAGGGUAAAAUUAUCAUUUUAUGCUCCAAGUCUCACUAACAUUUUCACUUUUACAUGUUUAAAUCCUCUAAGCUUUUAUUAUGUGUGUUUUAUUAUAAUUUAAGUAUUUUAUAUAUUUCAGAGAUAUUUUGGCCAUUUUAUGACUAACGAGAAGUCAGACAACAAAACUGAUGGUAUUUUUGAACUCAUAAUGGUCAAAAACCUUAGGAAGAGCAUAAAUGGAUAUUCGGCAUACGGUACUGUUCACAUAUUAGGUAAUAUUCACAAGUACAACACUGUUUCACAUAUACGGUAUGAUGAUGUGGCAUUGACCGAUGAUGUGACAUUGACCAAUGAUGUGACAUUGACCGAUGAUGUGACAUUGACCGAUGAUGUGGCAGGAUGUUAUUGGACUAAAAUACUGAUGUGGCAUUGACUGAUGAUGUGGCAGCAUCUUAUGGGACCGAAAUGUUGAUGUGGUGUUGACUAAUAAUGUGUGCCAACCAAUCAAAGCUUGUCAUGUGGUGCAAUCAUGAGCGUAUGAAUUAUUUUCAUUUGAUGGCCAUGAUUUACCUAUUGUAUUUAUAAAUAGAGGGCUCCUCCACCUAAUUUGACACCCUUGAAUCUAUUUUCGAGCUCCAUUUUCUAUAAUUAUGUCUCCAUCUUGUAUUUUCUACAUAUUUUAAUAAAAUUAUCAUUUUACUCCUUGUUCAAUUAUAAGUGGCUAGUUUAUUUCAAACUUGGGUUGAAGGUGAAGGCUAAACAUAAUCUGUGGGCUUAGGUAAGUUUUUUUUUUCUCUCUGAUUUAUGUGGUUGUUUUGACUCAUUGUCGACAGACAGUGUAUCCUAUCUAGAUUUUGCACAGUAUACCUGCUCCCUACUGAAGGAUCGUUGUUGUCUGGCACAAUGAACACUUAACAUCAUAUUGAUUAGAGAGAAAAUUUCCCUAUGGUAUUUUGUGGGUCGUCUUGACUCAGUAUUGACAGAGAGUGUAUCUAAGCUAUUUAGUGGAUGGUCUUGCCAUGUUGUUGAUUAUUAUCAUCUGGCACAGUGUGUUCUUAACACCACACUUAGUGGAAGAUCAUUACCCCUUGCACACUGAGCGCUUGAUGUCAUAUUUAUUAAAGUGAGAAUUAUGAGGAGUUGAAAUACCCCCUUCAUGAAUUAAUUGGAACUAAAAACAUAAAUAUUAAGCCUAUGGUGAAAUGUUGAGUAUGAAUUUAGAGACUCAAGCUUUUCAUUUGCAUUAUUUUCAUCUUUAAUUCAUUCCCGCCAUUUUUUUAAAUCUUAAGAUAAAAAAAUUCACUCCCAACCAACUCACAUAUACACCUAGAAAAUUAACCCUAUGCAGAAUUAAAUCUACAUUCUCGUGGGACCGAACACAAAAUCUAUUUACAAUAGAUUCGUGCCCUUGCGUGUACAAUAAAAUGUGGGCAACACCCAUCAAGAACAACUCAUGUAUAAAGUACAUAGACAGUAUUUAUAAGUUUCUUGUUCCUAUAAUGAUUCUAGCAACUAUAAUUCACUGAUGAAUUAAAAAGAAUAGUGAAGCUUAAGAAAGAAAAUGACAGAAAAGUAUUUUGCUAAUAGUCAUUAUUAGUACUUUCCACCCCUCAUCCAUCCAUUUGUCAACCAUUUUACCUACCAUCAUAUAUCUCUAAAGUUAUAACAUGCCCUUGAGCAACUGCUUUGGCCUUUCCUCGACCAUUUUUUUUCUUUUUGCUACUUGAAGCUGGUACAAAAUCAAAUAAGAUACAAAUUAGCCAUUAAUUUAAAUUUAAUUGUGCAUUAAACAUUAAGUUAAUACCUUCAUCUAUUGUAGUAAAACAUAAAGCUUCACCACCAAUUAUAGAGCUAAUUCAGUAUCCUUGUUAUGUGUGCUAGCUUGAGACUUUCCUUUGCUAGCAACUAUGUCAUUUGAUCUUGUAAUUUUCAUUUGUCUUUUUCCCUUUGUUAGUAGCUAGAGACUUCUUUUUGUUUAUAGUUCGAAACUUUCCAUUUUUAACCAUUAGAAGCCAAUUAAUCAUUCAACAAAAAUAUUUCAAACAAACACAAAUGGUAGAAACGGUUAGAUUAAUCAUAGUUACAAAACCUACAUGAUAAAAAAAUAAUGCAGCAUGCACUGUACAGAGUCAUAAUAAGUUACCAUUUUUAACUUGCAAAAGGAAAAAGGGAAUAUUUUUUCUAAUUUGCAAAGUGUUAAGCUCAUUUGUUUUCCAAGCCUAACCAAAUCUUAUUCUUUCAAAACCUUAGCACAUGAUUAUGUGAAAAAUGUGCUAACUUCUAUCAAAGCAUCACAAAUUUCUUUUAGUAAAAACUCUCGCAUUGUAAGAGACAAUAAUCUCUCUAAGAACACAUGAUAGUCAUGAGUCUUCAUGCACGGAAUUUUAUGCUCGAGUAUAUUUAAACAUCUUAGUAAAUUAGUUGAAUAUCCAUCUGGAACUUGCACAUUCAUAAGCCACUCACACAAUCUUUAUCUCUUUUCAUUUGUCAAACUACAAGAAGAAAUGGGAAAAAUAGCUUUUCCAUCAUUAUAUUUUGGGUGAAGCUCAUGCUUUAUAUUCAACGAUUCGAUAUCAAGGCGAGCAUUUAGGUUAUCUUUUGUUUUGCCAUCAAUAUUAAAAAGUGUACCAAGUAUAUUAUCCCGCAUUUUUUUUUUCAAUUUCCAUGACAUCUAAAUUGUGAUACAACAAAAACGUUUUCAGUAUGGUAACUGAAAAAAAAAACUAUGUUUUUUCUAAUUUUUGUGCUUUUCAAACCCAUGAAUGACCUGCUUUUUCCCUGUUUUACCAAAUAUUAUUGGCCUUAAACUUUCAAGUUCAUUUAUCCCUUGCUCACUAGAUGGUCUUUUCGGUGUAGCUUUCUUUUCUAUCAUACCAUCAAAUUGGCUCUUUUGAAAUCUCCACUUAUGUCCCAGUGGCAAAAAUCGACGAUGCCUCAUAUAAAAUAUUUUUGAAUUGUGAUGUAAUCUACGAUGAGCAGUCUUCUUAGCACAACAUGGGCAAACCAACUUUCCUUUUGUGCUUAAACCAGAUGUAAGAUCAUAUGCAGGAAAGUCAUUAAUUGUCUACAUAACAACCGCUUUCAAUUGAAAAUUUAAACGUGUGGAAACAUCAUAAGUAUUCACUCCAUUUUCCCACAACUCAUUCAACUCAUCAAUUAAUGGCCUCAAGUACACAUCAAUAUCAUUACCUGGGCCUUUUGGGCCUGGGAUAAGGAAAGACAUGAACAUAUACGACUCUUUCAUACACAUCCAAUGUGGAAGAUUGUAUGGAAAUAAAAGAACAGGCCAACAACUGUAUCCAAAAUUCAUAUUUUCAAAAGGAUUGAAGCCAUCAGCAGCUAAACCCAGUCGAACAUUACGGGGAUCGCUAUAAAAUGACUCAUAAAUGUGAUCAAAACUCUUCCAAGCCUCAUAAUCUAUAGAAUGCCUUAGCAACCCAUCUUUAACACGCUUUUCUGAGUGUCAUCUCAUGUGUGCAACUACUUUAGAUGACAUAAAUAACCUUUGAAGUCUAUGUGUAAUAGGAAAGUAACAUAUAACCUUCCAAGAACAUUUUUGGCUUUUCCUUCACCACCUUACCUUUUGUCUUCCAUCUCGAAAGCCCACAAGUUGGACAUUGAGAUGCAUUUGCAAAUUCUUUAUAAUAGAUUAUACAAUCAUUCACACAUGCGUCAAUUUUUUCAUAAUGCAAACCAUUAUCUUUAACUAUCUUUUUUUAUCAUAAUUACACGUAGGCAAUUUUUCACACGAAGAAAAUGCAUCCUUCAAAAUCUCCAAUAAUGCGUCAAAGGAUUUGUUACUCCAACCAUUAAUGCAUUCGGCAUGCAUUAAUGUGACAAAAAAAGAUAAGUUGGAAUAUCUCGUACAAUUUGAAUACAAUGGUUGUUGUGCCUCUCCUAAUAAUUUAUAAAAACUUAAUGCAUCAUUUUUAGGAUCUUGGAAAAACUUUCUUUAACUUGGCCAAACAUAUCAUUAUAUCCACCAUCACAACCAUCAUCACUAUAACAGUCAACAUCAUCAUUAUCACCAUCACUAUCACUAUCACUAUCACUAUUACUCUUUCUAUUUUCCUAAGGGAAAUUAUCAUUCGUAUAUCCUAUGGAUGCUCUGUUAUCAAAAAUACUACAAGACUUUGAGAGUGUAUCAAUCAUCCACCCUAAAUUGGCAAAAUGUAUUUGCUAUUAACCAAACUGUUACUUACCGUUUAAAUAAGAUGACACCAGAGGGGUAAUUUGGUCUUUUCAUAUGAUACAAGUAAUAAUUAAAGGGUAUACAAGUGAUAAUAAAAGAAUUUAAGGGUAUACAAGUGAUAAUUUUCAAGGGUAACAUCGUCAAUUCGCUAUAAUUCUGUUAACUUUCAAACGGCAGCUAACGGUUUGGUGGUUGGCAUAUAACUUUUGUUAAUUUAGGGUGGACGAUUGAUACACCCUCAAAGUAUUGUAGUAUUUUUUAUAACAGAGCAUGUAUAGGGUAUUCGAAUGAUAAUAUCCCAUAGUAUCAAGUAGUGUAGUCCAAUCUCAUCCCUUUAUAUAAAAGAUGUCUUUCCACCUCGCUCUGAACUAAUCUAUACCUAUUGGUACACUUAACGCAUGGAUAUAGGAUUUUUUUUAUCCUCAUAUUUAAUGUGUCUAAAAGCAGAAUCAAGAAAAUUUUUCACUCCACUAACAUAUUUACUUGUUGACUUUUCUAAUUACAUCCAUGAUUUAUCAACUGACAACAUGUCUGAAUAAAAAAAAAAUUAUAUGAAAGGCAAAAUCAUUAUGCAAGCAGUAGCCACAGUAGCACUCAAGAGAUAUACUACAUCAUUAAAUAAACAAAACACUUUGCAGACUUUAAAGAACAAAUUCUAACCUACAGAAUAUAAUUAGAAAAGCAGCCACCACAAAGCACAUAAGCUUUUUUGUAUAGUGGUACAACAAUCAAAACCUGAAACAUGUCCAUUAGUAUUAAAAUUUUGACAUCAAACAAAAAUGAAACUGAAUAUCAUUUUUGCUGAGCUUUAAAUAUGACUAUCACUAAUUUUAUUUUAUUUUAUUUUUGUUGAGACUAACACUCUUGGAUUUCCUUUGAAUGUUCCUAAUUAUCAUUUUUAAUAACUCAUCAAAGUUGACUUUCUAAAAUAGUGUUUUUCAAUCCUAUAAAACAAAGCAAAUAAAUGCAAACUCGAUUAACCAAACAAGAAAUGGUUGUGCACUCUGUGCUUCUAAAUUAUGCAAACUCUGUAGUUAAUUACAUAUUAACUACACCAUCGAGAAUUAUCACAAAACAUUUUUAUUACAAAUUCAUGUUAAUGGAUCAAGAAAUUACCAAUUAAGUUUUAAGGAACUUGGUGAAAUUCAAGUCAUUAAGGCCCAGAAAGUAAAACUUUAAUAAGAUUGAAAUGCAAGAAACAAAAGUAAAUAACUGAAAGAAGAAUAAAAAUUACAAGUAUCAAAACUACAGACCAAGAGAUGCGUACAAAGAGUUGAUGAGUUGACUCGGAGAGACAUAAAAGAUGCACAAAGUUGUGAAUCUACAACUCUAAAACCCUAGAAAAUUUAUGAUAUUAAAGAAAAAUUAUUAAGAGGGAGAUGGAUUGGAGAAACUGUAGGAAAAGCUAAAAAGAGUUAAAAAUUUGCAAGCUAAAAAUUCUAAGUAAAUUUACUUUGAGGUGCUUCUACAUGCAAACAAGAUACAGAGAGUGAGAGAGCAGCAGAUGCUAAGAUGAAAAUAGUGUCACCAUUUGUUCGUUUGAAUUUUCUUUUAAUCAAAUUGUAUUAAUUACAAUGUCUUAUUUUGUUUAGGGGUUUUAUUUACUACCAAAGGGUUGGGCUUUAUUUAAUUGGCUAUGUUACUUUUGUAUGAACUGAUAAUAUCUUAUUUUUGUUUUAUUUAUAUAUUUUUUAUAUUUAUAGGAUUUAUUUCUUUUUUAUCUUUUUUAUAGGAGGUUCAAAGAUUUUAUUUUAAUUUAGUAUUAUAUUUCCUACCACAAAUUCAUUAUUAUCAGGGGCAAAUUACCCUCUGAAAACUUUAUCAUUUUUUUAAUGAUUUUCCAACAACUCAUUUAUGUCCUUGUAAAAAGUGCUUAUUAUAGAGGGUAAACAAUGCCAUUGGAAAUAUUUCUUCGAUAAUACAGCUUUUGUUGUAGUGCGUUGGCAAUGUUAUGAAGAAAAUCUAGACUUGAAUGAUAGUUGGCUAUCUUUGUUUGGUGAGUUUGCACGUUACAAGAUUGUGUGAGAUGAUUCUAUUGUAAGCCUUUGGCAAGAGCGAUACAAAUUGGCAUAUUUGUUUCCAAAGGUUUGUUACUUGCCAUGUUGAUGCUGGAUUGAGUUGGUGUGUUGAUCUUUUCCAUGUUGGUACGUGAUUCGUGUGGCUGCAUAUGGUUCAUGCGCUGUGACUAUUUGAAUUCCGUGAAUUCCUCAUGUGGUGGGCAAUGUAUCUUAACAGCCCUCUUGAGAUCAGUUGGGUUAUAGAGUGAAUGCCAAGCUUGUGCUGAAAGAGGAAGAAAAGAUCUUUACCCAGUGGUUUGGUAAGCAGAUAUAUAGUUUGCAACAAUAAGGGAAUAUGCUUGGCUUCAAGAAGUCCUUGAAUGACUUCUUCACGAACGAAAUGGACAUCGAUUUCGAUGUGUUUGCUAUGAGCAUGAAGAAGUGGAUUAUGUGUCAUGUUGAUGGCGCUCUUGUUGUUGUUGAGGAGGUGAGGAACAUGUAAAGUUGAGACCCCGAUGUCCUAAAAUAAAGUAAGAAUCCAAGUUAAUUAAGCCAUUUUGGGAGACAAAUUAAGCCCGAUAUUGUACUUGUACAAUGGAUCAUGCAACAAUUUUUUGUUUCUUGCUACACCAUGUGAUUAAAUUUGUCCCAAGGUAAAUACAAAAGCAUGUUGUGCAACAUUCUAUUUCAAGGUAGGGUUGCCAAAAAAGUCCAAGCCGAGCUGCAUGGAUUAGGCUUGGAUAUAGGCUGAAAAAUAUGAAGCCCGCAUAGAUUGGGCCUAGAAAAAGUCAGGGCUUUUUAAUUUAUAAAUAAAAAAUAUACCAAAUUAAAAAAUUAAAAUACUAUAUUAACAUUUUUUAUAUUAGUAUUUACGGGUGGGCAUGUGUUGGUUUUGAUUGGGUUUUAAGUAAACCCAAAUCAAACCAUAAAAGUUUGGGUUCGAUCCAAACCAACCCAAAUAAUUUCAACCCAACCCAAACCAACCCAUUUGGAUUCGGUUUGGGUUUGCUUUGAAUUUUAUUAUCAAAAUAUUUUUUAUUUUGAUACAUUUAAUUAUAUAAUAAUUAUAAUAAUUAUUAAUUGUUAUUAAUUAUUAAAUUGAUACUAAAAUAUAAACAAACUAGUGUAUAAAAAUUAUAAAUAAUAAAUGUUAUAAUAACUUAAUCCUUAAAUUUAAGAAUACUAGAAAAUUAAAAUAAAGUUUAAUCACAAAAAUCAUUAAUUCUCAAUAAAUAAGAACGUAAACUCUAAUAAUAAACUUCCAUAAACAUGACAUCAACAGGUAAAUUCAAAGAAAGCAAAUAAAAAAAAUUAUGUGAGUGCCAUUUAGUUAAAAUAAUAAAAUUUCUUUAACAAAAAAAAUGUAUCCUUUGACUUAUAAUUAUUGAGAUGAUAAUUUUUUAUCAAAUGGUGUUUUUUUUUCAAUAGGUUGAUUGCUCAUGAAUUUCAAGAUGGAGGAUCAAUGUCAAUAAAUCCCAUCAAAAUAAAAAACGGAGUAUUAUUUAUGCUACAAUAUCAAUAUAGCACACAAAAUGUUAAUUUUAUUUAUAAUAAGGAUUUAUAAUUUCUGUCACAAUAAUAUUUUAUCAGUGGUGAAAUAUUAUUUCUCAUAAUUAUUAAUUAUUUUCUUCCAAUGGGCUAGGUAACUAUGCCCUCAAAAACCAUCUCAACAUUAUUACUAUAAUUUUCCUUAAUUUAAAUACGAAAAUAACAAUAUAGAUUUGAUGUUUUUCUUAUUACUGUUAGAAAUAUAAAAGCGGUAAUUACGUAAGUAUAAUAUGAGUUUAUAAAUUAAAAAAAAUGAUUUCAUUUCAUCAAACACUAAUUUCAUAUCAUUUAAUUAUUUACAAUAGCAUUUAUUUAAUUCAGAUUUGUUUUUACACGUUGUUUUCCUUUUCUAACUGUUAACAAUUGAUCACGCCAUGAACAAUUUAAUAAUAACCUUUCACUUUUUUUUUUCAUUUAUUUCAUUUGAUAAGUUUGAGUGUUGGGGUUUUGUUCAUGACCCAUGGGUAAACCAUACCCAACCCAUAAUGAAUUUUUUUUUUUUAUAUAAAACCCACAUUUAACCCAUUUUCAUAAUUUACCCAACUCAAACCAUUUAAUUUGGUUUGGAUUUGGUAAACCCAUGAAUUGUGGGUUUAUGCCCACUCGUAUUUGUAUUUGUGAUUUAUUAUGUUGUGUUACUAAUAUCAAGCCCGGACUUUUUAAUUUAUAAAUAAAAAAUAUCAAAUUAAAAACUCAAAUCUUAUAUUAAUAUAUUUUUUAUUUAAGCAUUUAUUAUCUAUUUUGUUGUGCUACUAAUAUUUUAAAUAUUUGACUAUUAUUCUAUUAUGUAUAGAAUAAUUAUCUUUAAUUUAAAUUUUUUUACUUUAUUAAAAAUUUAUUUAAAAAAUAAUGAAGGCCCAAGCCUACCCAGUCUAAUGUUUGGAUAGACUUUUGAAUGGCAUGGGCUUAUUCUCAACAAGUUGGGCCUGGGCCUAGGCUUUGAAAGGCUUAGUUCAAGCCUGGCCCAGACCCUUAAUUUGCCAACUUUAUUUCAAGGCAACCAAUGCAAUUAGAGAUCGAAAAGGUUUUGAUUGAUUGGAGCUUUGCUUAAAGAAAUCAAAGUCUGAAGUUGAGAGUGCCUUUGAGAUAGCGUAGGAUUCUUGUAACAACUUUGAGGUCUUGUUUAGUAGGGCUUUGGAAGUGUUAACAAGCUUUCUUGACAACAUGAAUAAUAUCUAGCCUAGUGAAUAUGAGAUAUUGUAGGCUGCUGUUGGUGAUUUAUUAUAAUCAAAUGCUAUUGAUGCCAAUGUGUAAGUGUACACAAUAAGUAAUAAAGUGGUGAAUAUUCAAGAUCAUCUCCACAGGGAUUGAUGUCACUAGAAAUGCUAUAACAAUCACAAUAGUGCAAUCUACCUUAAGUCCAAGUUAACAAAUGUAAAGUAGGUUCUAUUGAAAUUAAUAAUUGUGAGAGACUAAAAUAAAACAAUGCAGUAAUGAAUUAACUUAAAUUAAAUACGUCUAAGAAUCAAUUGAGAAUAAGGUAGUUGAAUGAUCAAACUCUCUUUAAGGGCUGACUGCUUUUUCUCAAGUUAACACCAGUUGUUACAUCAAUUGCUACAGCACUGGGCAGGAUUAGUCUACAUCCUCAGUUGUCGCGUGUUGGAACUCUCUCACCCUUAAGUAUAUUAGCAAUGACUAGUUGCUAUUCUACCUAUGACAUGGCCUUAUGAACCUUUAUUCUCUCCACCCUACGAGGUGAGUACCUAUUUCUAGUUUGUCACAAAUCUUAACUUCAAGUAUAGCCCUUAUGGGAUUCAAGAUAAACUUAAUCCAGGAAACUCAAAUUAAGAUCAAGUAUUACUCUAAUAAUAGCCACUAAGAGAUGCCCUUUUGCGGCUCUAUCUUAACUUGAACUAUUAAAUGGGUGGUCAACCGAAAGAACAGUUAUAAUAAUUGCUACUAGAGUAAAAUGCUACAGCAAUGACAUAACAACUCAUAAGAACAGUCAAGAACCCAUUAGAUUAUUUGUCACUCAACUACAAGUAAAUUUAGUUCAUAUUCUGAAAGAGAAAAACAAACAUCAAAAUAUUGGUCAUGAAAUACAUCGGUUCAAUCAACGAGUAAGGAAAAGAACAAGUAGAGAACGAUGAAGAUUAAAUCUAAAUAACUCUGCUGGAUUCUUUACUGAUGCCGAAUUGGUUCCCUUGAAUUCAGAUUGUUUUCUUUUCUUCCUCUCGAUUUUCCAAUGUUAAUUCUUUGCCGCUGUUUUAAGUGGUGCACGCCUCCUUUUAUAACUAACAACUAGGGUAAACAAAAGCCUCGGGUGUGCAUGAGUUAAAUUAGAAAACUGCAUAUCGCAAUUCUGCAGCUGACCCGCGCUAAGUUUUCUCCCUCAGUGCUCCAGGAUUGCUAUAGCAAUGGUUGCUCUAACAACGGCUAUAACAUUGCACUGUUCCCGGUUGUGCUUCACUUCUUUUAUGGCCAUAUUCUUUCCUCCUCUUGCUAGUCUAAUAUCUCAGCAUCCCUUCGUGAAUUAUAAACUUAUGAAAACCUACAAUUAUGCACAUGUUUUGAGCACAAAUUACUUUAAUUCAAGCAAAACUUAUUAAGGCUAAUAAAAACACCUCAUUUACUCUCUAAGUGAUCUUAAUUUAAGUCUAAAAUUGCUGUAAUAACUCUCAUUUCAUAGAGUUAUCACACCCCCCAAACUUAAACCGUUACUUGUCCUUAAGUAAUGACAACAUACUAACACUUCACGCACACAAUCAUGCAACACACAACUUAACUCUUUUAUCAAAUUUGCACGGAUUUUUCCACUUUCAUAUCACAAUCCCAAUCGUGGAAAAUGACCAUAGUAAAUCAGUUCUAGACUUAAACUUCCUUCUGUCCACUUUGUGUGUGUGUUACUUUGAUUGAAUUUCAGAGAUGCUACAACAUUACCAAGAGAUUGCAUGUAAUUCAGUAGUAGUACAAUUUUAUUCAUAUAUGGGGUAGCAUAAAUCUCACAUACUCAAAUUGUGUUGUGUUGUCUUUAAGAUUGAAAACUUGAGAGUAUUCGACCUCCUCACUACAACAUUUAUUUUUCAUGUGAAUGCCAAUCAAUUGUAAUGAUGACACCCAAUUACUCAAACCAUGCACAGAUCAGAGUUGCUGUAGCAAUAUCUGUAACAUAAUAUUAUCUAGAGAUAUCUUUUACUCAAGGUUGAACAUGGGGCUCAUGAACAGACCUGACUACUCAAUAUCCUAGAUAGAGGACUUCCUCGUAUUAUUGUCUCACUUUUUUUUUAUUACUGCUACAACACUGCUCAUAACUCUUGUUGUCUUUGGAGGCAAAUUUGCAUAUGGGGUAAAUACUCAGCUCUGGUUACUUAGCAACUUGAGCCAUCGGAGCAGAAUUUAUCUCAUAGCAAGCACAGUCAAUCAAACCUUUUCCCCCAAACUUAAGAUCUUUUCUAUUCUUUUGGCUCUGCCACAACAAUCUCAUAAAACUCCACCAAAGUUUAAGUGUCAGGACAGAAUUUCACUCUCCAUCUAUAAUUAUCUCUACUCGGCAUUCUUAUGAUCACUAAUUAGCAUUAAAUUUCUCUUCAUUAGGUUUUUAAAUCCAUACACAAAUAUUAGAUAACAGAGCUUCACACAACACAUACAUAAACACAUAUUCAAAACACCCAGAGAUACAUCCCCCCCAAACUGUAAAUGGUGUUGUGUCCUCACAAGUACACAGCAACAAAGUCACACAAAUUGAUAAAGACAUGGAGGAGGACAUUAGAAAAUAAACCACACAAAUUGAAAACAUAAUGAAAGACAAGUUUUUCAGAAUUAAAUAAAUUGACUAGCAAGAAUGAGAUACUCCCCUGUUGUUUGGGUGUUGCUGCAAUAUGGUGGGAUGACAUCAGUAUUUCUUGGAUGCACUGCGCAACUUAUGCUUUGGGGAAGCUGGUGGGGAGGUAGCUGGCAACGUCUUUGUUUUUUUCUUCAAUGGGCUGGUGGGAGGAGUUGCGGCUGGGGCAGUUUGCUUGGUGGACACCGAUUUGAUCCUUUUUGGUUCAGUCGAGGCUGUUGUAGCAGUGCCUCCAGAAGUAUUGCCUUUUGUUUUGCUGGAUCCUCUAGGACUAGCACGAACAAGUUUGCUAGGAAUUUGCUAUGGAGGAGCUGGGGUUGGUGCAUCAGCUGCCUAUCCCUCAGUUGUGAUGGCGGCAAUUAUGUCAAAUAACUGCUUGGGUUCGGUGGGUGUACGCAUGACUCUGGUUGCUGCAGCUUCCAACUCUGCAUCGACUUGCUCAACUUCAUCUUCAGAGGUAGAAUGGGUUGCUAUUUUUUCCUUACCCUUGCUCGAAAUGGCUGGAAUAUAGGGUUCCUCUUUAGUUUCACUCUCUUCCUCUUCUUGGAUGAUGUGCUUUGUCUUGAUUUUGGAAGAGGUCCUGACUGGGGUUCCUCAAGUUCUUUCUCAGAACUUCAUCUGCCUCUGUGGGUGAGCUGUCAGUCGCAGACUUGUCACCUUCUUUCUCAAGUUGAUCAGAUGGUUCAGCAUUUUUUGAGUCAGCCUCUGCUCGUGGGUCUGCUGCAGCUGCUGCUUCUGGUUCAUCUAUGUCAGUGGCUUCUUCACUGGCUUCUGUUGGAGCAUCUGUGGUGUUGAUGUCAAAAUUAUACCGCUGGAGUAAUGAAUUAGGGAAAUCCCGAUGGGUGUUUUUUAUGUAAAGAGCCAAUUGAUGUAGGUGGCUAUCUAGGUGCUGUAAAUAGCUCCAAAAUCGAUCGUUUUCCCUCUGCUGGCUUUAGCACAUUGAGUGAUACUGGUACUCAGCGCCUGGAUUGUCUAUUCUAAACCAAUAGCUCAUCUCGCCCUUGUGACAGCAACUGGUUCCGUUGUUGCUCCAGCACUUUCACCAACAAUUCUCUCAAUGGUGCGUGCAGUAAGGGCACCAUCAUUCUUGACAUGUUCAUCAUUUGCAUCAAGACGAACAUCGGAUACUACACAUAUGCUGGUUAUAAGUGAAGGAAAUAGCAAGACGGCAACUUUGUGUUUUUUGAUGGCAUAAUCUCUAAUUUCUUUUUCGAUAAUGCUUCCCACAUCUGUGGGAAGCCCUCGAACAAUAGCAUAUAACAAAACCAACCUUUCUUGUGAAAUAGUAGUAGUGUGGGUGGUUGGCAUCAGCCUGGAUUGCAGAAAUUUCACCCACACCUUAGCAAUAGGUUUUAAAUCUAUCCUAUUAAUUACACGCCCUUCCUCAUUCGCCUACGAUGCCCUCUCUACUGUAAGAGUUGUGAAGAUGGUGUUCCAUCUUUUUGGGGUCAAUUUGUCAAGCAACUUGGCAUACUCACAAUUAAUUUCAGCAGGUAAAUUAUAAAAAGCAUUUAUAACUCGAGAGUCUAAUGGAACAAGUGUAUUUCUUACCCAAAUAUUGUACUGAUCAGGGCUUACCAAAUUGGCAUAAAAUUCUUUGACUACUACAGCAUUGUGUACUGUUUGCACAAUUCCUGUGGAUUGCGAUGGAAAUUGAAACCCUUUUUCUUCCAGAAUCUUGCGCCGUUCAAUUAAUUCUUCAUAUUUUUCUUACGCGUUGUAACUUUGGAAGCGUGAAGGAUCUUUGAGUCGGCUAGCUGUUCUCUUAUACCUUGGCAUUGCUAUAGCAGUAACAAUUCGAAGGUAAUAGGCCUGUGAGUAAAAUGAGAAAAUGGUGGUAAGAAUUAUUGGAGUCGUGCUUGCGAGGGAGAGGGGAAAUAGUGUCGUGGGUCACUACGCACAUAAUUUCCUCUUAUAGUGGAAUUUAAUUGAAGAUAAAUUCGGUAAAGAAAGAUAAACUGUAUAGAUAAUGGGCAAAAGGAUUACUCUCCAAGAAAAUGAUAGGCUCAACAACUCACUUGGCACUUAUUUAUGACAUGUUCAUUCCUUCAAGCAACUCAUAUUUGUCUCCGACAUCAACAUGUAAAGUCGCAAACAUAGCGUAACAUCACUUAAGACCAAAGAUAAUACAAAUACUAAAAUUUGAAAUUAAUCAUGUCAUCCAAUGUUAAAACAAAUCACACAAUUUUUUUAAACAACAUUCUACCCCCCCAACCUAUUCUAAACAUGAAAUGAAAAUAUGCAUGCAGAAAUGUGAAAAUGCUGCAUAAAAACUAAUUAGAAAAGUUACACGUAAAAUGAUAGAAAACGAAAAUGAUUUUUUUUUUAUGAAGAUGCGUUUCUAGAGGCACUACACUCCAUAUUCAGCCAUCUUCGACUCAAAAGUUGGAAAAUGUAUAUUUAUAAGGAGAAAUUAAAAAAAAAAGAAAAAUGAACAUCAAAACAUAGUAAAGAAAAAGAAAAUGUCUGAAUUUUUUUUAUUUUCUUUAGUUUUUUUUUUUUAACAAUGAAGAUGUGUUUCUAGAGUCACUAUACUCCAUAUUCAGCCAUCUUCAACACAAAAAGUUAGCAACAGUUAGUUUCUACAACAAAAAAUUAGUAAAAACUUAACCAAAAUUCUAGAAUUGUCGACUAUUCCCUCCCCCCAACCAAAACGAAACAUUGUCCUCAAUGUUUGAAAGAAAAGAAUUAGAGUUUAGAAGACAUCACCUGGGUGGUGCAACACAGAAGAAAAUAUUUACAAGCGGAGAGUUAAAUCUAAUUUGUAUUUCUUACUGGGGCUACUGUUACCAUCAUUAUUUGGGCGCUCCAACACAAAGCUUGUAUUUCUUAUAAGCUUGUAACAGAUCAAGUAGCUCAUUAGCAGUGUGAGCACAAAUAAAAAGUUUUUUCACAUUAGAAGGAAUGAAAUAGUUUUUUAUUGCAUGGUUAAGAAAUGCGAUAAAGCCAUCAUAAAAGUUAUUGACAUUUAACAAACCGAUGGGUUUCUGGUGGAUGUGCAGUUGGGCCCAAGAUGCUAGUGUGAUAAGUGCCUCUAGUGUUGCAAGAUCUCCUGGAAGAAAAAUAAAAGCAUCAGCAUGAUUAAGCAUUUCAGUUAUUAUUUCUUGCAUACUUGAGACGACUAACUUUUCUCCAGUUGAUGAGUCAGACGAACUGCCCAAUGGUUUUAGGACUCUUGGGAUGAUGCCUAACACUUGACUUCCUCGGAUAAAAGCUGCUUCUGAGACCAUUUUUGAUAACCCUCGGUUACCUCCUCCAUACACCAAGUGUAAUUUUCUCUCUGCUAUACUUCGACCAAGAUCGAUGGCUGCCUCAACGAACUCUUUAUGUUUGCCAUAGGUAAAUCCAGAAAGCACACAAAUGUUCUUGAAUUGUCUAUUUGGAGUAGCUGCCAUUGGGAUACUUCUCAAAAAAUAAUUUGUGAGUGCUUGACAAAUAAAAUCACAUUUAAGAGUUUUGGUGACAGUGGAUCACAGUUGUGUAUGAGGUAACAUGUCAGUGUCAAAUAAUGCGUAAAGCACGUGGCUCGCGAGUCAAAAAGGAAACAGUAAAAAGGAAAAAGCAAACAGUAAUAAAAUUAUUAAAGACAAUAAUACACACAAUAAAACAAUAGUGAAAUAAAAAAGAAAUAGUAAAGUGAAAGGAUAUUUACAGGUAGUUGCGACUGUGGCUCACAUCUUCCUCUAGUUUUACGUCCAGAAACGGCUUGAACGCCCUCUAUGGGUCGAGGAUGGGCUUCCUAUCCAGAUUUUUUAUAAACUGGCAAACAAGGUCGUUUAUAGUUAGAUUCCCAAGACUAUAUCGUGCAUGCUCUUUCUGGAAUAAUGGCCAUAACUGGAGAAUCGCUCCUUGCACAUAUCCACUGGGAUGCGUUUCAAGAGACAGAAGGAUAUCAUCCAAUGACUCCUUAUUCAAGCCAUCCCUAAUGAAUUGAAUCUUAUCUUCCAUAUUAUCAGACACCAUUCCUAAAGAACAUGGGUUUUUAUUGCAACUCAUUCUAGCACACUUAUGACAAGCAACAGAAAUUCUUCGAGCUCGUCGUUUUCUUGCAUAAUUUCCUUUACCACAACCAGGCAUGUAUACAAUAAAUUUUGGAGGUAACUCACCUGCCGAUCGUACUUUAGCCUCGAUUAACCAACGGAUGUCAGCAGGUAUGUUAUUCCUCAUGAGUAAUCGCAUGCGUUCGGACCGAGCUUUAUAGAUCGUAAGGAGGGCAUUCUGAGGAAGUGAAGGGAAUCGCUUGUGAAGCUUCGCUAGAGUCUCGUUUAUGUACAUACCUUCGCCUCAAAAUAUCAGUUAUUAUGGGAAACUGAAGUAACCGACUUGAUUGUCACGAAGUACCGUUAUCCGCCACUUCACUGGGGUAACAAACUAAAGCACACAAACAGAUUAAAACACACAAAGAAAAUUAAAUUGUCCUCUUAUUGAAUUUACCUCAAGCUCCAACUGGAUGUCGUAAACACUUCUCUCAAUGUCUUUGAGUUGGCUUUCUAAACCCUCAACAUAGGCUACUAACUCUGGUGGUUGUAGAGCCCAAAUGCGAUGUGUUUUACAAAAUUGAAUCUGCCUUUUGAGAUGAGUUUGACACGUUGAAGUGGUUUAAGAAUGUUCAGGAGGAACGGUCUAAGUAAGGUACUCAUGAUUAAAAAUGAUAAAAGAAAACUUAAUAGUUAAACAAACACACUUAUGCAAAAAUAAUUUCAAUUAGUAGAAGAAUAAUAUAAAGAAAAAAAAAAUCAAAUCAACGAAAAGAAAAAAAAAUCAAUUCAAAUCUGGUGGGUCACUCAAAUUUAUUUCGGUGUCUUCUCCAUGUGGUUAGUACUCUAGAUAUGACUUUAAUCUUUGACCAUUAACUUUAAACGUGACACCGUUCUUUGGAUCCUUAAUUUCAAUUGCCCCAUGUGGAAAAACAGCAUGUACAAUAAAUGGGCCAGACCAACGAGAGCGUAACUUACCUGGGAAUAGGUGCAAGCGAUAAUUGAAUAAAAGCACUUUCUGACCUGGAGUGAAAGAUUUUCUCAUAAUUUGCUUGUCAUGGAAGACUUUCAUUGCGAAUUUCUUCAAGUUCUGCCAGCUGUAAUCUUCUUUCUGAGCUGGCUUGCUGCAUGUCAAAAUUGAAUUUCUUGAUGGCCCAAUAUGCACGAUGCUCGAGUUCCACAGGUAGGUGGCAAGCUUUUCCGUACACUAGCCUGUAGGAUGACAUCCCAAUCAGGGUCUUGAAAGCUGUUCUAUAUGCCCAUAAUGCAUCAUCAAGUCUUAAUGACCAAUCUUUCCUGUCUGCCCUCACCGUUUUUUCUAAUAUGUGCUUUAUUUCUCGAUUGGAUAUCUCAACUUGGCCACUGGUUUGCGGAUGAUAUGGGGUUGCCACUUUGUGUGUGAUUGAAUACUUUGUCAAAAGAGCUUUGAAUUCUUUGUUACAAAAGUGGGCACCACCAUCACUGAUUAUCACUUGAGGGAAUCCAAAGCGUGAAACAAUGUUGCUUUUCAAAAAUGCUAUCACCACUUUGUGAUCAUUGGUCCUACAUGGAAUUGCUUCUACCUAUUUCGAUACGUAGUCAACAGCAACCAAUAUGUAUUGAUGGCCAAAAGACGGGGGAAAGGGUCCCAUGAAGUCGAUACCCCAUACAUAAAAAAUCUCAACCACUAAAAUUGGAUUUAGUGGCAUCAUAUUCCUUCGCGUAAUGCUCCCCAUUCGUUGACACCUAUCACAUGAAGAACAGAAAGUGUAAGCGUCUCGAAAUAUAGUUGGCCAAUAAAAUCCACAUUGUAAAAUUUUAGUUGCUGUUUUCUUAGCACUGAAAUGGCCUCCACAAGCUUGUUCAUGGCAGAAUGAAAGGAUAUUUUGAAUUUCACUUUCUGGGACACAUCGUCUAACAAUUUGAUCUGUGGUAAUCUUUUCAUAAUUGUGUCAAAAUAGAGACGAGAGAGAUGGUCCGCCACGACAUUUUCUGUGCCUUUCUUAUCUUUGAAUUCCAAGUCGAACUCCUGUAAAAGUAACACCCAACGAAUUAGUCUGGCUUUUGCAUCUUUCUUUGUGAGAAGAUAUUUAAGAGCAGCAUAAUCUGUGAAUAUAAUUAUUUUACAACCAAUGAGAUAAGAUCGAAAUUUUUCCAAUGCAAACACUACUGCUAGCAUUUCUUUUUCAGUAGUUGAAUAGUUCAACUGUGCAUCAUUCAAUGUCAUACUAGCAUAGUAAAUAACGUGGAGAAUUCGAUCAACUCUUUGUCCUAAUACUGCUCCUACUGCAUAAUCAGAUGCAUCACACAUGAGCUCAAAUGGUAAGCUCCAAUUUGGGGGCAGAAUGACGGGUGAUGAUGUCAACAACUGUUUUAACUUUUCAAAUGCCACAAGACAUAAAUCAUUACAGACAAAAGGUACAUCCUUAGCAAGUAAAUUGCAUAAGGGUCUAGAAACUUUGCUAAAAUCUUUAAUGAAACGUCUAUAGAAACCAGCAUGCCCAAGGAAAGAUCUUACUUCUCUGACUGUUUUGGGUGGAGGAAGAUUAGAAAUGAGACCCACCUUGGCUUUGUCAACCUCAAUACCUUUGCUCGAAAUGAUGUGACCGAGAACAAUACCUUGUUUUACCAUAAAAUGGUAUUUCUCCCAAUUUAAGACCAAGUUCUUCUCGAUACAUCUCUGCAGAACUAGUGGUAGAUGAUGUAAACAUUGAUCAAACGAGUCACCAAAGACAGAAAAAUCAUCCAUAAAGACUUCAAGGAAUCGUUCAACCAUAUCAGAAAAAAUGCUCAACAUGCAUCGUUGAAAUGUAGCAGGUGCAUUACAUAAUCCAAAUGACAUUCUCCUAUAUGCAAAUGUGCCAAAAGGGUAAGUGAAAGUAGUCAAAACAUCCACAAAAACUAGAGGGGAAGAGAAAAUAAAUUUACCAAAUUAAGCCCAUGACACAUGUUGAGACUUCAUCUUCAACCCAAGCUUGAAAGAAAAUUAGCCACUCAUAAUUGAACUAGGGGCAAAAUGGAAAUUUAUUAAAAUACGAAGAAAAUACAAGAUGGAGAAGGAAUUACAGAAAAUGGAUCCCAAAAAUAGAUUUAGAGAUAUCAAAUUAGGGGGGAGAGGCCCUUUUUUUAUAGAUACAUGGAGUAAAUCAUGGCCAUUGGAUUAAAAACAGUUUGGACGCUCAGGAUUGCGCCACGUCAUCAGUCAACAGUACGCGGUUUGACCACGCGGAUAAACAGUAACACGGUUUGACCUGGAUGAACAGUAACGCAGUUUGGUUAAAAAUAAUCCUGUGUGAUGCAUGUACCGUACGCGAGAUUUUUCGUCCACUGAUAUGCUGCCACGUCACCAUCAACAGUACAUAAGAAUUUUAGUCCAACAGGAUCGUGACACCUCAUCAGUCAAUGCCACAUCAUCGGUCAAUGCCACGUCAUCGUCCGUCUAUGUGAACAGUGUCGUGAACAGUACCGUACACGUGAAUAGUACCAUACAUGUGAACAGUGUUAUUUUUCCUUUUAUGCUCCUCCUAAGGUUUUCGACCGUCCUGAGUUUAAAAGUGAUGUCCGUUUUGCCAUCUGAUCUCUCGUUUAUUAUGAAAUGACUAUGAUGCCCCUAAAAUACAUAAAAUACUUAAUUAAAAUAAAACAAACGGAAUUAAAUCAAAAGAAGGUUAAAUUCAUAAAAGUAAAGGAAUUAGUAAGACUUGAAAUGUAAAAUGACGGUUUUCUUCUUUAUAAAUAUGCAUUUUCUAACACUCAACAACAAUCAUUAUAUGUCUCUUUAAAAACUGAAAAGUCAUCCAUGAAGACUUCUAAAGUUUGUUCUACCAUAUCAGAAAGAAUAGACAUCAUACAUCUCUGACAAUUCCAAGUCCAAUUAGACUUUGAGAGUCAUGAAGUCUUUUGAUUGACGUCAAUCACUCUUAUUAGCUCCCAUAUAAACAUACCUAUUGUAUCUAAAAUAGAUGUGUAUGAUUCCGCACACGUGUAAUGAUUCGAAAGCAGCCAGCUAUAUGCUUGAUUUCUUCAAGCUAUGCUUAUAUAUAUUUAAAAAUUGAGAGCAUUUGAUGGUCGUUCGGUGGCUAUAUAAAAUGCAAAAAAAUUUAACAGUUGCUUUAUAUACCAAAUUUGAGAACCGAGAGCAAACAAAGGAAAAUGGAAGAGAAAUAAGAAAUGGAAAAGAGAAAAGAGAAGAAAAAGAAAAUAAGAAAAAUAAGAAAGAAGCCGAAUGUGGGAAAAGAGAAAAAGAAAGGAAAAGGAGAAAAAAUAUUAGGGGAAAUAGAAUUAGAUAGUUAGAUCUACAUUAAAUAAGUUAGUGGGUAAUAGAUUUAUGAAAUUUAAGUAGUUAUGAUUUAAUUUGCCUUAUACGUAUAAGUUUUUAUAUUAGUUCUAACAAUUAAUUUCGAAUCAUGUAUUUUAGGAGAAAUUCAAGAAUCUAAGAGCCCACAGGAGCCCCAACGAACCCUUAGUGAAACAAGCUUUGUAGGGAUACUAUUAUUACAAUUAUGUAUUCCAUGAAGCAUUUAUGUUUGGUAGUAUGAUUUAAUAUAAUGUUAUGAUUACAUGUACAAAUAUUAUAUGUUUGAUUAAGUCAUAAAAUGUGAUUGCCAAUCACCAUAUAUGCGUCCUUCCCUAUAAACUAUGUGCAUGCAUAUUGAGAGUUAGGCUACUCUACCCAUACGAUGUAGUUAAAUUCCAUCGGCUAUUGAGAGGUUUUUGCCCGGCUCUACUCAUGCGAUGAUGAUCCCAGUAAGUAUUGAGAGUUAUUUCCUUGGGUAUUAUUUGGUGCAGUUUUGUCAUGUAUGUAUUAUUUCCCAUGUUUACAAAUGCAUUACUUUAUUAUUAUUAUUAUUAUUAUUAUUAUUAUCAUUAUUAUUACUAUUAUUAUAUAUGGCUACAAGCUCAUUAUUUUCCUAUUUAUCCCUUUUUUGCCAGGAUUUCGCAAGAUUUUGUGCUGAUCAAUUCUAGUCAAUUAAAGUUGGGUCACGAGACGUAUUGCCUCAUGACUUGCAUUUUGAGCAUGUUUAUAUUACUUAUGUUUUUAUGUAUAUAUAUUUGUAGGGUAAGUAUAUAUAGUGAGAUAUGAACUGUGCAAGUUUUGAAUAUAUAUUUUUGGAUGAGGUAUAGAGGUUGUUAUGUGUUUAUAGUGGAGACCAUUUUUAUAUAUUCAUGAAUUAAAUUUGUGCCACGAGUUUUAGUUAUUAGAUCGUAUGAUUCGCCUCGGAUCUGACAUAUAAGUCGGGGCAAGCCGUGUCAUGUGAUAAGGGUGUGACAAAUAUGAAAAAUAUGAAGAAGAUAUUAGAAAACACAAGGAUUGAAAACGAGAGAAAAUGGCAGUGGGCUCUGGCAAUGUGAUAUGAGGGGAUUUUCUUUUAUUAUAAUUAUCCUCCGACAUAAACAUACAGUAGCGUGAUGGUUUUCUUUGAGAGUAUCCUUGUCUCUAAUCAACUUGACAGUGAUAUAACUUAUUAUGAUAUGCUUCCGCAUUCAAGGAUCAAAAUGUAUGCUUUUGGAUAUGGAAACGACCCGCCCCGAAUCCCCCCGAGGGAGUCAAUCUAACCUCAUCCAAACUGGAUUGAUAAUAAUCUAAUUAGUGAGGAUUUUGUCAAAAAAUCAGCAGAGUUUCCUUUAUAUAUAUAACACUCCCAAUCUACAAAUAUGUAAGACAAGCACUCCCAAUAUAAUUCAAUAUACAACAAACUCCAGUGAUCAAUAUCCUCAACCAAAAUGCUGAGUUUUAUAUCUCUAGGGUCUCAAAAGAUAAUAUUAUAACUAAUAUUAAUAUCUUAGUUUAUUCUUAAUCCCAAAAGAAUAAUAUAACAAAAUUAUACAAUCCCAACAGGACGAGAUAACCAAAAUGUCCUAACAAAAAUAUCUAUAUAUUCUAACACCAUCACGUGGCUAAGACUCAAAAUAUAUUUACAAUCGAUGGGUUGGUCUGGUGUACCUGCAACCUCCUGGUGGGGGGGGGGGAAUAUAAUAAAAACGGGGUGAGUUUAAAACUCAAUGAGAUCAGUAAGUGGAUAGUAGUUUUUGAAAAUUAAUUCUUACUUUAAAAAAAAUAAUCAUAUUAUUUCCUAACACGAUUUCAUCAAACCAUAUGCAAGAAACCAGUAGUAAAUCAUUUAACAUUUAAACCAGAUUACUAACCAUGAAAAGCAUAUAUAUUAUCGUACUAAAUAACCAUGGAAAUCAUAUCACAAUAUCAUAUAGAAUUUACAAAUUUGAAAAUCAUCACCAAACAAGUACCCAGGGAAAUAAUCUCGUCAUAUCCGGACCUCAACGAACGGGCAAUGACGUACUAUUUGGGUACCGUCACGCCCUAGAGCUACACGGAUAGACAUGGAAAUACCAUCUCAUAUCUAAUCAUAUCUCAUCAUAUAUGUGCAUGCAUAAUCUAGUCCCCAAAAGACAAAAGCGCCCAAGCACACGGCCCAAAGUCUCUGUGUGUACUCAGAUAGGCCCCAAAGACUUGUAUCUCAUCUGUAUCAUUUGUAUCUCAAUAUUUGUCUGUGUCUCAUAGCUGUAUCUCUGUAAUCAUUAUACCGCAUGCAUAUGCCCCUAAAAUGCAAGAGCGCCCAAACACACGGCCCAAAGCCUCUAUGUUGUUUAGACAGGCCCCAAAGUCCUCUCAUCUCAUCUCAUCUCAUCUGUAUCACUGUAUCUGGAGGGAAGGAUAUUGUCUAAUAAUUUAAAAAAAAUCUCUAUACUCAUAUUCACAUACCUUUUAACCAUAUUUUAAAUCAUACCACAAUUGAAUCCACUUUUCUUAUCUUUAAAUUAUGAUCAUGCUUAUUCAAAGUUGAUACGCAAAAUCAGUAACCAAAUAUUUUAAUAAAAUACCAAUGCGUGAAUAAAAUCUAUUUCGAGGAAAUUAUUAAAUCAGAACAUUUAAACUACUUAUUUUGCAAACAUGCUUUACUAUUAUAAUUAGCUAUGAAAAUAAGUUUUGUAUAUUCUACUCACAGUGACGGUGUUCACGCUGGAUUAUCGUCCACAUCCGCGAACCGGUUCUUACUCGCGGAUCCUCUUAAAUCAAGAAAAAGACAAAAUUAAUUAUUUUCUGUAAAUCGGAGUUAUGACUAAAUUUAUGCAAUAAACUCGAAACAAACAUCUAUCCAUAAUUUACAACUCCCGUGUCGAUAAAAUUACUAAAAUGCCCUCGAGUCCGUAAAUCAUUAAAAUAUUCCAAAUUCGUAAAUCACCGAAUUACCCUUAGAAUCAUAAUUACACCCAAUCCUCAAUUCUAGGAAUUACUAAAAUAUCUACAGGCUCAGAAAUUACAAAAUUGCCCUCGGAGUGUGAAAUUACCGAAAUGCCCUUGCCAGUCAACGGUCAACGGUCACCGGAAUUUGGUCAACACUGGCCGGGAAGCAUGGGUUAGAUACUUUUGGCCAAGCUGAGUUCAAUGACACAGGUGGUGAGCUCCAACGCGCGGCAACAAUGCCGGAAUCUAGCCUAACACCCGUGAAUUUCCAACAAUUGGUCGACGGUGAAACAAUGACUCCCAGUGACUGUGGAUGGUCGGAAAUGGAAGAGGGAGUCGUGGGGAACAAAAUCUAACCAGUGGUGUCAUCCAAAAUCGGCGAAAGUCCCGGCAGAGCAAAGUGGAAAAGUCACAGGUUUUCAAGCUUUGGUCCCCGGCAUUCUGGUUGUUUUUCGGCGACGUGGACGGCAUGGGUAUGAUGGACGGUCUUCAAGCUUCAGAUUGGUACCAAACUUGACCGGAACGGUGUCUGGAAAUGGAAGUUACGAUCGGGUCAAGGUCGCGGGUUUCGGGUCGGGUUUUCAGGUCUGUAGUUGGGUCAGUUUGGCAGCUUCCCUUCACUCUCUCACACUUGCAUGUGUUUACCCUGUUUCCAGCUCUUUCCUUUUACUUAUAAAAUCCUUAACCGCCUCAUUUUUAUUUUAAAUUUCUACAUAUGUUACAGAUAUCCUAUUAACUGUAUGUUGAAUAUGUACGUAUAUCAACACUUAUCUUUUUGAAGCUAUCAAAAGAUAGACUAUAGUUUGCAACAAGAACAAUGUAGGUUGAGUUUUGUCGGUAGAAAGAACUUAGACAUAAAUUUUAAUGAAGAUGCCUAAUUUGGAAAUUUUCAUAUACGUUUAGUGAACGAAAAAGGCUGCAUGUAUUUAAAAUAGCACAAAAUUUAAUGAAAAAUUCUUCGUGUUCAGUAUUAACUCCUGCUGCGGAAAUGCGAGGUUGAGCAAUUACUAAUAUUCUGGUAGCUGCAACUUCUGGAGAAAUAUAAAUGUGACGUAAACAAAUAUAAAGAAAAUAGGACACAAUAAUUUAUGUGGUUCGGCGUCGUAAGGCCUACGUCUAUGGGCAAACACUGGAAGAUAAUUCUACUAAUGAUGAAAAUUUACAAAAGUGGGAGAAACUCUCAACACCCCAAACCCCAAUACACUCAAAUGGAACCUCACUAGAACACUCAAGUGGAAACUCUCUCAAAUCUCUAAAAUCACUUCACUUGCAAUUGUUCUCUACUUCUCUUAAAUUGGGAUGCUUACAAUUGCAAAAUGCUUCUCUAUUUAUAGAGAACAUUUUGCACCAAAUUGGGUUCAAUUGGCCAAAACGUUGGGCUGGAACUUGCAUUGCAUACAUUAAAGUCAUGCAUAUUUGUCAACAAUUGCAUGUGUAAUUUGUUGACAUCUUCAAUUUUCAGCAUCACGAAUUGCAUGAACAAGAUUUUUAAACCUUUUCCUGCUUUCAAAACCUAACUUUAUCUUUUCUAUUCAAGUCAAAAUUUCAACAACUCCAUGGAAUAAGAGAUUUUGGUGGGCACAAGCUAUAAAUUUCUUAUCUUUUCUUAUCUUUUUGAAGCUGUCAAAAGAUAAACUAUAGUUUGCAAUAAGAACAGUGCUGGCUAAGUGUUGGCGGUAGAAAGAAUUUGGAGAUAAUUUUUAAUAAAGAUGGUUAAUUUGGAAAUUUUAUAUGCGUUUAGUGAAUGAAUAACGCUGCAUGUAUUUAAAAUAGCACAAAAUUUAAUGCAAAAGCAUAAAAAAAUUAAAAAAUUCUUGUGUAGUGGUGAAUUCUUUUCUUGUAAUGAAAUUUUUUAUUUUUUUUAGUGAUGGCAUACUAUUUUUUAUACCAUCUUUUUUUUUUCUUAUACAUUGGUAUUGUCAGCCAACCGAUGAAUAAAUGAUAAAAUAUUGAUGUGAAAAAUCUCUGCCACCUUUUCGAAUUUUAUUUUUUAAAAGAUAGAGAGAUAAAUGAUUUCAAAUUAAUCUUUUAGCUCUCUAACUUUUGUCAAAUUUAAAUUUGAAUAGCCAACAAAAUAAAAUUAAUUGAAAGCUCUACCUCCGUACUCCGGGUGCAAUUAUUUUGACUCAAAUGAAUGUCUUAAAAAUUUGAAAAACAGACCAGCACAUUGAAUAUAUAAAAUGUGCCUGAAUAUGUAUCACACCCUGCCAAUCACGGUGUUAUAAUAAUUGAAUCAUUGAUCAGUAAAUAUAUCUUACUAUCCUUUUCUCAUGCGCAUGCGUCAUUACGAAAUCAAAGUUAACAAUGUUGUUAGAUUGUAACUUGUUAGAUUAUAACUAAUCGCAUUUGCAACUAUUCAUAUGAGGAGUCAAAAUGCUUGCAUACAGUUAGUCCACAUUUGCGCGCAAGCGUGAUUUUAUAUAAUGUGCUUCUCUAUUAUAGUGUGUGAUCAAUCAGGCAAGCUUAAUUUAGUUGAUCAUCAGUAUCAAUGGAUGCGAAUCAAGAUCAAGGAGCAAAAGAGUUGUUUCAAGGCCAAGCUCAACUUUAUAAGCUCAUGUUUAAUCAUUGAAGCUCGACGUCACUAAAGUGCGCGAUUGAGCUGGGCGUAGCGGAUAUAAUUCACAGCCACGGACGGGCCAUCACUCUUUCUGAGUUGGUCUCGGCACUUGAUAUUCAGCCUACAAAAACGACUGGUUUAUUCAGGCUCAUGCGCUUGUUAGUUCACUCGGGCUGCUUUAAAAAAACCAAAGUCAAUGGGCAAGAAGAAGCAUACGGGCUCACAGCUGCUUCUACUCUGCUCAUAAAAGAUAAGCCCUACUGUUUGUCACCAACUGUUUCAGUAUUUGUUGACCCAUUUUUUGUCGCUCCAUUUCAGUCUUUAAGUAGUUGGUUCAAAGGGACUGAGCUCACGUUGUGGGAAACUGUUCAUGGAAUCAAGUUUUGGGAAUUUAUGAAUCAAAACCCUGCAAUAAACCAGCGGUUCAAUGAAGCAAUGGCCAGUGAUUCUGAAAUAAUGACAAGCUUUGUUGUCAAAUCUGAGUGUAAGCAAAUCUUUGAAGGGUUGGGCUCAUUGGUUGACGUAGGAGGUGGCAACGUAUCGUUUUCCAGAAUCAUCUCCGAAGCAUUCCCCGGCAUCAAAUGCACUGUACUCGACCUCCCGCAUGCUGUUGCUAACCUGCCUGAGGCCGACAACUUGAAAUACAUAGCAGGUGACAUGCUUCGGUUUAUCCCUCCGGCAAAUGCCUUUCUCUUCAAGGUAAGAUCCAAUUUUAAAAAUUUAAAACAACUUGUUAACCGUUUUCGUGAAUACCAGAUGAUUUAUUUCAAUUGUUCUGUUCGCAGCUCAUUUAUCCGGACGUUUGAAUCUUACAAACUCAGGAUUUGAAUAAUUCAAAUCGGAUUUAAAGUAACUGCAAAAUGCUAUACAACUUUAAAUUUAAUUAACAUUUGGAUUUUAGAAAAUCUAGAAGUUUAGGCUUGAGCAUGACCAUUUACGUAGUCAUUCUCUAGUGCGCUUACCCGCAUUUUUUCAAGUGUAUAUAACUAUUCAUUUCACAUAUUCUUUAGUGCUGUUGCCCGUAUUUUUUCAAGUGUAGAUUUGAAGUUUUACCAUAUUGGUAAAGGCUUGUAUAACAUUAAAACGUUUUUUUUAGAACUUAUAUGUAUAGUUAUAUAUAUGUGUGUGUGUAGGCGGAGUAGUAAAACAUUUUCUCUACGACACUAUAAAAUUAUUUUACAAUAUUUAAAACAACGAAUCUGCAUUCUAAAAAGUGUGGUUUGUGUAAAAAGUGUGGUUUGUGUAUGUAUGUGUGUAUAGAUAGAUACUAAAGAAACGCAGAGAAGCAAUUGCAAGCAAUGGUGAGAGAGGAAAGGUAAUAAUAAUAGAUAUUGUUAUCAAUGCGGAGGAAGAGGAACACGAAUUAACCGAAACAAAGUUCUUGUUUGACAUUGUGAUGAGCGUUAACGCUACUGGAAAAGAGAGAACUGAAAGCGAAUGGGCAAAGCUAUUCUUCGAUGCUGUUUUCAGUCAUUACAAAAUAACACCUAUAUUUGGCAUGAAGUCCCUCAUUGAAGUCUAUCCAUAAAGAAUUGAGCAACCGUAUUCCCCCAAAUCUCUUGUACUGCUUGAUGGAAAAGCAAAAUAUCGUUCAAGAUUUAAGUGUAGUAGUUGAAAUGUCUCGAAAUGACUAGAAAAUGAGGUGACACACGGGUUUGAAUAUAGGAUGAGUCACUCAAUUAAAAUGCUAUAGUCUUUUGGGAUGGAAACUUAAAUAUCCUGGACCACCCUUUAAUAUAUUAAGAAUAAGAGAUUUGUGUGUACUAUUUUAUAUUGCAUUUUGUUAUUGUUUCGAGCAUCUGCUCUUAUGUUUUAUCUUUACUAAUAAAAUUACGAUCUUUCUUAAGUUAUUGUGUUCUCAAAACAAGUAGCUGCAGAAUAAUUUAUAUUGUUACUUUGGAUAUUUACAAUUAGGCUGCACAUUAAUGAUAAAUUUAUCUUUGCAAUGCAAGUAAAAAAAAAAAAAAGUAAAAAAGUAAAAAUAACCUAUUCAAAUUAAUGAGUAAUAUUACUAUUAAAAAUUAAUAUUUCAAAAGUAUAACAUCCCCACGAUUCUUCUAAGCCAAUCAGAAACAUCAUCAGCUAAGAUUAUUUGAUGUAAGACAAAAUUGAAGUUUGAUUAUUUUAUUUAGUAUUUUAAUUUUUUCAAGCAGAAUUUAUAAUUGGACUUAUAUUUGGGGUGCAUGGAUUCUCUUUGCCGGUUUACUAUUAGAAAGAUUAUGUCAUGUGCUUAAUAAUUUUUUAUCAUUAAAAUCCUUAUUUUAUGUGAGGGUUUUAUCUAUCUUAAUCACAUUUCCACUAUGUUAUUAAGAAAAUCUUCAAUUAACAUGCAGUAUAAUAUCCAAGUCAACUCAAUCAAGUGAAGCUAAUUAAAACUGAGGAUCAAAUAGCACAAUCAACCUUACAUAACAAGCAAGAAUUAUGAAAGCCUUGAAUUAAUCACUAGCCGUUAGACCUCUAUUCGUUUCUUUUAAUUUAACUAGGUGGAAGCCAAGAAUCUUGGGCAACACACUAUGCCCCAUAUUGCAUAUGUAUCCAACAAUUCGUCAAUGAAACUUGUUUUUAGGGUAAAAGCUCGUUUAGUCCUUAUAUUUUGAAGUUAGUAUCCGUUUAGUCCUUAUAUUUUUAAAAAUACCUCAAACCAUCCCUACCAUUAAAUUAUUGACACUUUUGCCAUUAUCUUUUGUUCCUUUUAACUUAUUUUUAUAAUAUUGUCCUAUUAUAAUAAUUUUUUAGACAUUAUUAAAAAGAAAAAAAAUAACCCUAUUAUAAUAAUUUUUUUAGACAUUAUUAAAAAGAAAUAAAUUACCAGUUUAACACCAAAAAAUAAAAUAAAAUAAAAAAUAUAUAUUAAUUUUUGUGGAACACACUCUUGAGUUAAAAUAUUAAUUUUUCUAAAAAAAUUGAUAAUGUAAUUUUUUACGAUAUUAAUUUUUUAGACAUACGUGAGCUUCCACAAAAAUUAAAAUAUACCUUUUUUGUUUUUAUUUUAUUUUUGAGUUUAAUUUGAUAAUUUAAUUUUUUAUUAAUAUCCAAAAAAGAAACAUUAUUGUGAAAAUAUAAUAUUGUAAAAAAAAGUUAAAAAUAAUAAAAAAUAAUGGCAUAAGUGUCAAUAUUUAGUAGCAGGGACGUUUUGAGGUGUUUUUAAAAAUACAGGGACUAAAUGGACACUAACCUCAUAAUAUAGGGACUAAACAAGCUUUUACCCCUUGUUUUUAUGGUAUCACAGCUAAUCUUGAGAAUCACAGACAUGCAUGGUUAUUAUGUUUCAAUGAAAAAGUUUGCCACUAGUGAACCUCUUAAGAAAGUUGGCUUGCUUGAUUGUAGAUCAGUAUACAAAAGAAAUUCAAAUCUGUUUGUGAUUGUUUGGCUGCCAUCAAGAAACCAGUGGAAGAUGUUGAUAAACAGUGGCAAUUGGCACGUGGACUUGGACCAGACUUGAGGCCUCUCAAGAUAGCGAUGCUGGGAAAACCUCCAUACCGUCAAUUUAGUCCUUUUAUGUUACAAGGUUCAAAAAGUUGAAUUAAUUUUCUAUUAAUGCAAGCUAGUAUCCAAGGUGGUCAAUGGAUCUAGAGACGGGGGAAAGAAAAAAAUUCUUAAAGAAAGAUGUAAUUGAUUGAUUAUGUUAACUGCUAGCUCAUUUGUAAAUUUGAAGGAUAACAAAGACUAUUGUAAUUCACCCUAUUAAAAGUGCAGCGUGAUUAUACAAAGAGUAGUGUUAGGCAUUUUAAAAUUUUAUCUCAAAUGAUACAAUAUUUAUCAAGUGAAUGAUGACAGUUUAAUUAACUCACGAAAUAUUUGUGAAAAAUUAUUAAUCACUUCAUGAAUAACAUGUUACAUAACAUGCAUAUCACAUAAUAUUUUAGUGUGAAUAUUAUUUUCUCUUUAAUGAUAAAUUGUAUUGUGGGCAUUUAAAUAAUAUAAUAUUGUAAAAUUUAACUAAAGAGUUGGUGUAACAAAAUAUUUUGAUAAGGAUAUCUAAUGAAAUUUCAAAUAAAUUUCAUUUUCACCUUAAUUUCAAGCGACCUGUAUAUGUACACUAUGAUUUAUUCAGAGCAAUCCGAAAACGAAAUAAUAUGAGCCUUCAGUUUGAUUAAAUGUUUUUCCCAAUACAUUCAGAUUUCAGAAAGUUUCAAAAGAAAGCGGACAAAAUAUAUCAAUAAUUGAAAUGAAAAAAGUUGGAAGGAGGUAUCUAAAAGUCAAUUUCAACGCCAAUGAUGUGUAAUUCCACAUGAGCAAACUAGUUAAUUGCCAUGAGAAAACGAAAAGAAAAGAAAAGAAAAGAAAGGUGCAUAAAAUGAUAUCCUGAUAUCCAUGACCUGAACUUGGGAAAGAAAAAAAAUAAAAAAAGAACUCCAUCAUAAAGAAAUUUCAUUUGACAUAUUAUCAUUUAUUUUGCUUCGCUUGGUAUCAUUUGUGUAUUUUAUUGUCUUUGAAGCAUAUGAUUUUUUUUUUUUUUGUUCGGUACUAUGUUGGUGUUGUUUUAAUUUAUAUAUUAAGAAAAGUGAUUGUUAUGUGGAAGAAAUAUUUUGUAGAAAGAAUGGGAUUCAUUCUAAACCUAGACAAUGACUAGCUAGACAUCACUACAAGAAAAUGGUUCAUUUCCGAGGGCAAGUACCCUUGGAAAUAGACAAAGACCGUCGGAAAAACUCAUUUUCGAGCGGGACAUGCCGUCAAUCGUCAUAGUAUUAAGUUUGAUCGGAAAUGCUGAGUUUCCGAUGAGUCGUCGGAGAAAAAAAAUAUUUCCGAGGACGUUGCCGUCAGAAAUGGAAUUAAAUGCCCUCCGAAAUAAGAUAAGAUAAACCUAGUUAUUUUUAUUUUCAAUGGCAACUUGCCCUUAGAAAUAAAAGAUACACGGUCGGAAAUAGACUUAUUUUGUUGUUCAAUGACCCCCUUUAUUUUAUUUAAUAAUAUUAUUUAAUUAAUUUUUUAUUUUUAUUGUUGAAAUAUCUAUAUUAGGGAAGUAAAGUAACAAACAUAAUAAUAAUAUACGAAAUAUACUAAAUGUAACUUCAUAAAUAAGAAAUUCAUAAAAUCACAUUCAUCGACCUUGGCCACUAAGAUUUCUGCUUCACGACANNNNNNNNNNNNNNNNNNNNNNNNNNNNNNNNNNNNNNNNNNNNNNNNNNNNNNNNNNNNNNNNNNNNNNNNNNNNNNNNNNNNNNNNNNNNNNNNNNNNCAUUUAGUCCCUGUAUUUUUAAGAUUAGUAUCCAUUUAGUCCCCUAUAAUUUUAAAAAUGUCUCGAAACAUCCAUGCUGUUAAAGUAUUGAUACCCCUACCGUUACUUUUUAUUUCUUUUGGCUUACUUGUAUAAUAUUACCCUUUUAUAAUAAUUUUUUUGUUUGGACAUUAAUAAAAAAAUAAUUAAAUUACCAAUUAGCCCUAAAAAAUUAUAUUAAUUUUUAAUUGUCAAAAAUUGUAUGCAAACUACCAAGUGUGCAAAUGGUGCUUGCAAAAAAAUUAAUAUAAUUUUUUAUUUUUUAGGGUUUAAUUGGUAAUUUAUUUAUUAUUUUUUAUUAAUGUCUAGACAAAAAAAUUAUUAUAAAAGGGUAAUAUUGUAAAAGUAAACCAAAAGAAAUAAAAAGUAACGGUAGGGGUAUCAAUACUUUAACGGCAUGGAUGUUUCGAGACAUUUUUAAAAAUAUAGGGAUUAAAUGGACACUAAUCUUAAAAUACAGGGACUAAAUAGGUUUUUAACCAAAAAAAUAUAUCAAAGUAUAUACAAAAUGAUAUCACCAUAUCUUAAUAUAUGUUCAAUCAUCCUCUAAAACAACUUCAGUUUCUGAAUCGUUUGCCUCAACUUCAUCAUCCUCAUACCCGUCAUCAUCUUCUCCCGUCAAAACAAUAUCCUAGGUGAAAGGAGGAAUUUUAAUCAUUAUUAUUACCAAAACAAGAACUUGUAUAAAAAAUAAUCAAGAAGCUGAGACAAAUGAGAAGAAUAGUGUAAUAAAAAAAACAACUCUAUAUAGAUGCAUAGUCUCCAUUCAAAAAAUCUAAUAAUUAUUUAAUCAUUCACCUAUAUUAGAAGCUUGUCCAUAAUUACUUAACUUCAUCAACUAACAGAGCAAUGACAAGUCACCAAUCAUUUUUCGUGAGAACUCAAAGCAUAGAACAAUUCACUCACUUAAUCUAUUAAUAAAAUGAAAUAAACAACCUAUACCUUCUGAGAUGAUUCUUGUAUAGACUUCCCAAGAACAAGUUUUAUCAUUCUUUUCAACUUCUUGACUUCUUUCUCUAAGUCUUUUACUUUUACUUCCAAAUUACUACAUUGAUGCUUGUUACCUCCUUAACUUGGAGAACCAUACACAUCCUUGCCUUUGAUGCCUGCUCCCUAACCAACAACACGACGAUGUGCUAGUUCUCUUGUCACUUCUCGAAAUAUUUUCGAUUCAUCCACUGGCUAGCCUUGAUGUAUAACAGUGGAUCUCAUUGAUUCAAUUGUUUCCUAUAAUAAAUACAUACAUUUGAGUGAGUGCAUAUAGUAAUGAAAUCAUCCAAAUAAAACAGGAAUAUUCUGAAAAUUUAAUAUUAAAUACACACAUGCAUUUCCUUUGCCUUGUUACUUGCCCAUGUCCCCUUACAUGAAACAUCUUCAAUAAAUCAAGUGGACUAAGUUCAGUACCUAUUUGUUACUACAAUAAAGAAUUUAAAUUCAAUAAGCUCAUAAUAAAUAAACACUACAAUAAAGAAUUUAAAUUCAAUAAGCUCAUAAUAAAUAAACACACUUUUUUAUGAUCAAAGUCAAACAUUUUAUCUUCCCAUUUCUUUUCUAUGCUUAGCCAUUAGGACGAACUUGUAGUAUGAAUAAGUUUGGACUUGGUUCAAUUCCUCUUCUUCAUUGUGCUUGUUUUCUAUAUAUAAGUUUUUAAAAAAGCAUAAAAUCAACUUGGUUAUUCUGAACCCAUUGUUGAGUACUAGAGAAUGCAUAUUUAUAGAGGGUAAAAUUGUCAUUUUAUGCUCCAAGUCUCACUAACAUUUUCACUUUUACGUGUUUUAAUCCUUUAAGAUUUUAUUAUGAGUAUUUUAUAAUAAUUUAAGUAUUUUAUGUAUUUCAGGGAUAUUUUAGCCAUUUCAUAACUAAUAAGAAGUCGGACAGCAAAACAGAUGGCAUUUAUGAACUCAAAAUGGUUAAAAACCUUAGAAGGAGCAUAAAAGGGUAUUCGGCAUAUGAUAUUGUUCGCAUAUACAGUAAUAUUCACAAGUACAGCAUUGUUUCACAUAUACGGUAUGAUGAUGUGGCAUUGACUGAUGACGUGACAUUGACCGAUAACCCAGCAGCAUCUUAUGAGAUCGAAAUGCUGAUGUGGUGUUGACUAAUGAUGUGUACCAACCAAUCAAAGCUUGCCAUGUAGCGCAAUCCCAAGCAUCUGAAUUGCUAUCCAAUGUAUCUAUAAAUAGAGGGCUCCCUAGCCUAAUUUGACACCCUUGAAUCUAUUUUGAGCCCCAUUUUCUGUAAUUCCCUCUCCAUCUUGUAUUUUUUUACAUAUUUUAAUAAAAUUAUCAUUUUACCCCUUGUUCAAUUAUGAGUGGCUAGUUUAGUUUCAAUCUUGGGUUGAAGGUGAAGCCUCAACAUGAUCCAUACGCUUAAUUAGGUAAGUUUAAUUUCUUUUUCUCUCUUAUUUAUGUAGUUGUUAUGACUCAUUGUUGACAGACAGUGUAUCCUAUCUAGAUUUUGCACAGUAUACCUGCUCCCUAGUGAAGGAUCGUUACAGUCUAGCACAAUGACCACUUAGCACCAUAUUAAUUAGAGAGGAAAUUCCUCUAUAGUAUUUUGUGGGUCAUCUUGACUCAGUGUUGACAGAGAGUGUAUCUAAGUUAUUUAUUAGAUGGUCUUGUCAUAUUGUUGAUUAUUAUCGUCUGGCACAACGUGCUCUCGACACCACACUUAGUGAAAGAUCAUUACCCCUAGCACACCGAGCGCUUGAUGUCAUAUUUGUUAGAGUGAAGAUUAUGAGGAGUGGAAAUAUCCCCUUCGUGAAUUAAUUGGAACUAAAAAAGGAAAUAUUAAGCCCAUGGUGAAAUGUUGAGCAUGAAUUCAGAGACUCAAGCAUUUCAUUUGCAUUGUUUUCAUCUUCAAUUCAUUAUCGCCAUUUUAUUUUAUAUCUUAAGAUAAAAAAAUUCACUUCCAACCGACUUACAUAUACACCUAGAAAAUUAACCCUAUGCAUAAUUAAAGCUACCUUCUCGUGGAAUCGACUACAAAAUCUAUUUACAAUAGAUUUGUGCGUUUACAAGUAUGAUAAAAUUUGCACAACACCCACGAAGAACAACUCAUAUAUAAAGCACAUAGACAAGAUUUAUAAGUUCCUUAUUCCUAUAAUGAUUCUAGCAACUAUAAUUCACUGAUGAAUUAAAAGAAUAGCAAAGCUUAGGAAAGAAAAUGACAGAAAAGUAUUACGCUAAUAGUCAUUAUUAGUACCUUCCACCCCUCAUCCAUCCAUUUGUCAACCAUUUGUCUCCAUAUUAUCGGAGGUACAUUCUCAGGAGCAUGUGCAUAACGCUCUCCAAUAGAUGGAUACUUCUUAAAAAUGCCCCUGCUUAGCUCUGACAUCCAAUCUGGAAAAUGAAUUUCCACAUGAAUUUCUACCACAUCUUUAAGCUUCUAUUCUGUACAUGUAUAAGAAAAUUGUGCUUCCUUGAAAGAGCAAAUAGUGUUUAAAUUCUUCGCUUGGAUAUUCAAAAUAUUUAAUACAUGGCCUAUUGAUGCUGCUGUUGAAGAUGACACCAAUUUCAUGUAUAGCUUUCGGUGUUAUGAUCCUUGCAAUUUUUGAGAAAACGUAUUAAGUAAAUUUCAAGCCAUUAGAACCAAAAAAAAAAAUGUAAACUACAUAUAAAACCAAAACAUGAAGUUGAUUUUACCUACUAUCAUAUAUCUCUAAAGUCAGACCAUGCCCUUGAGCAACUGCUUUGGCCUUUCCUCGACCAAUUUUUUUUCUUUUUACUACUUGAAACUAGUACAAAAUCAAAUACGAUGCAAAUUAGCCAUUAAUUUGAAUUUAAUUGUGCAUUAAACAUUAAGUUAUUACCUUCAUCUAUUGUAGUAAAACAUAAAGCUUCACCACCAAAUAUAGAAGCUAAUUAAGUAUCCUUGUUAUGUGUGUUGGCUUGAGACUUUCCUUUGCCAACACUUAUGGCAUUUGAUCUUGUAAUUUCAAUUGUCUUUUUCCCUUUGUUAGUAGCUAGAGACUUCCCAUUGCUAAUGGUUUAUGAAGACUUCCUUUUGUUUACAGCUAGAGACUUCCCUUUGUAUAUCGCUAGACACUUCUUUUUGUUUAUAGUUAGAGACUUUCCAUUUUUCACCAUUCUAUCAAACCUUAUUCUAAAAUUCUUGCAAGAAUUUUAAAGAAUAAAGCAUCAUUAGAAGCCAUUAAAUAUUCAACAACAAUAUUUCAAACAAACACAAAUGGCAAAAACAGUUAUAUCAAUAAUAGUUACAAAACCUACAUGAUAAAAAAAUAAUGCAGCAUGCACUGUACAGAGUCAUAAUAAAUUGUCAUUUUUAACUUGCAAAAGGAAAAAAGGGAAUAUUUUUUUUCUAAUUUGCAAAGUGUUAAGCUCAUUUGUUUUUCAAGCCUAACCAAAUCUUCUCCUUUCAAAACCUUGGCACAUGAUUCUUUGAAAAAUGUGCUAACUUCUAUCAAAGCAUCACAAUUUUGUUUAGGUAAAACCUCUCGCAUUGUAAGAGACAAUAAUCUCUCUAAGAACACGUGACAAUCAUGAGUCUUCCUACCUGAAAUUUUAUGCUCGAGUAUCUUCAGACAUCUUGACAAAUUAGCUGAAUAUCCAUUUGGAACUUGCACAUUCACAUGCCACCCACACAAUCUUUAUCUCUUUUCAUUUGUCAAACUAUAAGAAGUAGUGGGCAAAAUAGGUUUUCUAUCAUCAUAUUUUGGGUGAAGCUCAUGUCUUAUAUUCAAGGAUUCCAUAUCAAGGUGAGCAUUUAGGUUAUCAUUUGUUUUGCCAUCAAUAUUAAAAAGUGUGCCAAUUAUAUUAUCGCAUACAUUUUUUUUCAAUGUGCACGACAUCCAAUUAAUGACCCAACAACAGCGUUUCCAGUAUGGUAACUGAAAAAAAUACUAUGUUUUUUUUUUAAUUCUUGUGCUUUUCAAACUCAGGAAUGACUUGCUUUUUCCUUAUUUUACCAAAUAUUAUUGGCCUUAAACUUUCAAGUUUAUUUAGCACUUGCUCAGCCGAUGGUCUUUUCGGUGUAGCUUUCUUUUCUAUCAUACCAUCAAAUUGGCUCUUUUGAAAUCUCCACUUAUGCCCAGUGGAAAACAUCGACAAUGCCUCAUAUAAUAUAUUUUUGAACUUUGAGGUAAUCUACGAUGAGUAGUCUUCUUAGCACAACAUGGGCAAGACAACUUUCCUUUUGUACUCCAACUAGAUGUAAGAUCAUAUGCAGGAAAGUCAUUAAUUGUCCCCAUAACAGCUGCUUUUAAUUGAAAAUUUAUACGUGUGGAAACAUCAUAAGUAUUCACUCCAUUUUCCCACAACGUAUUCAACUCAUCAAUUAAUGGCCUCAAGUACACAACAAUAUCAUUACGUGAGCCUUUUGGGCCUGGGAUAAGGAAAGACAUGAACAUAUACGACUCUUUUAUACACAUCCAAAGUGGAAGAUUGUAUGGAAAUAAAAGAAAAGGCCAACAGUUGUAUCCAACAUUCAGAUUUCAAAAAGGAUUGAAGCCAUCAGUAGCGAAACCCAGUCGAACAUUACGGGGAUUGCUAUAAAAUGACUCAUAAAUGUGAUCAAAACUCUUCAAGGCCUCAAAAUCUAUAAAAUGCCUUAGCAGCCCAUCUUUAACAUGCUUUUCAGAGUGUCAUCUCAUGUGUGCAACUAUUUUAGAUGACAUAAAUAACCUUUGAAGUCUAUGUGUAAUUGGAAGUAACAUAUAACCUUCCAAGGAACCUUUUUGGCUUUCCUUUCACCACCAUGCCUUUUGUCUUCCAUCUCGAAAGCCCACAAGUUGGACAUUGAGAUGCAUUCGCAUAUUCUUUAUAAUAGAUUAUACAAUCAUUCAUAGAUGCAUCAAUUUUUUCAUAAUGCAAACUAAGAUCUUUAACUAUCCUUUUUGCAUCAUAAUUAGACGUAGGCAAUUUUUCACACAAGGGAAAUGCAUCCUUCAAAAUCUCCAAUAAUGUGUCAAAGGAUUUGUUACUCCAACCAUUAAUGUAUUUGACAUGCAUUAACUUGACAGUAAUAGAUAAGUUGGAAUAUCUUGUACAAUUUUAAUACAAUGGUUGUUGAGAGCCUCUUCUAAUAAUUUAUAAAAACUUAAUGCAUCAUUGCUAGGAUCUUAGGAAAAAACUUUCUUCAACUUGGCAAACAUAUCAUCAUAUCCACCACCACCACCACCACCACUAUAACAGUUACCAUCAUCAUUAUCACUAUCACUAUUACUUUUUCUAUUUUCCUAAUGACAAUAUCAAGUAGUGUAGUCCAAUCUCAUCCUUUUAUAUAAAAUGUCUUCCACCUAANNNNNNNNNNNNNNNNNNNNNNNNNNNNNNNNNNNNNNNNNNNNNNNNNNNNNNNNNNNNNNNNNNNNNNNNNNNNNNNNNNNNNNNNNNNNNNNNNNNNAAACUAUAUGAAAGGAAAAAGCUAUGCAAGCUGCAGCCACAGUAACACUCAAGAGAUAUACUACAUCAUUUAAAGAAAUAAAACCCUUUGCAAACUUUAGAGAACAAAUUCUAACCUACAGAAUAUAAUUAGAAAAGCAGACACCACAAAGCAUAGAAGCUUCUUUGUAUAGUGGUACAACAAUCAAAACUUGAAACAUGUACAUAGUAUUAAAAUUGUUGACAUCAAACAAAAAUGAAACUAAAUAUCAUUUUUGCUGAACUCUAAAUAUGACUAUCACUAUUUUAAUUUUAUUUUAUUUUUGCUGAGCACUAAUACUCCUGGAUUUCCUUUGAAUGUUCCUAAAUAUCAUCUUCAAUAACUAAUGAAAACUUGACAUUCUAAAAUAGUGUUUUUCAAUCCUAUAAAAUAAAGGAAAUAAAUGCAAACUUGAUUAACCAAACAAGAAAUGGUUAUGCACUAUGUGCUCCUAAAUUAAAAAAAAAUGUUGAUGCUAUUAUAUUAGCCUAAUUAAGAAAACAAUCUUUAUAAAACUUAAAGAUUUUAAUCUGAACUUGCUAAGUACACACAUUAAUUUAAAUUAAUUACACAUUAACUGCACCAUCAAGAAUUAUCACAAACACAACUUUAUUACAAAUUCAUGUUAAUGAAUCAAGUAAUUACCAAUUAAGUUUUAAGGAACUUGGUGAAAUUCAAGUCAUUAAGGCCCAUAAAGUAAAAUUUUAAUAAGGUUGAAAUGCAAGAAAUGAAAGUAAACAACCGAAAGAAGAACAAAAAUUACAAGUAUCAAAACUAGAUCAAGAGAUGCCUACAGAGAGUUCAUGAGUUGACUCGGAGAAACACAAAAGAUGCACAAAGUUGUGAAUCUACAACUCUAAAACCCUAGAAAAUUUAUGAAAUUAAAGCGAAAUCAUGAAGAGGGAGAUGGAUUGGAGAAACUGUAGGAAAAGCUAAAAAGAGUUAAAAUUUGCAAGCUAAAAAUUCUAAGUAAAUUUACUUUGAGGUACUUCUAACAUGCAAAUAAGAUACAGAAAGUGAGAGAGAGAGCAGCAGAUGCUAAGAUGAAAAUAGCGUCUCCAUUUGUUCGUUUGAAUUUUCUUUUAAUCAAUUUGUAUUGAUUACAAUGUCUUAUUUUUUUAGGGGCUUUAUUUACUACGAAAGGGUUGGGCUUUAUUUAAUUGGUUUUGUUUCUUUUGUAUGAACUGAUAAUAACUUAAUUUUGUUUUUUUUUUAUUUUUUUAUAUUUAUAGGAUUUAUUUUUGUUUUAUCUUUUUUAUAGGAGGUUCAAAGAUUUUAUUUUAAUUUAGUAUUAUAUUUCCUACCACAAAUUCAUUAUUAUCAAGGGCAAAUUACCCUCUGAAAACUUUAUCAUUUUUUUAAUGAUUUUCCAACAACUACUUUAUAUCCUUGUAAAAAGUGCUUAUCAUCGAGGGUAAACAAUGCCCUUGGAAAUAUUUGGCCGGUAAUACAACUUUUUGUUGUAGUGCAUUGGCUAUGUUAUGAAGAAAAUCUAGGCUUGAAUGAUAGUUGGCUAUCUUUCGUUGGUGAGUUUGCAUGUCACAGGAUUGUGUGAGAUAAUUUUGUUGUAAGCCUUUUGCAAGAGCGAUACAGAUUGGCAUAUUUGUUUCCAAAGGUUUGUUACUUGCCAUGUUAAUGCUGGAUUGAGUUGGUGUGUUGAUCUUUUCCAUGUUGGUACGUGACUCGUGUGGCUGCAUAUGGUUCAUUAGCUGUGACUAUUUGAAUUCCGCGAAUUCCAUAUGUGGUGGGCAGUGUAUCUUAACAACCCCCUUGAGAUUAGUAGGGUCAUAAAGUGAAUGCCAAGCGUGUGCUGAAAGAGGAAGAAAAGAUCUUUACCUAGUGGUUUGGUAAGUAUAUCUAUAGUUUGCAACAAGAAGGGAACCUGCUUGGCUUUAAAGAGUCCUUGAAUGACUUCUUCACGAAUGAAAUGGACAUCGAUUUCGAUGUGUUUGCUGUGAGAACGAAGAACUAGAUUAUCUAUCAUGUUGAUGGCGCUCUUGUUGUCGUAGACGAGGUGAAGAACAUGUGAAGUUGAGACCCCAAUGUCCUACAAUAAAGAAAGAAUCCAAGUUAAUGAUACCAUUUUGGAAGACAAAUUAAGCCCAAUAUUCUACUUCAACAAUGGAUCGUGCAACAAUUUUUUGUUUCUUGCUACACCAUGAGAUUAAAUUUGUCCCAAGGUAAACACAAAAGCCUGUUGUGUAACAUUCUGUUUCAAGGUAGGGUUGGCAAAAAAGUUCGAGCCAACCUGCAUGGAUUGGGUCUGAAUACGGGCUGAAACAUAUGAAGCCCGCAUAGAUUGGGCCUAGAAAAAAGCCCGGGCUUUUUAUUUAUAAAUAAAAAAUAUAUCAAAUUAAAAAAAUAAAAUUGAUGCAUAAAUUAGAAAGCGUACUAGGCGGCACAAGUAGUAUAAUGAAAAGUAGAGUAUCGUUCCACAGAGAUUGUAUAUCCUAUUAGCCACCGAAAUUAUUCUAACCCUAAUUUAUUUGAACAAUCGAUAGGCGAAUUUAAAUUAAAAAAUAAAAUAAAAUAAAAUAACUAAAAAUUAAAUGAAUAUGCAAGCAGUAAUAAAAAUCACCAAGAGAUUAAAACACUAGAACAUCCGAUUUCACCAUAACCAAUCCAAUUUAUUCCUCCAUCUAUGCUAUUAAAGUUUAUUACCCAUGUUGACAGUGAAUUUCCCUAUUCUAUUCAAAAUCCUCUCUGGAGUAAUAUCAAAAAUACCUUCACAUAUUAACCCAUUAUAUUUUUAUGUGAAUUUAAAUAUGCAAAGAUUCAUUAAGCUCUGUGGAAAUUCUUAGAAAAACUGCAUGAAUCAUGUUGGCACAUCUUUAUCUUUCGUUCAAUUCAUGGCAUCCAUUACACAGAGUAAAAAUACACAAAUCUCCUCUUGGUCUCAUUAUGUAUCCUCAAAUCAUUCAAAUAUUGGCCAGAUAUUUAAAAGCAUUAAACACAAUAAUGGACACUCAACCAUGGAACAAUAAACUAAAAAUAACAAAAAUUUAUAAAAUUAAAAUUUCAUAUUUAGGCUAUAUCGUAGCUCUGGCAAAAUAAACUAGUUCAUAGGAAUAUAAGAAAAUCCAUGAAUUUAAUUGAAAACAUUCAAGUAAGAUAAUAGAGAAGAGAGAAAGAAAAACUCAAGAAUGCGUCUUCUUCCUCCUCCAAAUUGCUCCUACUGCUCUCGGUUUAUUUUCCUUCUAAUUGGUGCACUGCUUUUUUUUUUUUUCAAUUUCGGUCCUCUGUUGCGUCCGCUUGGCACUUCCCUUUUAUGAUACUUUCAAUUUUUGUGCCCUAAAUCCGUGCAUGGAAAGAAUUAAAUCUAAAGCUCAGCCGCCUCUUUCAUGCAUGCACAUAACUUUUACCAUUAAUUGGCCACUGAAUAUUGUUACAGCCAAAGCACAUAACUUUUACAAUUAAUUGGCCACUGAAUAUUGUUACAGCCAAAGCAUCACGUGGUUGCCAUAUUUUCUUGUAAAUUAAUUCUUCAAUGCUUUCCCAUGUGAUUGCAUGCAUGAUGAUUAAUUAAAUUAAAUCUUUCUUGAUUUGUUCAAUUAAAGUUCUUUAUUGCUUUCCCAUUUUUAU
rnacentral:lncRNA from 1 species